AAAAAAUAAAAAUCUAUAAAUACAUUCACGUCCAAUUUAUGAGAAAUCAUGGGAAAGCAAAUGCACUGAUAACGGAAUCAUGAAUAUGAAGAACUUGCCAAAAAGAAAAAGAAAACUUCUUAUAGUGUGCCAAGAACAUCCUCCUACUCCUAGCAAUUUUUUUAUGGCAUUGUCCACUUCUCAAUUCAUAAUUCAACCAGUAACUCAAAGUAUAUAGUGUAUGAAAAAGUGAUAUCUUAGUUGAUCACCAUGAUAAUUAAGCAGAUUAAAUGACGACCCAUAAAGCAUACAAAUUCAGAAAAGAAAAGGUUCAAAACUGCAAUAAGAAAAUGUAGAAUAUAUAAACGGGAAAUCAAAAGAAGAGAAGCGAAAAAGGAAGAAAAAACCAAACAAAAAUAUUAGGUUUGGGAUAUACCUUUAUCUGAAUCGCCACAAUCAUCAAAGUCAAACACAAACAAUCCAAACAUUUGUGGAAAAUACCAAUAAAUGCUCAGCUAAAAACGAAAGAAGACGUAGAAUAAGUUUACCAGUUCGGCCUGAAAAAAUUAGUAGAACAUGACAUGAUGAUAAGAAUCUAGUUCUAUUUCCAUUGUUUAAAACCCAAAUUCCAGAAAUCAUGAAAAAUGGAAACUUCAUAUGGAAAUUGAAGCUUUACCUGCAGAUCAGCAGCAGCAAACGGAAUCCAACGGCAUGUACGUCAAAAGUGAGAGAGAGUGCUGAGUGAGAUAAGUGAGAAAAUCGAUAAACAAAAGGAAAAUGGUCAGGCAACGGCAUAUACCUCAAAAGUGAGAGAGAGAGAGAGAGAGAGAGAGAGCUGAGAGAUGAGUGAGAAAAUCGAUAAACAAAACCCCUCAAAAUCACAAAAGAAAAUUUGAACAGAAAACAAAUUUGCAAAUCCAAAAUCACAAAAACGAAAUUGAAACAGCCACACCGAGAAAGCUGUAAUACUCACCAGGAAGCUAGCUUUUCUGGGUAAAAAAAUUAUUCGAAUCGAAUUGAACCACCAAGGAAAAUUCUACUGGUUCAGUAGUUUUUCCAGCAAGAAAGCACCUUGUUUGUAAUUCGUGAGAGGUUGGACAGCGAGAGAAACUGAUUUGGGAGCCAAAGAAAGCGAGGUUGGAGACCGACAGAGGCUGAGAAUUGCGAGAGAGAAAAAGGAAAAGGAAAGGAAGAGCGGAGAAGAAGUCACGAUUAUCGACGCGUGGGUAGCAUUCCACUGUGCCAAGGACGAAACGAACGGGCAAUGAACCCAACCAUUGAAGAAAGAAGCAUCAAAAUACACCAAAGUAAAGACUUGACUUGGUUUAUAGAGUGAAACUUUAACGAAAAGUUUCUGGUAUUAUUUAUUUUAACAAAAAAAAUAUAUAUUUUUAUACUAAAAAAUCAAUCAUGGUAUUACUCACUUUACCUUUUAUUUUGUGCUUAUCGUUAAAAUUCAAAGUUUUCAAACUCUUUUCAUUAAUUUUCCUUUUAUAUAAUUGGAAUGUGAUACACCUUAUUUUACUUCUCACAUUUUUUUAAUUUUCGAUAUUCGGAUCAGAUGAAUUGAAGAAGAUCAACGAACAGAAAUUAUCAAGGAAUGUGAAAAGUAAAAUAGGGUGUGUAGAUAGCAUACCCCAUAUAAUUAAUCAAUAAUAUUCCAUAACAAGAGCUAGGGCCAUAUAUUAUACAAGAUUCUAAUAGAUGCUAGACGUUAAUCGGACAACGAGUUAGGACCUAGCUGUUAGACAGAUUUAAGUAAAUUUACUAUAUAUUAUAUAAAUAAAUGUCUUUUAUACUUAAAAUGACACAUAAUUGUAUUGGGAUAUAUAAAUUACAAAAUAAAAUGACAUAUAUAUUAUAAAGUAUUAAAACAUAGGAGAAAAUACCCAAAUGUGAAACAACAACUGUAAACAAUUUUUUAAGGUGGACGGUAAAUGAUUCAGCUAUUUACAAAAUUCAAAAAGUGGGAUCACGAACUACUGGAUGGUUGUAUUAAUUAUUUGGCGGUGCUCUAAUAUAAUACAUCCAAAUGGGGGUGGACCACAUAAUACACCCCAAUGGAUCGUUUUAAGCUACUCCACUGCUAAAACUAUUGCAAAAUGCGCAUCAGGAUUGUACUUCUAUUAGCUACGCCUUUCCUUACUUGGCAAACGAACCAUAUAGUACACCAAGAUGGAUGUUAUACACGUUGGAGUUUGAGCAGAAUUUUAUUUGUUAUCUCAUUGUCUCACAUUGCUAAAAUUGAAAAGUUUAUAAUAUAUAACGUUUGCGUAUGAACUUGAGAAACGACAUACUGUUAGCCGGCCGAGAAGUUACAGGGAAAGAGAGGAAAGGAAGAAAGAAACAAACACGAAAGGACAAACACUAUCCAAUAGAUUAUAAACAAUGACUUAUUAGGGUGAUUACAGUUAUUCAACCAUCAAUAAUGCAUUAUUUUAGUUUGGAAUUUGAAAGCAUUUGAGAAGUAACAUGACAACAACAACAUAAUAAACACAAGUGAUUAGAAAAAAAGACCCAAAUGUGAAAGAAUAAUUAAAAACAAUUAUUCAAGAUAAGCGAUAAAUGAUUUAACCAUUUACAAGAUAUGAACUUAAAACAACAAUCCAUUGAAUCAUUGUAUUAACUAUUCAAUGGUGCUCUAAUAUAAUAGAUCCAAAUGGGGACCGACCAUAUAGUACACCCAAAUGGACCAUUUUUAGGAUCCACCGCUAAAAACUAAUGCAAAAUGGCCAUUAGGAUUGAACUUGUAUUAGCUAUCUUUCCUUACUAGUCAAAUGAACCAUAUAAUACACCCAAAUGGAUGCCAUAUGUGCAUAUAUAAACAAUGUUUUCAAAGGAUGAAAUGACUUUCUUGCCGGUAUGGGGGAAGAGGAAAGAAACUAGCACGAAACUGCAGACCCUAUCGAUCCAUUAUAAUAAAUUUCAAUGGUCUAAGUUGUUAGUUAAUUGUGCAAGGUAAAAACUUAUUCACAGUCAUCAACUUAACCACGUAUCUAUGGAAGACAUCGUCUCAUAAAACUUGGAUUAAGAACUGAAGUUCUCUUGUAACUCUACACAAUUGAAAGCCAGGCUCGCUCAAUGGGGCUUGAGUUUUUUGUAAACUUGCGUAUUUAGUGGAGAGGGCAGGGACCUCAUUUUUAUACAUGGAAUUCAAUAAGGAUCCCUCCCAUUAAGUGAUCCUUAUCAAAGAGUAACCUUAUCACCGUGAAACACUUAUGCAUUAUAUCAGCUAGAAGACUUUUAGUUUUACCGAGAAUGUAUCUGACUUGAAACUGUAAAGAAAUACAACUCCUGAUAAGUCUACCACAUGUGUCAAUCCUUAUCUCCUUAUCAUUCCACAUGUCUUUAAUCAAAUCACCAAGUGUUUGCUCUCAUAUACAACCUACACAAGUCUCAUGUAGUUUCAUUUAACUUAUUUUCCACAACGGUAAAUAUAUUUUAAUGGCUCCGGUUUUCACAUGCCAGUCAGUCACACGCUCAACUUCUCAACGUUAGGGCUCAAUGGCUCGAAGAGAGCUUCCCCAAUGGAUCGUUUUAAGCUCCUCCACUGCUAAAACUACGGCAAAAUGCGCAUCAGGAUUAUACUUCUAUUAGCUGCGCCUUUCCUUACUAGGCAAAUGAACCAUACAAUACACCAAGAUGGAUGUUAUACACGUUGGAGUUUGAGCACAAUUUUUUAUUUAUUUUUUGUUAUCUCAUUGUCUCACAUAGCUAGAAUUGAAAAGUUUAUAAUAUAAUAACGUUUGCGUAUGAACUUGAGAAACGACAUACUCCGGCCGGCCAGGAAGGUGCAGUGAAAGAGAGGAAAGGAAGAAAAAAAAACGAACGCAAAAGGAAAAAGACUAUCCAAUAGAUUAUAAACAAUGACUUCUUGAGGUGAUUACAGAUAUUCAACCAUUAAUAAUGCAUUAUUUUAGUUUGGAAUUUGGAAGCAUUUGAGAAGUAACAUGACAACAACAACAUAAUAAACAAAAGUGAUUAGAAAAAGACCCAAAUGUGAAAGAAUAAUUAAAAACAAUUAUUCAAGAUAAGCGAUAAAUGAUUCAACCAUUUACAGAUAUGAACUUAGAAAAACAAUCUAUUGGAUCGUUGUAUUAAAUAUUAAGUGGUGCUCUAAUAUAAUAGAUCCAAAUAAGGACGAACCAUAUAAUACACCCAAAUGGACCAUUUUUAGGCUCCACUGCUAAAAACUAAUGCAAAAUGGGCAUUAGGAUUAAACUUGUAUUAGCUAUAUUUCCUAGUCAAAUGAAUCAUAUAAUACACCCAAAUGGAUGCCAUCAUGCAAUAUAUAAACAAUGUUUUGAAAGGACAAGGUACCUAACACUGUCUUUUUAUAUAUGUAAGCAACAACCCUAAAUCUUAUUGGAGCUAAUUAACUAAUGUAUUUAUUAGACAGUUGGAUUCCUUAGCAAGUGGUUAACUAUUUUUGUUUAGUUUAGUAGUCAGGUCGUAAUUAAUUAGUCAAAUGAACCAUAUAAUACACCCAAAUGGAUGCCAUAUAUGCAUAUAUAAACAAUGUUUUCAAGGGAUGAAAUGACUUUCUUGCCGGUAUGGGGGAAGAGGAAAGAAACUAGCCCGAAAGUGCAGACCCUAUCGAUCCAUUAUAAUGAAUUUCAAUGGUUCAAGUUGUAACUUAAUUGUGCAAGGUAAAAACUUAUUCACAGUUAUCAACUUAACCACGUAUCUGUGGAAAACAUUGUCUCAGAAAACAAGGAUUAAGAACUAAAGUUCUCCUGCAACUUUACACAACUGAAAGCAAGGCACGCUUAAUGGGAAUGGGACUUGAGUUUUCUGUAAACUUGCGUAUUUAGUGGAGAGAGCAUGGACCUUAGUUUUAUACAUGGAAUUCAAUAAGGAUCCCUCCCAGUAAGUGAUCAUUAUCAAAGAGUAGCCUUAUCAACCUGAAACACUUAUGCAUUAUAUCAGUUAAAAGAGUUUUAGUUUUAUCGAGAAUGUAUCUAACUUGAAACUGUAAAGAAAUACAACUCCUGAUAAGUCUACCACAAGUGUCAAUCAUUAUCUCCUUAUCAUUCCACAUAUCUUUAAUCAAAUCACCAAGUGUUUGCUCUCAUAUAGAACUUACACAAUCUCAUGUAGUUUCAUCUAACUUAUUUUCCACAACGGUAAAUUUCAAUGGCUCCGGUUUUCACAUGCCAGUCAGUCACACGCUCAACUCCUCAACGUUCGGGCUCAAUGGCUCGAAGAGAGCUUCCCCAAUGGAUCGUUUUAAGCUCCUCCACUGCUAAAACUAUUGCAAAAUGCGCAUUAGGAUUACACUUCUAUUAGCUGCGCCUUUCCUUACUAAGCAAAUGAACCAUAUAAUACACCAAGAUGGAUGUUAUACACGUUGGAGUUUAAGCAGAAUUUUUUUUGUUAUCUCAUUGUCUCACAUUCCUAGAAUUGAAAAGUUUAUAAUAUAAUAACGUUCGCGUAUGAACUUGAGAAACGACAUACUUGUUAGUUUAUAAGUGUAUUUGCUGAAAUAUAAUAAGAAGUCAGUUUUAAAUAUCAGCCCUUGGAUCAUAGUCCAAGUGUGCAGCUAAGAUGUAAUCUUAGAUUAAUUAAUAUUUCCUCUUGCUACAUGUGCUAAGUGUGUGUGAAUGAAUGAAACAGUGCAGAGUUCGUUUCUUCUUCCUCAAGCUGAAUUCUCUCACUCUCUCUCUAGAUUUCUUACUCUCUUCCUUUCUUCAGUAUUUUAUACAUUAAUUGAAACACUCAUACAAGAUCAUAGUUUGUAUGCUAACAUGGCCUCAGAGCUGUGUUCGAUCAAUUGAUACUGGGCAUUUGGAUCUGUGAAGAGAGCUACCCAGCAACUCAAAGCUGCGAUCGAGUUGAUUGCGAUCUGAGUCUAACAUGGAAGGAUCGGGUAGUGGUGAGGUGAGAGCACCAAUUUUCAAUGGUGAAAAUUAUAAGUUCUGGAGUAUUAAGAUGAAGACCAUUUUCAAGUCCUACGGAUUGUGGAAUCUGGUUGAAAAGGGUUUCGAUGAAUCAGAUCUGAAGAAGAUUGAUGAAUCUGAGGCGAAGAAGAAAGACAAAGAAGAGUCUAGUGGUGCUGGGAGGAUGACGCUUGUUGAGGUGCUCAUGAAGGAUGCUAAAGCUCUGGGUCUGAUUCAGGGCGCUGUUUCAGAUGAGAUAUUUCCCAGAAUCUCUCAUGAAGAAACUUCAAAAGGCGCAUGAGACAUUCUGCAGCAAGAAUACCAUGGUGAUAAACAGGUUAGAAGUGUUAAAUUGCAAGGUCUUCGUAGGGAAUUUGAAUAUACCCGAAUGCGAGAUGAUGAAUCACUUUCUGUUUAUCUUACAAAACUAUUUGAUCUGAUAAAUCAAAUGCGGAGCUAUGGAGAGGAAUUAUCUCGAGAGAGAGUUGUUCAGAAAUUAUUAAUUAGUUUGCCAUCAGCUUAUGACUCUAUCUGUUCUGUUAUUGAGCAUUCGAAAGAUUUGGAUGUGAUUGAGGUACAAGAGGUGGUGGCUUCUUUGAAGAGUUUUGAGUUAAGGAUUGAUUGGCAUUCUGAAAAUAAAACUGAGAGAGCAUUUGCUAGCCUUAGUGUGAAUCCCAAACCAGUUAAGUUUACUGGAAAUCAAAAUGCCAAGUACCAUAAGAAUUGGAAGGACAAAGGCAAGAAGUGGGAUAACAAACCCACAGAUGGGGCUAGAAAUUCUUGUAAGCAUUGUGGCAAGCUACAUUUUGGUGAGUGUCGAUUCAAAGGCAAACCAAAAUGUUACAACUGUGAUAAGUUUGGUCAUCUAGCAAGGGACUGUAAUAGCAAGAAGGCAGUGCAACAGCUUAAUUAUGCCACUCAGGUAGACUCUACACCAAUCAUGUUUUAUGCUAGUAAUCAAACUAAUACUAGUGUAAAAGGAUGUGAAGAUGUAUGGUAUGUAGAUAGUGGGUGUAGUAAUCAUAUGACUGGAAGGGAGGAUCUACUGGUUGAUAUUGACAAGUAUGUGACUGCAAAGGUUGAAAUGGGUACUGGACAGCUUGUUGAUGUAACUGGUAAAGGAAGUCUUAUGGUUGAAACUAAAAUAGGCAAGAGAUAUAUCAAGGAGGUUAUGCUUGUGCCUGGAUUGAAAGAAAAUUUGCUCAGUGUAGGUCAAAUGAUGGAGCACGGUUAUUACUUGGUGUUUGGAGGUCAUAAAGUAGAGAUCUAUGAUGAUAGCUCAUAUUCCAACCUGAUUGCCAGAGUACCAAUGAAGGGAAAUCGAAGUUUUCCAAUGAAGUUACAGUCUGGAAUACAUAUUGCCUACAGGGCAAAUGUAUGUCCUUCUACUGCUAUGUGGCACAGAAGAUUGGGUCAUCUGAACAUGAGCAGUUUGAAAUUGAUGCAGGAACAAGAAUUGGUGGUCGGGUUACCGGAGAUCAAAGUAAUUAAAGGAGUGUGUGAAGGCUGUGUUCUUGGCAAACAAUGCAGAGAAGCAUUUCCAAGAGAAGCCACUACUAGAGCAUCAUUUCCUCUUGAGCUUAUACACAGUGACAUUUGCGGACCAAUGCAGACAACUACAACAGCUGGAAAUCGAUACUUUCUCACUUUUAUAGAUGACUGCACCAGGAUGUGUUGGAUUUAUUUUCUAAGGCAUAAAUCUGAAGUUCUCAAUGUGUUUAAAAGGUUCAAAGCUACUGUAGAGUUGCAGAGUGGAUAUAAACUGAAGAAGCUUAGGAGUGAUCGAGGAGGUGAAUACACCUCAAUGGAAUUUAACAGAUUUGUUGAAGAUGUAGGCCUGGAAAGACAACUUACCACUCCAUACACACCAGAGCAAAAUGGUGUGGCAGAGAGAAAGAACAGAACCAUCGUGGAAAUGGCUAAGUGUCUUAUGUUGGAGAAGAAGGUUCCACUUGAAUUCUGGGCUGAGGCAGUCAAUACCUCUGUGUACAUUCUGAAUCGAUGCCCAACCAAAGCCUUACAUAAGAAGACACCUUUUGAAGCUUACAGUGGGAGAAAACCAGGAAUUAAGCAUCUAAAAGUGUUUGGUUCUUUGUGUUAUGCUCAUGUGCCAAGUCAACAGAGACAAAAACUCGAUUUGGCAAGCAAGAGGUGUAUUUUCUUGGGAUAUGGUAGUUGUGAGAAGGGAUAUAGACUGUAUAACAUUGAAUCUGGAAAGGUGACUAUUUCCAGAGAUGUUGUGUUUAAUGAAGAAGCAUGUUGGGAUUGGAAUGCACAGAAGGAAAGAAGGGAGAGUAUCCAGAUCAUUGAAAUGUCUGCAGGAGAACAAAACUGUGAAGGAAGUGCUUGUGAUUCUGAAACACAAUGUGAAGUCAGUGAAGAGAAUGUUGGGUCAGAUUUAGUUACUGAGCUAUCUGAUCAUCAAGAAAGAGUGACAGGUCCACAGGAUUUUGAUCACACUCCUCUCAAGUACAGAAACAUUGCAGAAAUAUAUGAAAAGUGUAAUCUGUGCAUAAUAGAACCCGAAUGUUUUGAAGAGGCUGCCAAGGAUGAAUCAUGGCAGAAGGCUAUGGAAGAUGAAAUCUCUAUGAUUGAGAAGAAUCAUACUUGGGAUCUUGUUGAUAGACCAUUUGAUAAACCAAUCAUUGGAGUCAAAUGGGUUUAUAAAACAAAACUAAAUCUGGAUGGUUCAGUGCAGAAAAACAAAGCACGGUUGGUUGCAAAGGGGUACUCUCAGAAGCCUGGAAUCGAUUUCAAUGAAACUUUUGCACCUGUGGCAAGACUUGAUACUGUGAGAACCUUGGUAGCCCUUGCUGCACAGAAAUGAUGGAAAUUAUUUCAGUUAGAUGUAAAGUCUGCAUUUCUAAAUGGAGUGUUGAAUGAAGAGGUGUAUGUGGAUCAACCAUCUGGUUUUGUUAUACAGGGCAAGGAAGACAAAGUGUACAGGCUCAGGAAAGCUUUAUAUGGUUUGAAAACAAGCUCCAAGAGCUUGGUAUGAAGAAAUAAAUUCCUAUUUUGCAAAGGCUGGAUUCCACAGAAGUCCGAGUGAAGCUACUCUUUAUAUCAAGACAUCUCACAGUGGCAUUCUUAUUGUGUCACUGUAUGUAGAUGAUAUUAUUUACACAGGGAGUUCAAAGGAGAUGAUAGCUGAGUUUAAAGGUGAGAUGAUGAGACAAUAUGAGAUGACUGAUCUAGGAUUACUUCAUCAUUUCCUUGGUCUUGGAGUAUUGCAAACAGAUAAUUACAUCUUCUUGCAUCAAAAGAAAUAUGCAAAGACUUUGCUUGAGAAAUUUGGACUUAGGGAUUGUAAGCCGGUUGCAACACCAUUAGCUAUGAAUGAAAAACUUACAAAAGUAGAUGGAAGUGAUCUGGCAGAUGAGACUUUAUAUAGACAAAUGGUGGGAAGUUUGCUAUAUUUGACAGCAACAAGGCCAGAUAUUAUGUUUGCAGCAAGCUUAUUGGCUAGGUUUAUGCACAAUCCUACCAAGAAGCAUAUGGGGACAGCUAAGAGAGUUCUGAGAUACAUACAAGGCACUGUGACCUAUGAAGUUGUCUAUGAAAAGGGAAAAGGAGCAGUGUUGGUUGGUUAUUGUGAUAGUGAUUGGAGUGGAAGUGAAGAUGAUAUGAGGAGUACAUCUGGCUAUGCAUUCAAUCUUGGUUCUGGUGUGUUUUUCUUGGGCCUCAAUCAAACAAAGCAGUGUUGCUCUUUCAACUGCAGAGGCAGAGUACAUCAGUGCAGCAGAAGCUACUGCACAGGCCAUUUGGCUAAGAUUUGUACUCUCUGAUUUCGAGGAAGAACAAGCAGAACCAACUAAGUUGUUGUGUGAUAAUACCUCAGCAAUUGCCAUAUCAAAGAAUCCAGUUCAUCAUCACAAAACCAGGCACAUUAAUCGGAAAUUUCAUUUCAUCCGAGAUGCACUUCAAGAUGGUGAGAUUGAUCUGGUAUACUGCAAGACUGAAGAGCAGGUUGCAGAUAUAUUCACUAAAGCUUUGGCAAGGGAUCGAUUUGAAGUACUGAGGACAGCUUUGGGAGUGAUUUCAGCACAUCACUUAGAAGGGAGUGUUAGUUUAUAAGUGUAUUUGCUGAAAUAUAAUAAGAAGUCAGUUUUAAAUAUCAGCCCUUGGAUCAUAGUCCAAGUGUGCAGCUAAGAUGUAAUCUUAGAUUAAUUAAUAUUUCCUCUUGCUACAUGUGCUAAGUGUGUGUGAAUGAAUGAAACAAUGCAGAGUUCGUUUCUUCUUCCUCAAGCUGAAUUCUCUCACUCUCUCUCUAGAUUUCUUACUCUCUUCCUUUCUUCAGUAUUUUAUACAUUAAUUGAAACACUCAUACAAGAUCAUAGUCUGUAUGCUAACAAUACUUAGCCUUGUUCACCGCCCAGAGAUGAUAACACUUAGUGUAUUUCCUUUAAGUUAACAUGGGCUUCAUAAAAGAAGGGAACCUUUCCUGUAUCUUAUAUCACAACAUAGCAAAAUGAUUGACUAAAAAUACUACCAAACCUGAGAGACGAAUUUGAACUUGCAACUAACUGCUCAAUUAUCACCUAUGGAAAAAAUGACGAUAUAUAAUAUAAUCACCUUUCUUUUGUUGGAAAAUAAUAAAGUAGACGCCCUUUAUGACAGCGAGAUCGAAACAGUAUUUGUUCAAGGCCUUCAUCCUCGCGCAUUUUGAUUGCUUUUGACACUGUUAAAGCACCCAUUAAAAUUUGAAAGGGUCACCAUAGAUCAACAACUAUACAAUACAGAAAAGUAACAUCAAAGCUAAUUAAGCAAAAACAACAGUUGGAGAAGAGUAUGGCAUUUUGUUUGGCCAGGGCUGUGGAAAAUGUCAAUAUCAUUUAGUUGUAAGGUGAGAAGCAUUCUUUAUCCUUUCUGUACGAGAGACAAUAAAUUUAAAGUUCUUGUGAUGAAAUCAUGUAAAACAUUCAGAAGUCUUGAUUUAACCCUUUCUCAAGAUCAUAGGUUUGUCAUCUCAACUUAUAUCUUAGGUCUUAUGAGUGCUCGUAAUACACUAAUAUGACACUUGUGUUCUAGCCAGGACAGAAACAAAAUCAUGCAGGAAAUUGUCAUGACAACUCAAGUGUAAAAUGCGACCGGAAAAACACUAAACAGGAUAGCUAUGCUCUCUUAGUGUAAACCUUAACAACAAAGACUAUACCGUAUCUGUCACAGUGAUAUGCGACCAUAAGCCCAACUCCAAGGAUCAGCUUUCCAAGAGCUUUGAAGGCUACAAAUCAAAAGUUACAUGCAGUGAUGACAUAAUCAUGCAAAAAUACAAUCAUAAAUUAAAGGAAAACAUACUGACUUCUAGUUCUGGCAAUUCACUAUUGGGCCAUAUAUUUGAACCACAGUAUGAUGGAUACCUACAAUACAGAUCACAAAUAAAAUCUGUGCAGACACAAAGUAUUAUGUUUUGUUUACGCAAAAUCUGUAAGUUCUCAAAUAGGAUAAAUAAAGGUAAACAUAUCCUAGCAUAAAGAAGAUUUGUCCUGGCUAAUUCUAAGAAACCUUGUAUCAAAUGUAUGAUAGUUAUUCAUAACUAACACAAACAACAGUUUGGCCAAACAUUACUGGUCUGAGCGAUAUACUGUGUGACCACAGACAUAACAGACCCCACAUGUACUCAGAUUAUGAUUGAUGUCCCUAUAGACUUUUACCUUUGAAUUAGAGAUUUAUCUGUUGUAGGGCUAUCCAAUAUUGGAUUUGCAUAAAACGAGCCUUUUAACGUAUCUGCAAAACCAGAACACAAACGGAAAAUGAAUGAUGCUAAGAUCUUAGAGUUUCCAAAGAAACAAAAUUUAAAACAAAGAACAUAAAGUGAUACCAGGCUUUCCAGAUUCCAGCUUCUCUUUUCCAUGACUCCAUCCAAAAUUGUACCUAAACAUGGAUGGCAGGUAAAAAGAAGAUAAGCAAUAAAACAUUGUAAAGAUUCCCAAGAAAAGCAAUAAAAGUACGUAAAUAUUAGUUAAUAAUGCCAAGACCAUAGUCUGUGACAAAUCCAAGAGUUGAGAUGAGACUAUCUUUGUGGCAGGAAUUUUUGGAAUUUUUCUCUAUUGUAAGGAAAACAUAGAUUGAUGUUUGCGUUUACACGAAAAUUAUGUCAACGGCUUAAGAGAAAUCAAAGUAUAACAAUGGGAGUAAAAUGACUUACCUACUAUGAGGAUCUUCAAGUUCCUUCUUCACCUCUUCGGGCAGAUUGGCUAAUCUAAUAAACGAAAAGAAAACUCCCAUGAGCAGUGCUAUAACAAACUAUCUUCCUAAAUUCAUUAUGAAUUGCAGUUAAAACUUAAAAUGAACAUGAAAAUCCUACGUAGAAGGGAUAUACCUAGGUGACAAGCCUAGAAGAUUCCCGCGCAAGGAAGAAUAUCCCGGAACCUGCAAUUGGAAACUCAACGAAACAAUUACAAAGAUGCUAGAAAGAAAAUACGUAUUAGUUUACAACAAAACGCUAGCUCUCACGAGAAUCGAUUAGGUAUGAAGCAUCAAAACAAUAGCAUGAGACACCAUAAUUUAUGAGCUAUGAAUGGAAUAAUGGAGCAAAAUAUCGUUGCCCAAAGCACAAUCUACAAUCUACAUGACAGAGAAAGUACCCCGACAUUACAUAUGCAAGUUCAUGUGGUUUAUCUUUUUAACCGAUUCGUUAACAAAUUCUUUCUGCACAUAUAGUUUUAACUUACCAAAACUGGUAAUGGAAGAGAUAAUCAGUAAUUAACAACGGAAAUCGCAUAACGAAAUCAUACUUGAGUGAUUGAUAGGAUUCCCAACCCAUUUGGUCCAAAUCCUUCUUCAAUCUUCACUGACAAAUCUUUGUCCCUGUCCUGUAUCAAUCCAAAAUAAAAAAACGAUAAUUAGAAAAAUCGAAUUCUCGACAUGAUCGACGAGUUAAAACAUAGCAAUUAAACAAAACUAUGAAUAAAACAAUUAGAUUCUGUUUGGUUGCUGAGAAAAUGAAGAGAAUAACAACCAAAAAGUCAACUGAAAUAAAAUUUUGCUCUAACUUCAACGAAUUCUCUUGAGUUUCUGAGCACCCAAACAGAAAAAAAAAAAUUAUAGGCAAUCAAACCAAACUCUCAUGCUCAAUUUUCUCGGCAACCACAAAAAGAACUUAGAGGGGGGGGGGAGAGAGUUACUUGGAGCUCGGAGUAGGAUAUGGUGACUAGUGUGACGGUGGGGACGGCGGGGUCGGAGGACGGAGGCAUAGUUCGACAAUAAAUUUGGCGGGAAAGACGGCGGUUGGAGUGUGACGAUGGGGAAGAAUCCGUGGGAACGAAGAGGAAUUUUGGUGCGGAAGGAGGGUUUUUAUAUCGGAGGGAGGGAGGGAGGGAGGGAGGGAGGGAGAGAGGUUGAGAGCGAAAGGUGUGAUUGUCAAUUUCAAAAGAAAGAAGAGAGGUUUAGCGUCAAUUCCCUUUACCUCCAAACCAAAGAAUGCAUUCACGAUCAUGACGUGGCAAAAAUUGAAGGUGGAGACGAAUAUAUUAAAUAGGUAUAAGUAUUAGUUAAAUUUAAAAUUAAUUGUGUACUAUUAAAAAUUUGUUUGAAAGGAUUUUUAAAAUGACUGAAAGCGUUUUUUAUUAAAAUAUUUUUCAAAUCAAUUCUUAGUAAAACCAAGUGGAUCCUAAAAAGUUAUUUGGAUUACUUUAUACAAAAGCCGCAUAUCUUGAGCACGUAAAUAACAUGCUCUCUACUACUUUAUCUAAAAUUAAUUGACGAUGAGCCAAUAAACUGAAAGAUUAUGCGCAACUUUGAUUAUCCAACGAGUGAAGAGGCAAUUUACACCGACCUCAAGAAUUUGGGCUCACAAUCACUAGCCGAUAUGUUUUUUUCUCACAUUUACCUGACACGGCAAGUUCAUAGUUCAAUAUUCUGGUUCUGGUGUCCUAUGACCCUGACACGGCAAGUUCCACUUUUUGUUCAUUUUCUUGACGAAACCAUCACAUUUACCCUUACGGUACGGCACGGUUCCGGGCAUGGAGUAUGGAUUGGGUUCCGUUGCAGUCCCGACACUACUUGGCACUGUAGAGAGGGAAAUACAAAGACAACUUUGGAUUUCUUACAACGUAUUGUUCUUAUUUCACGUCCUGUUUCUCGAGUUCGGUGUUUCCGGUUGCAAAUUUUGGUUCGGCAGUGUAGUGCUCAGGAGAGGGGACUGUCUCACAUUGUUCCAAGCAGAGGCGUUUGACAACGAUUGCGAUAAUGUGUUUUUCUACUGGGAGAACAUACAGCAGUCAGCAGUUAUCUUUUCACAACCGUCUUCAGUAUUUGGAGGCACCUCAAGAAAUUAUCAAGGACAAACGAAUGUAGAAAAGAAGAAAUAUCGAAGUUAGUUGACAAAAGGGGACGAAAAAUUGUGAGAUACAGAGAAGAAGAUAAGAAGAAACUCGAUGCAAAUUUUAAGCUAGAUUAGUUCUUUUUCAUUAACGAGCGAUACAGAGAAGAAGAAACAGCUGCAUUUGGAAAUAGCCGCUUUAGUUGCCUAGUUUGUAACAUUAGCUUUAUGUAAAUCCGGGGAAGAAACAGGAGUAAAUAAAACACAAUCAGGCAGUACCACAAAAGAAAAAUGUACAAUUAGGAACAAUCGUCACUUCUCAAACUUUGUAGUAGAUCCAGGUAUCCGAAGGACUCGGGGCUAAUGUACCUGCAUUAACAAAAGACAAAGAUCAGAUUUGUGGAAGGGAGUCGCAUGGUAGUUAAAAUACUCAGCCAUGCGUGAACGGUUUGAGAUACCACCAUAGAGGCAUCCUCCAAGUGUGAGUUUCUCUCGUAUAGGAUCACUUAUUGUAAGAAUAUCAGUAGUGACAGUGAAAUACCUUUGUCGGGAAAGGAAGUCAAUGAUGACAAAAAAGUAAUUUGGCUUGAAACAUUGUGUCCUCCGUAUGAUGCUUGCAACAUGCAUCACUGAAUCAACUUGAAGCUCUCCACCUCUCCAUCUGUUAAAUGUUUCAUAAGCAGCAUUGUUAAAGUUCUCUCUGUUUGGGGGGAUAUUGCAGAUGGUUUUGAAUGAAGAAAGGCAAAAAUUCAUGCUAAAGGCAUAGUUUACAACUAGUAUUUGUAAAAGCUAAGCUCUAUAGGUCUCACCUUGAUUCUUUGGCACAAAUAGCUAAAGUUUUGAGAUGGGACAAAAUGGGUCCCAAGAUCCACAUACAGCGCAUCCGAUGGUGUUGAAAUCCUUUUCCCAGAGAUAAGCACCAAGAAAGACAUGACAGUGCUAAACUUAAAACAAAUACAAGGACAAUCGCCACUUCUCAAACUUUGUAGUAGAUCCAGGCAUCCGAAGGACUCGGGGCUAAUGUACCUGCAUUAACAAAAAAAAAAACAAAGAUUAGAUUUGUGGAAGGGAGUCGCAUAGUAAUUAAAAUACUUGGCCAAAUUCAAAACAUUUGAACAAUCAUAAAAUUUUGAAAGAAAUACGAAAUACAGACUUGCCUUCAUUAUCGAACUAAGAAAUCGAAAAAUGAAAGAGGCGUUUGACGAACUGAUUGUGAUUUGACUCAAACAUAUGAUGAUGACAAUGCAUCACCACCUUGAUUGUGCCUCUGGAUCAAAAACACACCAUCAGGAUCAAAAUUGUGCACAUUUUCCUUCAUAGGUUUGUCCCAUACUAGAUUAACCCCUGUUCUCUUAAUUGUCACAUAAUGAGCAUUUCUAUCUGGCAUUUCAAAAGUUAUAUCAACUUUAUCCCCGCUUUGCAAAUUGAGCUUAUUGUUCGAUAUUUGUCCCUGCCAAAGAAAAUAGUCUCUAAACAUAAUAUCACCCUUUUCUAUAACCCAAUCUUCCUUGCCUAUGCAGGUCUGCAACUCAGUACGCUUGGUAUUAUUUAUAUCAAUACUGGCACGAGGAUGACCAUCUUUACAUCUGAUAUAAGGUAUUGAGUGGUGAAAGCAGAAUAGAGUCAGUCCUUCAAAAUUACGACCAUUACUCGGUGGAAUUUCAAAACUGAUUGUAUUACCAUCUUCGACAAACUCAAACCAAUCAGGAACAUAAUUCCCACCGAGAAAAAUGCCACCAUAUCCACAAUAAGUCCAUUCCUAUAUAUACAAUGCAAGUGUCAUAUAUACUAGCAUAUGGGCACACACAAAGUGUGAGAAAUUUUUUUAUUUUUGUUUUUGAAAUAGGAGAGAGGAAGCGAGUGAUAGAGAACGUGGGAGUGGGAAAUUUUUUUAUUUAAUUUUUUAUUUUUAUAAUUAGAAAUAUGUUAAAGAUUACAUAUAGGUGAGGCCUUGAAAGAAAAAAACAAAUUUUGGUUGUGUGAAAUUACAUUUCUGCCUCAUAUUUCUUAUUCAUGUUCUGUUUUAAUUAGAUGGUUAAACUGGUAAUUUCAUAGGAUUUUGGUUGACAAUGAGUUUUAUUAAUUAGUAGAGAUAUAUAUAUAUACACACAAACACAUGUACAUGUGAUCGUUGUGUGUGUGCAAGUGCGCCAUAGGAAGGAAAUUAGAGAGAGAGAUAUAUACACACAAACACAUGUACAUGUGCGCGUUGUGUGUGUGCAAGUGCGCCAUAGGAAGGCAAUUAGAGAGAGAGAGAGAGAGAGAGAGAGAUACCUUUAGGAUGUUCCUCCUAAAAUCAGCUGUGAGUUUGGUGCAACAUUGCAUAUCAAUCCAUGUCAUGGAGUUUAAUGACUUAUCCAAGCCUGGAACCUCAGUGAUUGCGCUUGAAUCACGUACAUUCAGUUCUAUCAUAUUCGACAUUUUCGAAAAAUUGGGCAAUGUUACCAAAUUAUAGCAAUCAGAUGCACAAAGAAAUUUCAAAUUUGUUGGUAAAUCAUAGAUUGUAUGAAGGCCAUAUCAAUCAUCUAACCAGAGACUUUCAAGCUUUGAAAGAUCACUGAGGCUGGGUAGGGUGUGAAUGAUAUAGCAGUUACUUAACUCCAGAGUUAUAAGCUGUGAAAGACCACUCAGGCUGGGUAGGGUAUGAAGGGAACUGCAGUAACUUAACCGCAAACUUUCUAGCUUUGAAAGGCCACUGAGGCUGGGUAGGGUAUGAAAAUCAUUAAAUGAAAGAUUCAAAUGUUCUAAAGAAAUUAGACUCCCAAAACCUUUUGGGAAUGCAUCAUCGCUUAAACUGUUCCAUGAGAGAUCUAAAUUUCUUAAAGAGUCUAAGCCGUGUAACGAAUCGGUAAAUUGCAAAGGAAACGUCAUGCGCGCUAGAGAUAAAUGAGUGAGAUUCUUCAAUCUUACUGUGGAACGCGGUACUUGGCUUAUGGCUGUGUAAGAUGCUUUAAGUACUCUCAAUGAUAUCAUCUUCCCUAAAUCCUCGGGCAGUUCACUGAAUUGCAAACAUCCAUUAAGAAUAAGAGUAUGAACGGAUUUGGACUUGUAGAAAUCCCCAGGAAGCGAAAUAAGAUUCCUGCAGUAAUCAAGGUUCACCAAAGAAAGUUUUUUAAGAUGACCAAUGGAGGGGUGAAUCUCGAACAAACUCUCACACCAUUCCAAUAUCAACUCUUCAAGAUUUGGGAGAUUUGAAAAGUCUGGUGAUUUUUUUAAGUCAUGGCAACUUCCGAGAUUAAGGAUUUUCAAGUUUCCAAGCGACUGUUGCACAAAAUCAAAGGAAAAUUAAAAUUAAUAUCCAAAAGGAAUAUCUCGUAAAAAAGAGAGGGAAAAUCAAAUAGAAACAUAACAUCAUUAUGUGUAAUCGAUUGUACCUUGGAGCCCUCCCAAACUUGUACCAGUUUGCUAAACGUUAUUUUUAAAAUAACUAGUUCUCGUCGUUGAUCAAAGAAAUCAUCUGGUAUGGACUCUAAAGGGCAUCUAUCCCAGCACAACCAUAUUAACUCUUUGGAAAGAUGUUUGUAUUCUCCAUUGAGCUGCAAGUCAUAGAGCUGGAGCAGUCUCAGUUUCUUCAUAUUGGCAAAUGCUUAUGUACUAAAACUAGCCUGCAUAUAGCUUGGAAACGAAUCAGGGAAACCUACAACAAGUCCUUCAACUUCUUUAGUUCCCUGUUAACAACACAUUAUAGUGGGUAAGAAAAGGAUUAUCUGCAUCUAUUCCUAAUUGAGCUUCUUUAUGUAAAUACAUAUAUUUACACGUGAAUGUUUCUAAUGUAUAAUAGGCAUACGUGAAUGUUUUUAAUGUACGAUGCAUUAAUACAAAAUUUUAUUUAUCGAGAAUGUACUUAUAGAUUUAUCUCUCAAUACAUCAGUGACCUCUUGAUGGUUCCACAAUCUACUCCAUUCUCCAGGAGGACGACGGGGAUUUCCAUAAAUGAUUACUUUGGUCAUUUCUCGAAGCAAAUCAUGCAUAUUCAACUUGUUGUGUUCAACAGUUAUAAGGCAUCAUUCACAGAGGACACUGAUUCCUAUUGUUGCAAAAAAGUUACAUCCAUCUAAUAUUUUUGCGACAUCGUCCUUAUCCCAUCCAAUAAAGAAACAAGAUAUGUCAAGGAAUAUAUCCUUUUGUGUAGGAUCUAGCCUUUCAAAGCUUACUCUUAGAGCUUUCAUUAUUCCUUCAUCAGGAAAUUUUUUCAAUUUCUCCAACUGAUUUUCCACUAUGUUGGGGUUCUUUCAAUCAUAGAAGAACCUAAAACUUCAAGGGCUAGUGGCAAACCACCACAAUAAGAAACAACCUCUUUUGAGAGUUCAAGAUAUCCUUCAUUAGGCCAACUAUUUCCAAAGGCAUGCCAACUAAAGAGCUUCAGAGCUUCUUCUUCAUUCAUUUCCUUAAGCGGAUAUGUCUUGUCCACUUUCAUGUUCACUUGCUUUAGUAAACGUUCAUCUCGUGUCGUUAUGAUAAUUCUACUUCCUGGGCCAAACCAAUCACGAUUUCCAGCUAUUGCAUUUAGUUGUUCCACUUUGUCUACAUUGUCAAUAAUGACAAGUACGCUUCUACGUUGGAGAUGAUUUUUUAUCAGACCCAUACCUCGAUCAACACUGGUUAUCUUAGACUUGGUAUGUUUCAAGAUGUCAGAAACAAGUUUUCCUUGCAAAUCAACCAGAUCAUAUUCACCAACGUUGGCAAGGAAACUUUUGAAUUGGAACUUAUGAUGAAUGUGGUUAUAAAUGGCUUUGGCAGCUGUUGUUUUACCCAACCCACCCAUCCCCCAAAUUCCAACCAUGCGAACAACAUCUGAUCCACCAUUUGAAAUAUAAGUGAUGAUAUCUUGAAUGCGAGUAUAUAUUCCAACUGGGUGCUUGGCCACAUGUAAUUUUUCUGCACUUGGAAGCCAUUCCGGGAUAAUCUUGUCAACAAUUUCUCUAAUAAGCUUUGCUUCACGCCUGAAAAAUUAAAUUGGUAAGCUUAGUACGUAGGCUCAGUAGGAGCUAUUAGUACUAAUAUAAACAAUUUUCUUUCCUUCUUUCCUUCGCGUGUCUCUGUAUAUAUAUAUGUACACAAACUAGCUACUAGCUAGUAUGUGAUUUUGUGACCAACUUCAAUAAAAGAAACAAAUUCAUUCAUGGAUAUAUUAAAGUUAGGUGUAUCAAUUAAACUCCAAUUAAGAUUCAAGAAAUUUGUGGGAUGCAGGUUCGGGGUUCGGGUGAAGGCUGUGUUGAGAAUCAAUGUCAACCCAAAACCAUAAGUAAUCCACAACCCAAUCUAAAGUCCAAGUCCAUAUCUAGUUUGAUGAUGUAAGUGCUUACAAUUGCAAAGUUAGGCAAGUUAGGUUGUGUGUGAAAACAAAGCAAAGUUAGGCAAAGUUAGGUUGUGUGUGAAAACAAAUAAUUAGGUGCAAUUAAUGUGUUUUGUGUGGUAGUAAAUAAUCUUAGUUUAAUUAAGUAGCUUUCAUUUGGUUUGCUAUAAAUACCCAAGUCCCCAAGCCUUGUAAUUCAUCCAAGGAAAAACAAAGCCUAGAGCUAAAUAAGAAAAGCUUUGCUAAUUAGUUUGUUUUGUGAGCUUUCUUUAAGAGUGUGCUCUAUUUUUCUUCUUCUUGGGAUCAUUAGAGUUAUCUUGGAUACUCUUCUUAUUCAACAAUUAGUAUCAGAGCCAAGUCGGUCAGGGAUCGUUCUUGGUAGAGCAUUGGUUGUAAAGUCUCUUGAAAUUCCGAGUAUGCUCUGUGGUUGCAGUUUUGACUGAUCUUCCACAUCAGAAAAGAUUUCUUGAGAUUAUUGCUGGGGUUAUCACAAACCUUGAGAGGGAGCUUCUUUGUGUCGAGAGUAGUGUAUUACUCUGCACGGUAGUCACUCAAGCUUGUUCGGUGUAGUCAAAGUCUUGCCGAUACGAUGGGUGAUCUUCAAGUUGUUGGAGGAAUCAAUAAGCUCAACAACCAAAACUAUAACACGUGGGCAACGUGUAUAGAGUCUUACCUUCAAGGUCAAGACUUGUGGGAGGUUGUCGGUGGUAGUGAAGUUACACAACCGGCAGCGGAAGAUGCUAAUGGCAUCUUGCGAAAGUGGAAAAUUAAAGUAGGCAAAUCAAUGUUUGCCUUAAAGACCACAAUAGAAGAAGAAAUGUUGGAGCACAUUCGAGAUGCUAAAACGCCAAAGGAAGCAUGGGACACUUUUGUUACACUCUUUUCGAAGAGGAACGAUACAAAAUUGCAACUUCUCGAGAAUGAGUUGCUAUCGAUGGUACAACGCGACAUGACGAUUGCCCAGUACUUUCACAAGGUGAAGUCGAUAUGCCGCGAAAUUUCAGAAUUAGAUCCAACAACUCCUAUUGGGGAAACCAGGAUGAAGAGAAUAAUUAUCCAUGGUUUGAGACCCGAAUAUCGAGGGUUCAUUGCCGCUAUACAAGGAUGGCCGACACAACCAUCGCUUGUUGAGUUUGAAAAUUUGCUUGCAGGUCAAGAAGCUAUGGCCAAGCAAAUGGGAGGAGUCUCACUGAAGAGUGAAGAGGAAGCGCUCUACACCAACAAAAGCAAAGGCACCUUCAAGCGGUACACUGGUAGUGAAUCUAAAAAGGAUGGAGAAAAGGUGCAAAGUCACCAAGGAAAUGGAGGCUCUCAUUCUGGGGGAGCUUGGAAGAAUCGCGGUAAUAGUAAAAAGUUUAGUGGCAAGUGUUACAACUGCGGGAAGAUGGGCCACAUGGCGAAAGAUUGCUGGACCAAGAAAGAGCCUGCUGAAAGUAAUACUGCUACUUCCAGUUCGAAGGAGAAUAGUGAAGAUGGCUGGGAUGCUGAAGCAUUAUUCGCUACAGAGGAAGAAGAAUUAGCUCUCACGGUAACAACACCAGAACGAAUUGACUACAAUAAUGAUCCAACAAGUGGAAGAUGUUACACUUCACGAGAUGUGGUGUUUGAUGAAGCGUCCUCUUGGUGGUCAUCAGAGAAGGAGGUGCUACCAGACUCUAGAGAAUUUGGAGAACAGCUGCAACAGAAGAUGGGGGAGCAUACUAUCCAACUCCAACCAAUUUCAGAUGAAUCAGGAGAUCCAAAUGGCAAUGAUGUCGAACAAAGAGUGGCUCAGAAUCCUUGGGAAACUGGCGUGUAUCAACAACCAAACGAAGAAGGUGGGCCGAGUGAAACGGAAGAAUCAACUCCACAAUCUCAACUCCGAAGGUCAACAAGAACACGAAGGCCAAAUCCUAAAUACGCCAAUGCAGCCAUAAUUGAAGAAUCAACAGAACCUGAGACGUUCGAAGAAGCAUCGCAGAGUUCUGAGUGGAUGACAACUAUGAAAAAAGAGAUCGAUGCACUUCAGCAAAAUCAGACUUGGGAUCUCGUGCCAAAGCCAAGAGAUGUGAAAUCCAUAUCCUGCAAGUGGGUUUACAAGAUAAAUCGCCGUCCAGAUGGGUCAAUCGAGAGGUACAAGGCACGAUUGUUAGCUCGUGGUUUCUCUCAACAGUAUGGACUAGACUAUGAUGAAACGUUUAGUCCAAUGGCGAAACUUACAACUAUACGAGUCCUACUUGCACUUGCAGCCAACAAAGACUGGAAUCUGUGGCAGAUGGAUGUUAAGAAUGCUUUUCUUCAUGGAGAGCUGGAUCGGGAGCCAAAUGUCAAAAUGAGUGCAUAUGAAGGAAAAGAUUUGGAAGAUGCGACGAUGUAUCGACAAUUGGUAGGUAGUUUGAUCUACUUAACCUUGACUCGACCUGACAUUUCUUAUGCAGUUGGUGUGAUGAGUCGGUACAUGCAAAAUCCAAAGAAGCCUAAUUUGGAAGCAGUUCGACGAAUACUGAGAUAUGUGAAGAGUACAAUUGACUAUGGUCUUUUGUACAAGAAAGGUGAAGACUGCAAGUUAGUUGGUUACUGUGAUGCUGACUAUGCGGGAGAUCAUGACACCAGGAGAUCAACAACUGGGUAUAUGUUUAAGCUUGGUUCUGGAACCAUCUCUUGGUGUAGCAAGAGACAACCGACGACAUCAUUGUCAACCACUGAAGCUGAGUAUCGAGCAGCAGCAAUGGCAGCUCAAGAGAAUGCAUGGCUGGUACAGUUGAUGAGUGAUCUACAUCAACCAGUAGAUUAUUCAGUACCACUGUACUGUGAUAACCAAUCGGCAAUUCGCUUGGCAGAAAAUCCAGUCUUUCAUGCAAGAACUAAGCAUGUGGAGGUACACUACCAUUUCAUUAGAGAGAAGGUCUUGCAAGAAGAUAUUGAGAUGAGACAAAUCAAUACAGAUGAUCAAAUUGCAGACUUGUUCACAAAAGGUUUGAGUACUGGCAAGUUUGAAAAGUUUCGUCGUCAACUCAGCAUGGAGAAAAGAAUGAGAGCUGACAUUGAGGGGGAGUGUUGAGAAUCAAUGUCAACCCAAAACCAUAAGUAAUCCACAACCCAAUCUAAAGUCCAAGUCCAUAUCUAGUUUGAUGAUGUAAGUGCUUACAAUUGCAAAGUUAGGCAAGUUAGGUUGUGUGUGAAAACAAAGCAAAGUUAGGCAAAGUUAGGUUGUGUGUGAAAACAAAUAAUUAGGUGCAAUUAAUGUGUUUUGUGUGGUAGUAAAUAAUCUUAGUUUAAUUAAGUAGCUUUCAUUUGGUUUGCUAUAAAUACCCAAGUCCCCAAGCCUUGUAAUUCAUCCAAGGAAAAACAAAGCCUAGAGCUAAAUAAGAAAAGCUUUGCUAAUUAGUUUGUUUUGUGAGCUUUCUUUAAGAGUGUGCUCUAUUUUUCUUCUUCUUGGGAUCAUUAGAGUUAUCUUGGAUACUCUUCUUAUUCAACAGGCUGUGGUCCGUGGGCUACAGGUUGGGGUCGGCUGGGGAGUGGGGAUUAGGGAUUGGGGGUUGAAAGUGGGAGGUUGACGGGGUGUGAAUCAAAGAUGGAAGGUGAAGGGGUGGGCUGCGAGCUUGCGAGCGUUGGUGGGAUAAGGUAGGCCUACAAUUUUAUAUAGAUACAUAGGUGAAACUAACAUGUAAAGUUGUGAACACUUGUAACUAAAAUUUAAAGGAAUUGGUUACGAAGGACUAACGCUCCAUAUUUUAUCAAGUUCAAGGACAAAAUGUAAUGAAUUUUUAGUUGAGGAACCAAAACUACAAUUUUCCUCUAGAUUUUAUAUGAGAGAUUAAGGUGUAUUAAUUAAGCAUGUUAAUUAGAGUAAUACAACUUAAAUAUUGAAAAGCACGUGAAUGAUUACCUAUUAUCAGUGAUUUGAAGAUGGUAGCCAGACAAAUUUGCAGCUUUUGUAAGAACCUCUCCCCACUGCUUUACCCCUUUUUGUUUAGCUUCACGUUUCUUGUCAUCCUUUUCUUCACCCAUGCCCUCUACGUGCUCCUGAAAUUCUUCGGCUAACUCUGCAGCUUCUCUAAGAGCCUUUCUCCACUGCUUUACCCUUUCUCGUUUUUUUUCACGUUUCUUGUCAUCAUUUUCUUUACGGAUGUUCUUUUUGUGCUUCUUAAAUGCUUGGGCUAAAACUCCAUUCUGCUUCCUGACAUGUGAAGGAUCAAUGUGAUAGAAUAUUGGCAAAACAUGUCGCCCCAGUUUGUCUCUGCACUCCAUGAUCUUCACCAGCUCGUUAAGACACCAACUCGAAUCCGCAUAGCUCUCCGAGAAGACAAUGAUAGAGAUCUUCGAUUUUUCGAUUGCCUGUUCCAGUUCUUUUUGUAUUUCUUCCCCGCUUUUUAGAUCAUCCUCAUCAAUAUAUGCCUGGUAUCCCUUGUCUGUUAAUGCCGCGUGGAGGUGGUCUGUGAAGCCAUUGCGUGUGUCUUCACCGCUGAAGCUCAAGAACACAUUGUAAUUCCAAAGUUUUGACUUGGAGGAGGAUGAAGAGGAGGCUUCGUGGCUUGUCAUGGCGGUAUCCACCGUUAUGGCACAGCAGUGGUUCAUAUCACGAUUGAAAAAUGGCAGUAGUUCUGUUUGUGCUGUCGAACGGAUGAUCCUGAAAUACCUAAACCCAAGUCAAGCUCCUUCAGUCAACAAGAACAAAGUUUAUAACAUAAUAAUGUUGGCGUAUGGACUUGAGAAACAACAUAAUGUUGGCCAGAAGGUGCAGAGACAAACUUGAAUGCAAGCUUUCUCAAAUUUUCCAAACAAUACAGAUGACAAAAUCAACAAAAUAGAAUGGAAAAUGACUUACACUUUUAAGGCAUGCUCGAAUCUUGAUCUAAAAUUGGUGCUGGGUCGAUUGUUGGUCACCAAAUCUAAAUGAAGAAUUCCUCAGACCAAAUGAAAUUAAAAGUUAGGACUUCACAAAACCAAUUGAAAAUCUGAUUCCAAAGUUCCAAACACCCACCAAAUGAUUCCGGAUAAAGUUUAAACUCAAAAACCCAACAGAAACAAAAGCAUUGGUGUGGAUUAACUAUAUCUGAUUGUCGAACGGAUGAUACUGAAAUACCUAAAAGGCUAAACCCAAGUCAAGCUCCUUCAAUCAACAAGAACAUAGUUUAUAAUAUAAGGGCACGUUUGUUUGACAGGAUUAGCAAGGCUUGGACUGGACUAGACUAUAGUCCUGUGUUUGGUGUGCAACCGGAUUAGCUUUAAUGGGCUUAGGUGGGACUCGCUCGGAUUACACGCCUCCUUACAAGUUCUUAACGAAGAACCCCAAUUUUGGGCGGACUCGUAAGCACGGAGAGAAAACCGCGAGGAUCCCCAACGUCCUGCUCGUCCUCAUCUCUGCGAGGAUCCCCAACGUCCCUCGUCCUGCUCGUCGCUCGUCGUCGAUCUUGCCCUGCUUCCUCGUCGUCGUUCUCCUCACCCUCAUCGACGAAAGCUUCUCGUUGGUGCCCAACCCCAUGCCUUUGCCUCCCAUCAACGAUCUCACUUGCAUUGUCACUGGAUCCACCAGCGGCAUCGGCCGCGAAAUCGCCAGGUCUCCUCCUUCUCCUUCCUUCAAAUCUCCAAACAUUGACGAUUUCAGUUUUCUUGUUAGCUUGUUUGUUUAGUAUAAAUAAAUCAACUCAAUUUGCAAGAUUGCAUUAAGACUUAGGGGUCCCACUGUUUGGUUACUGAGAAUUUUGAUAACCUGGUGCCCAUUUCUCAGUUUCAAUUGUGAAUUUUGAAUUAGUUUUGCUUAAACAUGAAAACUGAACAGGCAGCUGGCGGAAUCAGGCGCGCAUGUUGUAAUGGCGGUGAGGAAUACGAAAGCAGCUAAUGAGUUGAUCCAGAAGUGGCAAAAUGAAUGGUCUGGAAUGGGGCUUCCUCUCAAUAUUGAGGUAACUUAUUAACAGGGCCAACGCUAAUAUCUACAUUUCAUUAAUUAUAUACAAACAAUACUAUUGUUUAACUUUAAUAGGUAAUGGAACUUGAUCUGCUUUCAUUGGAUUCUGUUGUGAGAUUUGCCGAAGCAUGGAAUGCUCGUUUAGGACCUCUCCAUGUUCUUAUCAACAAUGCUGGGAUAUUUUCAAUUGGAGGUUGAUCGCUUUGUUGACAUUUUUACCUGAUUUCAAAUGUUCAUCCCUUCAGAAUCUGAUCGGUCAUUUGCUGGACUACACUGUCAUUGGUGUGUUCAGAGCCGCAAAAGUUUUCUAAAGAUGGUUACGAAGAACACUUGCAAGUGAAUCAUCUGGCUCCAGCGUUGCUAUCCGUCUUGCUAUUGCCUUCCCUUAUUAGAGGAUCUCCGAGUCGAAUUGUUAAUUUGAAUUCCGUUGUAAGUUCCAUGGUCAUCAUGCAUACAAUUUUACACUCUUCUACUUUUGCUUUUCUGGGUAUAUAUGAUAUAUAUAACAUUCGCACACCUACGUACACACACAUGGAAAGAAAAACUAGUUGGCAUAUAUGCUAACUAGUUGUAGAUACAUCCUUAGGUUUUUAGAUUGGCACUAUAAAUGUAUUUCACAGUUUGAUAUUCUUGUUUUAUUGUUAUGUUAAUCUGAGAAUGCUCGUUCUUUCUUUAUAUAGAUGCAUUAUGUUGGCUUUGUUGACACAGAAGACAUGAACGUUGUUUCCAGGAAAAGAAAAUAUACAAGCUUAGUGGGUUACUCAAGCAGCAAGUUGGCACAGGUGGUCUUGAAAGUCUUUAUUGUUUGAUGGUUUCCAUAUUUUAGCUGGAACAAGCUUGUAAGAGCUACAAGCUUUUCUUCCUAUCCAUCUUUGUGGAAAUGAAUUCAGGUCCUCUUGAUCUGUAAAGUUUAACUACUUUGUGCGAUAUAUAUAUAUAUAUAUAUUUGAAAUACAGGUGCCUCUGUCUUUAUUUAGAUCUUUUUAGUUACUUGGACCUGUACAUUGAUCAAGUGCUUGAUGAUUGGGUGCUAUAAUCUGCUUGUGUUUUUUUUUUAAUUUUUUUUUUAAUUUUUUUAAUUUUUAUGGUUUCAACUUCUGCUUUGAUCUCUCUUUUCUAUUAGUUUGUAAAAGCUGGUCAUCUAUUACCCAAGGCUGGACACUUGCACAUAAUUAAAUGUCAAUUAACUGCGGUGGUAUGUAUAUAAUUUUCGACGCUAAAACAAGACUACUCUAACCUAGUCGUAUAUGGAUUGCAGAUUAUGUUUAGUAGUGUCCUACAUAAGCGGCUGCCUGCUGAAUCUGGCAUUAGUGUAGUGUGCGUUUCACCUGGAAUUGUCCAGACUAAUGUUGUAAGUAUCUUGACGCGUUCCCCUCCCUUCCUUGUUAUCUCGAAGAAGGAUGUGCCUUCAAGGUUUCUAUAUGAAAGUUCUAAUUGACAGUCUUGCAUGUUAUUAUUUUAUGUACCUUGAAGAUUUUACGUUCAAAUAUUAUUUACAUAUACAGUAUAGUAUAUUGAAUUUUAUGUAUCAUUUUGGAUUUCAAUUAAUUACAGGCAAGGGAUCUACCCAGGAUUGUUCAGGCUGCGUAUCAUCUAGUACCUUAUUUGCUGCAACAUUCACUACUUUGCUGGCGGCCGUCGUAAGCACCCCAGGCGCCGCCGCUGGUUUUCUGUUAAAUGGGUUUUUUUCUUUAUUUGAGUUAUUUUUGUUUUUGUGGGGAAGAAGAUUGGUAGAUGAUGUGGUCCAAUCUGGGAACCAAUGCAUUUUCUUAAACGGCUGAGAUUGAAAGACUGAUUUGGCCUGGUAGAGCAUCCAAGUAAAAAUUUGGGUGUGUAAUCUGUGUGUGUGCAUCUGUAUGUGUGUGUGUGUGUGUGUAAUCUGUGUGUGUGUAAGUGUAAUAUGUGUGUGUAUGUAAUCUGUGUGUGUAUACUAUGUGUGUGUGUGUGUGUGUAAUCUGUGUGUAUGUAAUCUCUCUCUCUCUGUGUAAUCUGUGUGUGUGUGUGUAAUCUGUGUGUGUGUGUGUGUGUGUGUGUGUAAUCUGUGUGUAUGUAAUAUCUCUCUCUCUGUGUGUAAUCUGUGUGUGUGUGUGUAAUCUUUGUGUGUGUGUGUGUAUGUAUGUAAUCUCUCCUCUCUCUGUGUGUAAUCUGUGUGUGUGUGUGUAAUCUUUGUGUGUGUAAGUGUAAUAUGUGUGUGUGUGUGUGUGUGUGUGUGUAUAAUAUGUGUGUGUGUAAGUGUAAUAUGUGUGUGUGUGUGUGUUUGUGUAGUGUGUGUGUGUGGGUGUGUGUGUUUGUGUAUUGUGUCCGUGUGUGUGUGUGUGUGUGUGUGUGUGUGUGUGUGUGUGUGUGUGUGUGUGUGUGUGUGUGUGUGUGUGUGUGUGUGUGUAUUGUGUGUGUGUGUUUGUGUAGUGUGUGUGUGUGUGUGUGUGUGUGUGUGUGUGUGUUUGUGUAUUGUGGCCGUGUGUGUGUGUGUGUUUGUGUAGUGUGUGUGUGUGUAUGUGUGUUGUGUUGUGUGUUGUGGUAUUGUGGUCGUGUGUGUGUGUGUGUAUUGUGUGUGUUUGUGUAGUGUGUGUGUGUAGUGUGUGUGUGUAUUGUGUGUAAGUUUGAACCAACUUAAGUAGUACAAUUUGAUUAUGUAUGCAGUGUAUGUAUGUAUGCAGGGUGUGUGUGAGUGUAUGUCAGUGUGUGAGAGUGUGUAUGUCCGUGUGAGUGCAGUGUGUGCAUCUGACCAGUGUGUGUGUGUGUAUGUAUGCCGUGUGUGUGUGUGUGUGUAUGUAUGCAGUGUGUGUGUGUAUGUAUGCAAUGUGUGUGUGUAUGUAUGUAUGUAUGUAUGCAUGGUGUGUGUGAGUGUAUGUCCGUGUGUGAGAGUGUGUAUGUCCGUGUGAGUAUGUGUGUGAGUGUGUAUGCAGUGUGUGUGUGUAUGUAUGUAUGUAUGUCGUGUGUGUGUGUGUGUAUGUAUGCAAUGUGUGUGUGUGUGUGUAUGUAUGCAAUGUGUGUGUGUGUGUGUGUGUGUGUGUGUAUGCCGUGUGUGUGUGUGUGUGUGUGUGUGUGUGUAUGUAUGCAGUGUGUGUGUGUGUGUGUGUGCAGGGCAAUCAAACCGGAACUCAAGAAAGUGUUCGUCCAAAGGCUUUUAAGCGACAACGCAAGUGGAUGAAGAUUUUGGCUAAUGUUAACAUGGAUGUAUUUUAUUAAUGUUAACAUGGAUGUAUUUUAUUAAUCAUACAAUCUUAUGUUAUGGCUUAUAACUUAGCUUUGCACUAGUAUUUUGGCUUAUGUUAACUAGCCAUUUUGUAAAUUAUGGAGAUCUAUUUUGGCUAAUGUUAACUAAUGUUAUGUUAACUAAGAUUUUCUAAAUUAUGGAGAUCUUCUUAUGUACUUGUAUUUGUUGAAGUUGCAUGUAUUGGGCACUAUUAUUUUUCUUCUGUUGGGUGAUAGAGUUUAAACCAAGCUACAUUUGCAAAUUAAACCCAAUUCUAUUAGCAGGUAAUAGAAACAAAACAAUUGUCAAUUUUUUUUAAGAUUCAUAAUAUACAUGGCAAAAAUAUGCUCCAAUUAACUCAUAUCAUGAGAUUUGUAGCAUUACUCUAUUACACAAUGGCAAAAAUUUGUAGUCCUAGUCUAAGCAAACACAAAUCUGGUGAACAGUAUUGUUUUUCUUAUCCUGCUUCUUAGUCCGACAUUACACCAAACGCUUCACUAAAUUAGUCCAGCUUAGUCCAGUCUAAGCCAGUCCAGCUUAGUCCCGGCAGCUAGUCCAGCCCGAGACAGUCCGGCGCAACAAACGCACCCUAAUAAUGUUGGUGUAUGGACUUGAGAAACGACAAAAUGCCGGUCGGGAAGGUGCAGAGAAGAGUAAGAGAGAGAAAAGAGGAAAGAAACAAACACAAAAGGACAAAGAUUAUCAAAUAGAUUGUAACAAUGACUUCUUUGGUUGAAAUGUGUAAGCAUACUUCUUUGGUUGAAAUGUGUAAGCAUCUAAGAAGUAGCAUGACAACAACCGCAUAAUAAACAAAAGUGAUAGAAAAAAGGACCCAAAUGUGAAACGACAACUAAAAACAAUUGUCUCGCAAGCCGUCGGGUUUCGCCGGAAAAUCUGGGUUUUCGAAGAAAACAAGUGUGCAUGAAUAAAUAGUCCAAAAAUGGACCUCAAAUCAUCACCGGACAGGAUUUAACCCAUGAAUAUAAAGGUUAAACGAGAAAUCUCACCUGGGUUUUGAGUUUCGAAGCUUGAAACUCUUGGCUCCAAGGGUGGAUCACUGAAAUGGUGCUCCGAUGAUGCAUGCAAAGAUAUAUUCGAGUUCCUUGAGUCUCAGGGAUUCCAAAUAUGUGAUUUUGGGGCUGGGUUUGUGAGAGAAUCAAAGUGAGAGCAAGGGUUAAGCUCUCGGAGUUUAGAGAGAGAAUGAGAGAAUUUGAGAGUUAGAGAGAGAGAGUGAGUGACAGGUGUCGAGCAAGGGGAAGAAGGGAGAGAUUUGUCACGGGUGAGGUAAAAACAAAAACUGUGGGCCGGAUUUUUGGGUUUGAGAGUCCCACGCCCAAAGAUUUGGGCCGGAAUGACAAAGCCCAACACGAGGGCAUAAUCGUAAUUUGCACCUACUUUCAGAACGGGUUGUUACGGUUAUCCACCGUUAUGGCACCGCCGUGGUUCAAAUCACGACUAAAAAAUGGCAGUAUUUGUGAUUGUGUACCGAACGAAUGAUAUUGAAAUACAUAAACCCAAGUCAAGCUUCUUCAAUCAACAAGAACAAAGUUUAUAAUAUAAUAAUGUUGGCGUAUGGACUAACGACAAAAUGCCGGUCGGGAUGGUGCAGAGAAGAGUAAGAGAGAGAUAAAGAAACGAACACAAAAGGACAAAGACUAUCAAAUAGAUUUAACAAUGACUUCUUGGUGGUGAUUACAAGUAUUCAACCAUCAAUAAUGUUUUAUUUUAGGUUAAAAUGUGUAAGCAUCUAAGAAGUAACAUGACAACAACUACAUAAUAAAUAAAAGUGAUAGGAGAAAAGACCCAAAUAUGAAACGACAACUAAAAACAAUUAUUCAACGUGAGUGAUAAAUGAUUCAACCAUUUACAAUAUUCAAACGUAGAACCACGAUUCACUGGACGGUUGUAUUAACUAUUAGGAGGUGCUCUAAUAUAAUACAUCCAAAUGGGGGUGGACCACAUAAUACACCCACAUCGUUUUAAGCUCCUACAUGCUAAAACUUUUGCAAAAUGCGCAUUAGGAUUAUACUUCUAUUAGAUGCGCAUUUCCUUACUAGGCAAAUGAACCAUAUAAUCCGCCAAGAUGGAUGUUAUACACGUUGGAGUUUGAGCAGAUUUUUUUUUGUUAUCUCAUAGUCUCACAUUGCUAGAAUUGAAAAUUUUAUAAUAUAAUAACGUUCACGUAUGAACUUGAGAAACAACAUACUUUACUGCCGGUCGAUCGGGAAUGUGCAGUGAAAGAGAGGAAAGAAAGAAAGAAAUGAACACGAAAGGACAAAGACUAUCCAAUGGAUUAUAAACAAUUACUUCUUGGGGUGAUUACAACUAUUCAACCAUCAAUAAUGCAUUACUUCAGUUUAGAAUUUGGAAGCAUUUGAGAAGUAACAUGACAACAAUCACAAAAUAAACAAAAGUGAUUAAUAAAAAGACCCAAAUGUGAAAGAAUAAUUAAAAACAAUUAUUCAAGAUAAGUGAUAAUGAUUCAAUCAUUUACAAGAUAUGAACGGUUUGGAAACGCAUCACAUAGUAGUUAAAAUACCCGGCCGUAAAUGAACGGUUUGAGAUACUGCCAUAGUGGCAUCCCUCGUAUGUGAGUUUCUCUCGUAUCGGAUCACUUAUUGUAAGAAUAUCAGUAGUGAAAGUUAAAUACCCGUGUCGGGAAAGGAAGUCGAUGAUGACAACUGACAAGAGAGAAAUUUGGCUUGAAAAAUGUAUGAUGUUUGCAACAUGCGUCACCGGAGUAUCAACUUGAAGCUCUUCAUCUCUCCGUCGUUAAAUGUUUCAUAAGCAGCAUUGUUAAAGUUCUCUCUGCCAGGGGGAACUGAAGAUGGUUUUGAAUGAAGAAGAAUGGAAAAUAUAAUUUAGAAAAUGAGAAAGAAAAAUAUAAUUGAAACUAAAAAAAAUAAGAAAUAAAAAGAGAGAUUUACUAUUUUCUAGGAGGUCUUGGAGUUGGCCGUGACAGUAAGAGAGGAUGAGCGAAUAAAUUGGGCCAAUUACUUGCUCUCUUGGACUUUGGGCUUUUGGUUUGGACUGGGCCAAUUACUUACUUGGGCCCCAUCCCAACUUGACUUUUUGUCGGUCGGUAUUGGCUAAGGUGAACGUGCUAAACUAGAAAUUUGAGGUUUUGAAUUAGCGAAUGAAUGUUAAGUAAGAGUGUCAUGAUCAGACUUGUAAGACUGUCUUUAAUAAGAAGUUGUUGCGUUUUGUCAAAACCGGUCCAUCUAAUUACAAAUUGUAACCAUAUUAGUUGAGUGCAUAUGCUACAUCACAUUUAGUGAAUAUUCAGUACGGGUGAUACAUGGUCAAACUUGUAGGUUGUUCAUUAAGAAGUUACCACGUUCUCAAGAGUGGAGUUAGAGGGGAGCACUUCCCUACCAAAGUGUUUUCCUUCUCCCCUUUACAAGGGAUUUGUGUCACUAUUAGAUAGGAGAUUCGAACACAAGACCUUGAAUUGAGAGGUAAACGAUUUUACAAAGCUUCUACGAGCACCUUCUUGUUUACCAAACUUAAUGAAACUAAAGGAGGUCUUAACGCCAUUUUGGCUAAUAGUAUUCUGUAUAUUUACGAAUGGUUUUAAGUUUGGGCUUAAUUGGAUAAUCAGAGAGUAGUGCAUCACACUAUGGAUAUUCAGAAACCGAAGGCAUAAUUCAUAUUCCUCCAACAAGUCCACGCAAAUAACCACAAUCAGAAUGUUAGUUCAUAACUGGCCAUAUAGAACGCAAUACAAAAGCACUAAAAGCGUCCAAGUGAAAGUGCUUUCUCCUCAUGUAGUUUCAUUUAACUUAGUUUCACAUGCCAGUCCGUCACACACUCAACUCCUCAACGUUCGGGCUCAAAGCAUUCUUUAUCCCUUAUGUACGAGAGACAAUAAGUUUAAAGUUCUUGUGAUGAAAUCAUGUAAAACAUUCAGAAAUCUUGAUUUAACCCUUUCUCAAGAUCAUAGGUUGUGUCAUCUCAACCUAUAUCUUAGGUCUCAUGAGUGCUCGUAAUACACUAAUAUGACGCUUGUUUUCUGGCCAGGACAGAAACAAAAUCAUGCAGGAAAUUGUCAUGACAACUUAAGCGUAAAAUGCGACCGGAAAAACACUAAACAGGAUAGCUAUGCUUUCUUCGUGUAAACCUUAACAACAAAGACAAUACCGUAUCUGUCACAGUGAUAUGCGACCAUAAGCCCAACUCCAAGGAUCAGCUUUCCAAGAGCUUUGAAGGCUACAAAUCAAAAGUUACAUGCAGUGAUGACAUAAUCAUGAAAAAAUACAAUCAUAAAUUAAAGGAAAACAUACCGACUUCUAUUUCUGGCAAUUCACUAUUGGGCCAUAUAUUUGAACAACAGUAUGAUGGAUACCUACAAUACAGAUCACAAGUAAAAUCUGAGCAGACACAAAGUAUUAUGUUCUGUUUACGCAAAUUCUGUAAGUUCUCAAAUAGGAUAAAUAAAGAUAAGCAUAUCCCAGCAUAAAGACGACUUGUCCUGGCUAAUUCUAAGAAAGCUUGUAUCAAAUGUAUGAUAGUUAUUCAUAACUAACACAAACAACAGUUUGGCCAAACAUUACUGGUCUGAGCCAUAUACUGUGUGACCUCAGACAAAACAGAUCCCACAUGUACUCAGAUUAUGAUUGAUACCCCAAUAGACUUUUAGGCGGUGCUCUGAUAUAAUACAUCCAAAUUGGGGUGGACCAUAUAAUACACCCCAACGGAUCGUUUUAAGCUCCUCCACUGCUAAAGCUAUUGCAAAAUGCGCAUUAGGAUUAUACUUCUAUUAGAAGCCCCUUUCCUUACUAGGCAAAUGAACCAUAUAAUACACCAAGAUGGAUGUUAUACACGUUAGCGUUUGAGCAGAAUUUUUUUUGGUUAUCUCAUUGUCUCACAUUGCUAGAAUUGAAAAGUUUAUAAUAUAAUAACGUUCGCAUAUGAACUUGAGAAACGACAUACUGCCAGCUGGCCGGGAAGGUGCAGUGAAAGAGAGAAAAGGAAGAAAGAAACAAACAUGCAUGAAAGGACAAAGACUAUCCAAUAGAUUAUAUACAAUGACUUCUUGAGGUGAUUACAGCUAUUCAACCAUCAAUAAUGCAUUAUUUUAGUUUGGAAUUUGGAAGCAUUUGAGAAGUAACAAGACAUCAACCACAUAAUAAACAAAAGUGAUUAGAAAAAAAACCCAAACGUGAAGGAAUAAUUAAAAACAAUUAUUCAAGAUAAGCGAUAAAUGAUUCAACCAUUUACAAGAUAUGAACUUAGAACAACAAUCUAUUUGAUCGUUGUAUUAACUAUUAAGUGGUGCUCUAAUAUAAUAUAUCCAAAUGGAGACGAACCAUAUAAUACACCCAAAUGGACCAUUUUUAGGCUCCACUGCUAAAAACUAAUGCAAAACGGGCAUUAGGAUUAAACUAUAAGAACUAGGAUUGCAGGGAAGACAAAACACGCAGGAAAGCUGUAAGACUACACAAGGUUUUCACUGUGAUUGCAUACCCUCAACGUUGUAGGGAGCAACCUUUUUAUAAUCACUUUUCAGAUUACAUCAGGGUUUCAAAAACCCUAUUUACAAGCUUACAUUUUGAAAUUCAAAUACUAUAACUAAUUCUGAUAAAACAAAUAUUUAAAAAUUCAAAUGAUUUUAACAGAAGCUCCACUUGAUAAGUGUUGUUGACUGAGUAAACCAACUGAAGAAUUUCUGUUUGAAGAGGAAACUUGACUCCGUCUAACAUAAACUUGUAUUAGCUAGCUUUCCUAGUCAAAUGAACCAUAUGAUACACCCAAAUGGAUGCCAUCAUGCCAUAUAUAAACAAUGUUUUGAAAGGACAAGGUACCUAAGACUGUCUUUUUAUAUAAUGUAAGCAACAACCAUAAAUCUUAUUGGAGCUAAUUAACUAAUGUAUUUAUUAGACAGUUGGAUUCCUUAGCAAGUGGUUAACUAUUUUUGUUUAGUUUAGUAGUCAGGUCGUAAUUAAUUAGUCAAAUGAACCAUAUAAUACACCCAAAUGGAUGCCAUAUAUGCAAUAUAAACAAUUUUUUCAAAGGAUGAAAUGACCUUCUUGCGGGUAUAGGGGAAGAGGAAAGAAACUAGUACGAAACUGCAGACCCUAUCGAUCCAUUAUAAUAAAUUUCAAGGGUCCAAGUUGUAAGUUAAUUGUGCAACGUAAAAACUUAUUCACAAUUAUCAACUUAACCACGUACCUGUGGAAGACAUCGUCUUUGAAAACUAAGAUUAAGAACUGAAGUUCUCCUGCAACUCUACACAAUUGAAAGCUCGCUCAAUGGGGCUUGAGUUUUCUGUAAACUUGUGUAGUUAGGGGAGAGAUCAGGGACCUCAAUUUUAUACAUGGAAUUUAAUAAGGAACCCUCUCAUUAAUUGAUCCUUAUCAAAGAGUAGCCUUAUCACCGUGAAACACUAAUGCAUUAUAUCAGCUAGAAGAGUUCUAGUUUUAUCGAAAAUGUAUCUGACUUGAAAUUGUAAAGAAAUACAACUCCUAAUAAGUCUACCACAAGUGUCAAUCCUUAUCUCCUUAUCAUUCCACAUCACCAAGUGUUUGCUCUCAUAUAGAACUUACACAAAUCUCAUGUAGUUUCAUCUAACUUAUUUUUCACAACGGUGAAUAUAUUUCAAUGGCUUGGUUUUCACAUGCCAGUCAGUCACAUGCUCAACUCCUCAAAGUUCAGGCUCAAUGGCUCAAAGAGGGCUUCCACUUCACUCUGAUUCACCUCCCUUUUACUUUGACGGGUUCCACUUCGGAUUCUGCAUUGACAAAAAACAGAAGCAAAAGAUUGUUGAGAGUUCUCCCACAUUGGUGAGGGACAAAGCUUGUUAUGUGCUUAUAUGAUCUUAGGCUACUUCCAAUAUUGCCAAUUUGUUUUAUGGUGGAACCUCAAUUUCAUCAUGGUAUCAAAGCCAAGUUGUCGACAUGUGAAGCCCAAUGGCCACAUGCGCUCCACGUCACCCAGUUGUUGUACACGUGUAGGCUUGAAAAUCCGUCACAUGUGCGGGGUCGUGUUGAGAGUUGUCCCACAUUGGCGAGGGACAAGACUUGCUAUGUGCUUAUAUGAUCUUGGACUACUUCCCAUAUUGUCAAUUGGUUUUAUGGUAAAACCUCAAUUUCAUCAAAGAUAACGAUCUGUUCUGAUACAAGGAAAGUAAGAUGAUUAUAUAACUGUAGGUCUAGUAUAGGCUGUAAUGGUUUAUGUUGCAGCAACUCCGUCAGCAAGUGAUUUUCAAGUAAGGAAUCUUGAGCAUAAUUAACGAACCUGAUCCUUGUCCACCAAAACUGCCCGCACACCUUCAGCAAAAUCAUUCCGCAAAGACGAUCUUCUAGCAACGCGAUAUUCAGUUUUCAUCACACCAGUUAGCUGGUAUGGAUCAAGUAAAGCACAUGUUACUCACUCAGAAAAUGUGAAAUACUACAACACAAAAUCUAUCAAAAGGAUGCAACCUUGAAGAGCUUCAUUUGCCCACUCCACCACUACAACGGAAACAAUUUGAUAGAAAAUACUUGACAGCCAUGUACAAGCCUCUCAAUAGAAGAGUAAGACAGAUUUCAUUUCAUCAUCGAUAAACAAAUGGCAUUGACAAACUUACCAGUAGCAUCUGAACUCUGCUGCUGCUUUUUAAGUUCAUCAAUUGCCACAAGAACCGACUUAUUUGCACCAAAUGCUGAAGUUAUUUGAGGUAAAAGACUCCUGAGCUGCGAUUCGAAUCUGGGUUGCUGCUGAAUUUCACCACAGUUGUAAUUGACAACAUUGACAAUUGUCUCUCUCGCAAUAGUACCUUCGUAAUGAUCCGGUACUGACCUUGGCCCGAUAGGCCAAUACCAAAGGCCAUUGUUAUGGCCACGAAGCUUAUACGUGGCUGUCAAGCCCGACACGUGAAUAGCAUACUCUACUACUGUGUUACAUUGUGAGAAUUUUAUCCAAAAUUAAUUGACAAUAAGUGAAUAAGUUGAAAGAUUAUGUAUGACUUUAAUUAUGCAAAGAGUGAAGAGGCAAUUUUCACCAAACUCCAGUAAAAAAUUUGGGCCUCACAAAUCACUAAACCCAAUAUGCUUUUCUCUUAUGCCUUUUGUUCAUGGUUCGAUAUUCUGGCGUCCGAGGACCCUGACAUGACAAGUUCCAACUUUUGUUCAAUUUCUUGACGAAACAAUCACAUUUACCCUUACGGCACGGCACGGUUCCGGGCAUAGAAUAUGGGUUGGGUUCCGUCACAGCUCCAACACUGUAGAGAAGGAAAUAAAAAGACAACUAUUUAUUUCUUACAACGUAGCCAGUCUCUUGACAUGGCUCCUGCUGUUUUGUUCUUAUUUCACGUCCUGUUUCUCGAGCUUGGUGUUUCCGGCAGGGCCGGUCUAGAGAUUUUUGAGGCCCGGAGCGACGUAAAAAAAUAUGCUCACUUUAUAUAAGAAAAUUAUUUGUUUUCACAUGUAAGACAUGGAUAAAAUUAUACUUACAAAAACACUUAAACUUAAUAAUUUAGAAACAAGGAAAAACUAAUUUAUUUUGUAUCGUGAGAAUGAAACAAAAAAACUCUGGUCUCUUCCGCUCCACCUCGGCCUGGAUUAGGCAGGUUGGAGCUCUCACCCCUGGCCAUGUACGAGGCAUUUUGGAUAGGCAACUUUUAGUUUCUCUUGGAAUAUCGCCUAACUCCUGUAAAGCUCCUUCUAUUGUCCCUGUUCAUUGGCUCCCCCCUCCUUUUUCUUGGGUUAAAGUGAAUACUGAUGGCCUUGCUAAAGGUAAUCCGGGUCCUGCGGCAUGUGGCGGGGUUUUUCGUGACUCUGCAGGUUAUUUUCUUGGUGGUUUCUCCCUAAGCUUGGGUCAUCGUACUUCUUUCUAUGCGGAGCUCCAUGCUGUCAUCCUUGCUAUCGAAUUGGCCCACACGCGGGGCUGGCUAAAUUUAUGGCUUGAAAGCGACUCUUCUAGUGUAAUAUCAUGUUUUGCUUCUGGAUCUUUCUCUCCCCCUUGGUCUCUCCAGACACGCUGGAACAAUUGUACUCUCCAUUUGCAGAACAUGGUUUUUCGUUGCUCUCAUAUUUUUCGAGAAGGGAAUGUUGUGGCUGACAAAUUAGCCAAUUUAGGGCUUCUAUCAUCUUCCCUUGUUUGGCAUUCCACUCCCCCUAUAGAGAUCCUUCCUCCUCUGCACUCAGAUUUCUUGGGCAUGCCAACCUACAGGUUUGUCUCCUCUUCUUGAUGUGUGUUCUCCUUUCUUUUCCUAACCUUUUUUGGAUUCCCUUUUGUUUUGCAGCUUGUCUUGCAGGUUAUUACCUUUUAGGUUUAUUGAGGGGUUUGGGCUUAUGUCCGCCCAGUCUUUUCCUUGUAUUUUCUUUUCCAAGAGGGGUACGGUCUAUGUCCCCCCCUCUUUUGUAUUUUCUUUCUCAAAAGGGGUAAGGUGCAUGUCCCCCCCUUUUUUGUAUUUCUUUUCUCUUGUUCUAUGAGGGGUUAGGUUUAUGUCCCCCCCUGUCUAGGUGUAUUUUCUUUUUUCUUAUCAAUAAAUUUCCCUCGUACCGCCGAGGUUCUCCAAAAAAAAAAAAAAAAAAAAAAAAAAAAAAAACUCUGGGUUUACAAGUAGAUAGAUAGAUAGAUAUGGCACAAGUUGCGGAUUGCUUUGCUAACUAUGAUGUUGAUCUGGCUGGGGUUCAUUGGUGAGAUUCUUGAUUUCCUUGUGCUACUUUGACAUAUCACCAUAAGUUGUCUUUUUUGCCUUGUUAUAGUUUCGUGUGGGGUUUUUUUUCUUCUAAUGUUGAUUGGGUUCUUUUCUUCCAACUCCUGCCCACUCAUUAUUGUCUGAACCACACCUAGUAUUACCCUCAUAUCCACUAAAACUUCAAGCUUUACCAAUUUGUCACAAGCGAAGAUGGUAGCUCCCAACACCAAUGAGGUUCCAAACAAUUACGAUCGAAAAAGCGAAGUGAAAGCUUUUGAUGAGACAAGGGAAGGCGUUAAGGGUCUUGUUGAUGCCGGGAUAGCCGAGGUUCCUAGAAUUUUUCAUCAACCACCACAAUUGGACGAUCAGUACUCCAUCAACAAUACAAGCACUGACUCAGAAGCCACCCAGUUUAGCAUUCCGCUAAUAGACCUUGAAGACCAUGGUAAUCCAACUAAGCGCAAUGAGAUUGUUGCAAAAGUUGGAGAGGCAUCAGAGACUUGGGGCUUCUUUCAAAUAGUGAAUCAUGGGAUACCUGUAGGUGUUCUGGAGGCGAUAAAGGAUGGGGUACGUGGGUUUUAUGAGCAGGACACUCGAGUCAAGAAAGAGUUUUACACUCGUGAUCACUCUAAACCUUUGUUUUACAAUAGCAACUUUGAUCUUUAUAGUUCACUGGCAACGAAUUGGAGGGAUACUUUUAAGUGUUACAUGGCUCCAUAUCCUCCUAAGCCAGAAGACUUGCCAGAAGUAUGCAGGUAUUUGACAACCCAAUUCUCUGGUUUAAUUGGUGACAUUAACCUGGUGCAGAUUCCUUCCUUGAUGGAUUAGAUCAUUAAACUCCAUACUUUUGACAAGUUUAAUGUGCUUUCCUGGUUUUCAACUUGCAGAGACGUACUGAUCGAGUAUUCAAAGCGAGUAAUGGAGUUGGGGAAAUUGUUGUUCGAGUUGUUGUCGGAGGCCCUUGGGCUAAAGCCAAGCCACUUGAAUAGCAUAGAUUGUAGUAAGGGGCUACAGGUUUUUAGGCCAUUUACUAUCCUGCUUGUCCACAGCCAGAGUUAACUUUGGGCACAAGCAAGCACGCUGAUGAUUCCUUCCUUACGGUCCUUCUGCAAGAUCAUAUUGGUGGUCUGCAAGUUGUUGAUCGUCAAAAGAAGUGGAUAGAUGUACCCCCUGUGCCUGGGGCUUUAGUGGUGAACAUUGGAGAUCUUUUACAAGUAAGCACACGUAUUACAAUUGCCCUUUUUUUUUUCUCCCUAAAAACUACUAUUAAAUUAAGAGAAUAGUAUCGUAAACUAAGCUAGUUUGUUAAUGACUAAUACUCGAGACAAGCUUUGGUCGCAUGUUAGCGUUUCUCUUAGAAUAUGUCUUAGAAUUCUUCGAUUAUCAUAAUUAGGUCUUUUAUGUUCAAUUCUUUUUGGGAUUUUCAGCUCAUAUCAAAUGAUAGAUUCAAAAGCGUAGAACACAGGGUAUUGGCGAACCGUGAAGGUCCAAGGAUAUCCAUUGCCAGCUUCUUUAGCACAGGUUUGCUACCAUUUACAAAUCUCUAUGGACCUAUUAAGGAGUUGGUAUCAGAAGACAACCCUCCAAAGUACAGGGAGACUACUGUGAGGGACUACGACACCCAUUUCUAUGACAAAGGCCUAGAUGGAACCUCUGCCUUAUCUCAUUUUAAGAUCCCAACUUAGACAUGGAGGAGCACAGACCGCAACGAACAAAUCCUGUCUACUAAAUAAUUUUGCAUGAAAAUAUAUAUUGGUUGUUUAAUCUGAAAGCGCUUUCGCACCACAAAAUUCUGGAUAUGCAUAUUAUUUUGUUUUCUGUUUGCAUAUGGUCUAAUAUACUUGUAGAAAGGGUUGGGCUUCUACCCAUGCAUCUCAGGUACAAACUUCCCCUCCUAUAAAUUAUUGUAAUAGUUUCGAACUCUCUAUCUUCCGCAAAAAAAUUUAAAAAGUAAAUAAAGAAGUAAAAUUUAAAAAAUAAAAGGGGGUUUUCUAACACUUUUAUUCAUCAUGUUUACAGUUUUUGUGGCAUGCUGCUUAGCGCUUAACGAAUUCAACUGUGGUUGUGGUUGCGGUUGCGGUUGCAUAUCAAUACUAUUAUACCAUAAGUGUGGGCUUGUUUGAGAAUGUUUUUAUUUGUAAGAAGCGGUUUUACACAAUUGUGUCGAAAACCUGUUAAAGUAUUUAUUAUAAUCCAACUGCUUCUUGGAGAAUCACUCUCCGUAAAGUCAGCUAAAAAAAGUAGCCAAUCCCGUCCAUCCUCCACACUAUAUAACCCGUACACGAAAGAGGAAGCUGAGGAGAAAGCAGCCAAAAAUGCUAAGAAGAUUAUAUUUUUAUACUAUAUUGAUGUAUGACAAGUGAUAUGUACAUUUCCGGUUGCAAAUUUUGGUUCGCCGGUGUAGUGCACAUGGGAGGGGAUUGUCUAGCAUUGUUCCAAGCAGUUAGAGGCGGUCGGUUGCGAUGAUGUGUUUUCUACGGCGAGAACAUACAGGAGUCAUCAGUUAUUCUCGCAACCGUCUUCCAUAAUGAAGGACGAGAGAGAAAAAAACGAAUGUAGAAAGAAAACAUACAAGUUGGUUGACAAAAGGGGAAGAAAAAUUGAGAGAUACAGAGAAUAAGAAAAGAAGAAAAUCGAUGCAAAUUUUAAUACAUAUGUAGUAGAUCCAGGUAUCCAAAGGAUUCGGGGCUAAUGUACCUGCAUUGGUGAAAAAACAAAGAUGAGAUUUUUGGAAACGCAUCACAUGGUAGUUAAAACAUCCGGCCGUAAAUGAAGGGUUUGAGAUACGGCCAUAAUGGCAUCCCUCAGGUGUGAGUUUCUCCAUCGGAUCACUUAUUGUAAGAAUAUCAGUAGUGAAAGUUAAAUACCCAUGUCAGGAAAGGAAGUCGAUGAUGACAGAAGAGAGAUUUGGCUUGAAAAAUGUAUGAUGUUUGCAACAUGCGUCACCGGAGUAUGAACUUGAAGCUCUCCCUCUCUCCGUCGUUAAAUGUUUCGUAAGCAGCAUUGUUAAAGUUCUCUAUGUCAGGGGGGAAUCUGAAGAUGGUUUUGAAUGAAGAAGAAUGGAAAAUAUAAUUUAGAAAAUGAGAAAGAAAAUUAUAAUUGAAACUUAAAAAAUGAGAAAUAUAAAAAGAGAUUUACUAUUUUCUAGGAGGUCUUGGAGUUGGCCGUGACUGUAUGAGAGGAUAAGCUAAGUUCCAAUGGAAAGUGGAAAUUUUCAGAGCGAGAGGGUAGCGGUUUUUUCGCUUGCUCUCUUGGACUUUGGGCUUUUGGAUUGGAUUGGGCCAAUUACUUACUUAGGCCCCAUCCCAACUUAUGACCUUUUGUCGGUCUGUAUUGACUCAUGAGUCAGACUUGUAAGGCUGUCUUUAAUAAGUUGCCGCGUUUUGUCAAAACUGGUCCAUCUAAUUACAAAAUUGUAACCAUAUUAGUUGAGUGCAUAUUCUAAAUCACAUUUAGUGAAUAUUCAGUACGGGUGACACGUGGUCAAACUUGUAAGGUUGUUCAAUAAGAAGUUAUCACGUUCUCAAGAGUGGAGCUAGAGGGGAGCAUUUCCCUACCAAAGUGUUUUCCUUGUCCCCUUUACAAGGGAUUUAUGUCACCAUUAGACAGGAGAUUUGAACACAAAACCUUGAAUUGAGAGGUAAACGCUAUUACAAAGCUUCUACGAGCACCUUCUUGUUUACCAAACUUAUUGAGACUAAAUGAGGCCUUAACGCUUAUAUCUUAGGUCUUAUGAGUGCUCGUAAUACACUAAAAUGACACUUGUUUUCUGGCCAGGACAGAAACAAAAUCAUGCAGGAAAUUGUCAUGAAAACUUAAGUGUAAAAUGUGACCGGAAGAACACUAAACAGGAUAGCUAUGCUCUCUUAGUGUAAACCUUAACAAGAAAGACCAUACCGUAUCUGUCACAGUGAUAUGCGACCAUAAGCCCAACUCCAAGGAUCACCUUUCCAAGAGCUUUGAAGGCUACAAAUCAAAAGUUACAUGCAGUGAUGACAUACUCAUGAAAAAAUACAAUCAUAAAUUGAAGGAAAACAUACCGACUUCUAGUUCUGGCAAUUCACUAUCGGGCCAUAUAUUUGAACCACAGUAUGAGGGAUACCUACAAUACAGAUCACAAAUAAAAUCUGAGCAGACACAAAGUAUUAUGUUCUGUUUACGCAAAAUCUGUCAGUUCUCAGAUAGGAUAAAUAAAGAUAAACAUAUCCGAGCAUAAAGACGAUUUGUCCUGGCUAAUUCUGAAAAACCUUGUAUCAAAUGUAUGAUAGUUAUUCAUAACUAGCACAAACAACAGUUUGGCCAAACAUUACUGGUCGAGCCAUAUACUGUGUGACCUCAGACAAAACAGAUCCCACAUGUACUCAGAUUAUGAUUGAUGUCCGUAUAGACUUUUACCUUUGAAUUAGAGAUUCAUCUGUUGUAGGGGUAUCCAAUAUUGGAUUUGCAUAAAACGAGCCUUUUAACGUAUCUGCAAAACCAGAACACAAACGGACAAUGAUUGAUCCUAAGUUCUUAGAGUUUCCAAAGAAACAAAAUUUAAAACAAAGAACAUAAAGUGAUAUCAGGCUUUCCAGAUUUCUUUUCCAUGACUCCAUCCAAAAUUUAUGAGUUAUGAAUGGAAUAAUGGAGCAAAAUAUCGUCGCCAAAACAGCGCAAUCUACAAUGUACAUGAUGGAGAAAGUACAGCAACAUUACAUUAAGUUCAUGUAACCUUUGGUUUCACAUGUAAGCCUUUGGUUUAUAUUUUUAACCGAUUCGUUAAUAAAUUCUUCCUGCACAUAUAGUUUCAACCCGAAACCGAAAAUUCCAUUGUCAAACAAAUAUGUAUAAUACCAGAAUUAAGUAAAUUACAACAUAUCACCAUACCGAUACUGAUGUGAUUCAGAAUUAAGCAUUUUUAACUUAUCAUAACUGGUAAUGGAAGAGAGAAUCAGUAAUUAACACUGGUGAUUCAGAAUUAAGCAUUUUUAACUUAUCAAAACGCGUAACGGAAUCAUACACGAGUGAUUGAUAGAAUUCCCAACCCAUUUGGUCCAAAUCCUUCUUCAAUCUUCACUGACAAGUCUUUGUCCUUGUCCUGUAUCAAUCAAUCCAAAAUCAAAAAACGCAAAACUAGAAAAAUUGAAUCCUCGACAUGAUCGACGAGUUAAAACAAAACUAUGAAUAAAACAAUUAUAUUCUGUUUGGUUGCUGAGAAAAUGAAGAGAAUAACAACCAAAAAGUCAACUGAAAUAAAAUUUUGCUCAACUUUCAACGAAUUCUCUUGAGUUUCUGACCACCCAAACAGAAAAUAAAUUAAAGCCAAUUAAACCAAACUCUCAUGCUCAAUUUUCUCGGCAACCACAAACAGAACUUAGAGGGGGGAGGAGAGAGUUACUUGGAGCUCGGAGUAGGAUAUGGUGACCGGUGUGACGGUGGGGACGGCGGGGUCGGAGGACGGAGGCAUAGUUCGACAAGAAAUUUGGCGGGAAACACGGCGGUUGGACUUUGACGGUGGGGAAGAAUCCGUGGGACAGAAGAGGAAUUUUGGUGCGGAAGGAGGCAUUUUAUAUAGGAGGGAGGGAGAGAGGUUGAGAGCGAAAGGCGUGAUUGUCAAUUUCUUUUUUUUUUUUAAGGAAUAAAGAAAGAAAAGAGGUUGAGCAUCAAUUGCUUUUCCCUCCAAACCAAAGAAUAUAGAGAGUUUUAACGAAAAGUCCACGAUACUAUUUACUUUAAUGAAAAAUUAUAUUUUUACACUAAAAAAUCAAACCUGCUAUUAUUCACUUUAACCUUUAUUUUGUCUUUAUCGUUGAAACUCAAAGUUUUCAAAUCAUUUUCAUUAGUUUUCCUAAGAAUAUAUUCACGAUCACGAUGUGCGGCAAAAAUUGGUGGUGAGGACAAAUAUAUUAAAUACAUGUAAGUAUUAGUUAAAUUUAAAAUUAUUUGUGUACUAUUAAGGAUUUGUUUGAAAGUGUUUUUAAAAUGAUUGAAAGUAAUUUUGGUUAAAAUGUUUUUUAUAUCAACUUUUAGUAAAACCAAGUGGAUCCCAAAAAAACAUUUGGUGUACUUUUUUACAAAAAAUGCAAUUUUAGAAUCCAAAAUUAAUUUAAUAAAAGUGGGUUUAGUCUUUUUUUAUUAUUUUUUAUUUUAACAAAGGAUAUAAUCUAUCUUGAAGGUGAGAGGGUAGACUUAACCUCACAAUGAGCUAGCACAUUAAUAAUGUGAUUCAAAUUCGCCUUUGCGAAAAUUGAAUUUAAGACCUCUCACUUACAAGUGAGGAGGAAUGCCUUAAAUCGUAGUACUAAGUAAUGUGUUUAAUCAUUUUUAAAAGACUUUAAAACGAGCCCUAAUUUGUAUCAAAUUAAAAAAUGUUGAAUUGGCCGGAUGUAAUAUGUAUUGGGUAUUUCCUCAUUCAAUAAUAUUUACGUUGUUUUCGGCAAAAAAAGAAAGAAUUCAAUUGGAAAAAAUAAAAAAAUGGGAAAUAAGGAUAUUCUAAUUAAGGUUUUUAUUCAUUGUUUUAGGUGGAUGGUUCAUAUGAAGAUUAUGAAACACUUUAAUUCUCUAAUGUGAGGUUCCGCCUCGAUCCAAAGUUAAACAGUGAAAAAUAUAAUUAAGAUUGUUAUUAAUUAUCAAUUCAUGUAUAUUUCCCCAUGUAUUACGUUUACUAAGUUAGACAAUGAAAAAUACAUAUAAGGCGUUACGAGAAUAUGCGUGGCUGUCAAGUCUGACACGCAAAUAGCAUGCUCAACUUGUAUUACUCCCUAAGGAUUUUAUCCAAAAUUGACGAUGAGUGAACAAGUUGAAAGAUUAUGCACUACUUUAAUUAUGUAACAAGUGAAGAGUCAAUAUUCGCCAACCCGACAAGUUCCACUUUUUGUUCAUUUUCUUGACGAAACAAUCACAUUUACCCUUACGAUUCCGGGCAUAGAGUAUGUGUUGGGUUCCGUUACAGUUCCAACACUACUUAGCACCGUAGAGAAGGAAAUAAAAAGACAACUUUGGAUUUCUUACAACGUAUUGAGUCUCUCUUCAUGGCUCUUGCUGUGUUGUUCUUAUCUCACGUCCUGUUUCUCGAGCUUGGUGUUUCCGGUUGCAAAUUUUGGUUCGCCGGUGUAGUGCUCAGGGGAGGGGACUGUGUCACAUUGUUCCAAGCAGACAGAGGCGGUUGACAACGAUUGCGAUAAUGUGUUUUUCUACGGGGAGAACAUACAGCAGUCAGCAGUUACCUUUUCACAACCGUCUUCAGUAUUUGGAGGCACCUCAAGAAAUUGUCGAGGACAGAAUGUAGAAAAGAACAAAUAUCGAAGUUGAUUGACAAAAGGGGACGAAAAAUUGAGAGAUACAAAAAAGAGGAAGAUAAGAAGAAAUUCGAUGCAAAUUUUAAGCUUGAUUAGUUAUUUUUCAUUAAUGAGCGAUACAGAGAAGAAGAAACAGCUGCAUUUGGAGAUAGCCGCUUUAGUUGCCUAGUUUGUAACAUUAGCUUUAUGUAAAUCCGGGGAAGAAACAGGAGUAAAAAAAACACAAUCAGGCAGUACCAAAGAAGAAAAAUGUACAGUUAGGAACAAUCACCACUUCUCAAACUUUGUAGUAGAUCCAGGUAUCCGAAGGACUCGGGGCUAAUGUACCUGCAUUAACCAGAAACAAAUAUCAGAUUUGUGGAAGGGAGUCGCAUAGUAGUUAAAAUACUUGGCCGUGCGUGAAUGGUUUGAGAUACCACCAUAGAGGCAUCCUCCAGGUGUGAGUUUCUCUCGUAUCCGAUAACUUAUUGUAAGAAUAUUAGCAGUGAAAAAGAAAUACCUGUGUCGGGAAAGGAAGUCAAUGACAAAAAAGCAAUUUGGCUUGAAACAUUGUGUCCCCGUAUGGAGCUUGCAACAUGCAUCACGGAAUCAACUUGAAGCUCUCCACCUCUCCAUCUGUUAUGUUUCAUAAGCAGCAUUGUUAAAGUUCCAUCUGUUUGUGGGGAUAUACCUACAGAUCCUCCUCCUGGAUUCUUUGCCUCUAUACGUGAAAACCCAACAUCUGGGAACAAACAAAUUACAUUCUCUGGCAUAGCAAGAACAGUCCUCUGAAAUGUAUCCAUACAAAGUUAGGACACAACAAAUUCAAUAAGGCAAUGUAAUUCACAACAUUGACAAUCUCUGUCUGACAAGGCAAUAAUACCUCUGUAAUGAUCCGGUAGCGACCGUGACCUGAUAGGCCAAUACCAAAGCCCACUGUUAUGCCAUCCAUGAAGCUUAUAUGGGCUUCUUGAACUCAGAGAGUUUGCAUAUUAGAGAAUACUCAGCAGUGAAUACCUGAAAAACGUGCAGCACAAAUAUCAUAUCGGCAGCCUCUCAAAUCUUAAGAAAACUACAAAUGGUAUCUUAGAAUAGAAAUGAAUCCUCUCCAACCAAUACAAAUCAUAUUACCCAAGUUCAAGCAAAAUCAAGAUUAAACAAAUGAUCAGAUUUGUAGGUUGCCCGAGAAUGUCAAACAUGAUAUUACAAAAGAAAAAAAAAUAUUGUAUGUAUUGAUAUUAAUAAAUACAUGCUGAAAGCACAAUCUUAGCCGCAAUUUUCGCCCAUGAGCGGUAGGUCUCGGGUUCGAGACUUGGGAGCAGCCUCUCCAUAAAUUGGGGUAAGGCUAGCCGACAUUCACCUCUCCCAGACCCUGCGUAAAGCGGGAGCCUUGUGCACUGGGUACGACCUUUUUUUUUAUACGAGAUUGAAUAGCCAAAGCAAUUAAAGAAGUAGCAGAACUCAUAUAAGUGACUUUCACAUUGAACUUUUAGGCUUAUCAACAAAUACAUCAUUAUGAUUCUAAUACAUGAAUUUUGUUAAAAGGGCUUGCUUGCUUGUAUUAAGGCUUAAUCAUCAAUGAUUUUGCAAGGGUCAAUCGUAUUGCUAGUUAUAAAUAUAUUCACUAUGAAAAUUACCAAAAUUACAUCUAAUAUGGUAGUGAAGGAAGUCAUCUUAUAUUAUCUUGAUUUUAGAAAACUGUGUAAGGUUAUAAGUCUGCUAUUAUAUAUAGUUAAAAGGACACAAUUAGACCUCAAUCAUAUUCGGUGGUUGGUUUUUGGUCGUGAUCUGCUUCACAUCACCGCCUGCAGGUAAUCUAAAUCUGGGUUAUUACUUAUCAACAUAGUUGCCAGAUACGGAUACAGUUCGAGUUCCUGAUUCGGUUCGGGUACGGAAUUCGAUGGUAACCUAAAGUAUCAUUCGUUAGAGAGUAUACAUAGACAGCACGAUAUUUAGUUCGAUCCGUUCUUAAUUCGUUAAAAAUAUAAAUUAAAAAUAUUUAUAAUAUACAUUUUACAAUAAUAUUUAUAGUUAUUGUAAACAACUAUUUUUGUUUAAAUUGAUUAUUUUAUAAGCAACUAGUUAUUUACCCAGAUGGGUCCCCCCCCCCCACUAACACAAUAAAAAAAUGUAAAAAUUACAAUUAAACUAAACAUUUUCUCUUCGUCUGCCCUCUACCUGAUGGAGAGCUUCCCAAAAUUCCAGUUGUUUCCAUCCUCUCUUCUCAAAAAAUUAAAGGUGUUUUUUCUUUUCUGUAUUCUGAUUAAAAAUUAUUAAAGAUUAUUGGAUGAAUCACCGAACUGACCACCGAAUCCAAAAAGUACUGGUGCGUACGUACCGAUACGGGAUUCGGACACCAUUUCACCGAAUCCGGCAACUAUGCUUAUCAAUGAAUCAACGUGCCAACUUAAUGGACACCAUCUAUCUCUAUAUGGCAAAAAAACAACACAAAAAUGAACAAUGAAGUGAAACAAUAAACAACAUGACGUGAAACAGCAUGAACAUCAAAGACUAACUUUGGUUCAAAGCAAAGCGUAAUGUAGAAACCUUCGGCAGAACAGGGGUGUUUUUGUCCUUUUGAAACAACCACUUUAAUAUCCUUUCCUGCAUUUACCAUGAUUGGUCACUCUUAAAACCUUACCUAAGAGACCCAAAAACAAAAAUAACCGCCGAAAGAGCUAAACAUACAUAUCUAGAAAAACUUAUUUAACUGCAUGCUAAAAUGGAAGUGUAAAAUUGCCAGGAAAGAUAAGAAACUAUUCAAAUACGAGUUCUGGGCGUUACCGCCACAAAAGGCACGACCCGAGCGGCUAUCAACAAGAACACACUUCACAUUUGUGUCAGCUUCCCCUUCAUCUAGAUAGCUCUUGUAUUUCACAUCCAUAUCUGCAUUUUCCAACAAUUCCCACUUAAACUGAAACACAUAAUUCUUUGGAAAAAAGCUAACUUCUUCGAAAUUUGAAUCCAACGUUUCGUCUUAUAACAAAUGCAAUACCAUAGAUUUGUAAUCAAUACGAUGCCAUAAAGUUCAAGCUCAAAAAUUCAAAUCAGCUCCAAAUCAAAAGCAUUUACAGAUACAUACAUAUAUACAUGUGCGUGUGUGUGUGUUUAUCUACAUACCUAGGUUCAUGGCGUUGAGAGCUCGGGGGGCGACCGAGGGUGAUGACGGCGACGCCAAUUGGGUGGAUGCUGCUCUUGACGAACGCGUCGGCGGCGGCCAUGAUCCCGAAGGGGCGGAGGAGGCGAGGGGAUUUGGAGGGUUUGUAAAGAGGGAGGUUCGAAUUUGGAUUGAGGAAGAAGAAAGCGGACGACGAUUUGCUCAGAAUUUGGGUCGCUCCUCCCAAUAAGCUUCCCAUUACUUCCGUUCGAGAGUGACUCUGUCAGUGUAGAGAGAGAUAUAAUUUUUGUGCUUCUAGACCGGACUACCCUUGAUAUUUCGAUUAAAUUACCGGGAAAAAAGAACUGCCGCGGUGGCUCCAGAGGGAAACUUGAAAUUUGAAAGAAAUUUGAAAGAAAUAUGAAAUAUGGACUUGCCUUCAUUUAUCGAACUGAUUGUGAUGAUGACGAUGCAUCACCACCUUGAUUGUGCCUCUGGAUCAAAAACACAUCUUCAGGAUCAAAACCGUGCAUAUUUUCCUUCAGAGGUUUGUCCCAUACUAGAUUAACCCCUGUUCCCUUAAUUGUCACAUAAUGAAUUUUUUUGAAUGCCUCUGGCAUUUCAAAAGUUACAUCAACUUUAUCCCCGCUUUGCAAAUUGAGCUUAUCGUUCGAUAUUUGUCCUUGCCAAAGAAAACAUUCUUUAAAUACAAUAUCGCGCAUUUUUAUAACCCAAUCUUCCUUGCUUAUGCAGGUGUGCAACUCGAUACGCUUGGUAUUAUUUAUAUCAAUACUGGCACGAUGAUGACCAUUCCAUCUGAUACAAGUUCUUGGCUGAUAAGGAUUGAAGCAGUAAAGGCAUAACAGAGUCAGCCCUUCAAACUUACGACCAUCACUCAGGGGGAUAUCAAAACUGACUUUAUUACCAUCGUUGACAAACUCGAACCAAUCAGGAACAUAAUUCCCAUUGAGAAAAAUGCCACCAUAUCCGCAAGAAGUCCAUCCCUAUAUACACAGUGCAAGUGUCAUAUAUAUAUACAUGUACAUGUGCGUUGUGUGUGUGCAUGUGCCCAAUAGGAAGACAAUUAAAAAGAGAGAUACCUUUAGGAUGUUCCUCCUUAAAUCAAUCCUGAGUUUGGUGCAGUUACUCAUAUCAAUCCAUGUCAUGGAGUUUAAUGACUUAUCCAAGUCUGGAACCUCAGUGAGUGCGUGUGAAUCACUUACAUCCAGUUCUCUCAUAUUCGACAUUUUCGAAAAAUUGGGCAUUGUUACCAAACAAUAGCAACUAGAUGCACCCAGAAAUUUCAAAUUUGUUGGUAAAUCAUAGAUUGUAUGAAGGUAACGGCAGUUACUUAACUGCAAACUUUCAAGAUUUGAAAGAUCACUGAGGAUGGGUAGGGUAUGAAAAUAAUUACCCGAAAGAUUCAAACCUUGUAAAGAAAUUAGACUCCCAAAACCUUUUGGGAAUGCAUCAUCGCUUAAUCUGCACCAUGAGAUCUAAAUUUCUUAAAGAAUCUAAGCCGUGUAACGAAUCGGGAAAUUGCAAAGGAAACUUCGAUUGCACACGCUCUAGAGAUAAAUAAGUGAGAUUUUUCAAUCUUACUGUGGAACGCGGUACUUGUCUUAUGGCUGUGGUAGAUGCUCUAAGUUCUCUCAAUGAUGUCAUCUUCCCUAAAUCCUCGGGCAGUUCACUGAAUUGACAACAUAGAUAAAGAUCAAGAAUCUGAACGGAUUUGGACUCGUAGAAAUCCCCAGGAAGAGAAUUAAGAUUCUUGCAGGCUAUGAAGUUCACAAAAGAGAGUUUUUUAAGAUGACCAAUGGAGGGGUGAAUCUCGGACAAUCUCUCACACCUUUCCAAUAUCAAAUCUUCAAGAUUUGGGAGAUUUGAUAAGUCUGGUGAUUUUUUUAAGUCCUGGCAAUAACUGAGAUUAAGGAUUUUCAAGUUUCCAAGCGACUGUUGCAAAAUCAAAGGAAUAUUAAAAUUAAUAUCCAAAAGGAAUAUCUCAUAUAAAAAAGAGAAGUAAAUAAAAAAAACAAAUAGAAACAUAACAUCAUGAUGUGUAAUCGAUUGUACCUUGGAGCCCUCCCAAACUUGUACCAGUUUGCUAUUCGUUAUCUCUAAAAUAACUAGUCUUGGUUGAUCAAAGAAGUCAUCUGGUAUAGACUUUAAGGGGCAUCCUUCCCAAAGCAACCAUAUUAACUCUUUGGGGAGAUGUUUGUAUUCUCCAUUGAGCUGCACGUUGUAGAGCCUGAGCAGUCUCAGUUUCUUCAUGAUGGCAAAUGCUUCUGUACUGAAACUAGGCAUGUUAGAGCUUGGAGGCAAAGAAGGGAAAUAUGGUGCUAGCCAUUCAGGGAAAGGAGGGAAAUAUAGUGCUAGUCCUUCAACUUCUUCAGUUCCCUGUUAACAAAAGGUUAUAUUAAUGUGUAAGAAACGGAUUAUUUGCAUACGUUUACAUGUAUGAGUACAUGCAAGUACUAUCGUUGGCUAAUUGAGAUGAAUGUUACUUAUUGUAUAAUUCACACCCGUGAGUUAUAUGUGCUUUUCGUGUACAAUGCAUUAAUUCAGAAUUUUAUUGGGAAUGUACUUACAGAUUUAUCUCUCAAUACAUUAGUGACAUCUUGAUGGUUCCACAACCUACUCCAUUCUCUAGGGGGACGACGGUAAUUACCAGAAAUGAUUACUUUGGCCAUUUCUCGAAGCAAAUCAUGCAUAUUCAACUUGUUGUCUUCAACAGUUAUAAGGCAUCGUUCACGGAGGUCAUUGAUUCCUAUUGUUGCAAAAAAGUUACAUCCAUCUAAUAUUUUUGCGACAUAAUCCUUUUUCCAUCCAAUAAAGAAACAAGAUAUGUCAAGGAAUAUAUCCCUCUGGGUAGGAUCUAGCCUUUCAAAGCUUACUCUUAGCGGUUUCAUUAUUCCUUCAUUAGGAAUUUUUUUCAAUUUCUCCAACUGGCUUUUCCACUCUGUUGGGGAUCUUUCAACCAUAGAAGAACCUAAAACUUCAAGGGCUAGUGGCAAACCACCACAGUAAGAAACAACCUCUUUUGAGAGUUCAAGAUAUCCUUCAUUAGGCCUACUAUUUCCAAAGGCAUGCCAACUAAAGAGCUUCAGAGCUUCUUCUUCAUUCAUUUCCUUAAGUGGAUAUGUCUUGUCCACUUUCAUGUUCACUUGCUUUAGUAAACGUUCAUCUCGUGUCGUUAUGAUAAUUCUACUUCCUGGGCCAAACCAAUCACGAUUUCCAGCUAUUGCAUUUAGUUGUUCCACUUUGUCUACAUUGUCAAUAAUGACAAGUACGCUUCUACGUUGGAGAUGAUUUUUUAUCAGACUGAUACCUUCAUCAACACUGGUUAUCUUAGACUUGUUCCGUUUCAAGAUGUCAGAAACAAGUUUGCCUUGCAAAUCAGCCAGAUCAUAUUCACUAACGUUGGCAAGGAAGCUUUUGAAUUGGAACUUAUGAUGAAUUUGGUUAUAAAUGGCUUUGGCAGCUGUUGUUUUACCCAAUCCGCCCAUCCCCCAAAUUCCAACCAUGCGAACUUCUGAUCCACCACUUGAAAGAUAACUGAUAAUAUCUUGAACGCGAGAAUUGAUUCCAACCGGGUGCUUGGCCACAUGUAAUUUGUUUGUGCUUAGAAGCCAUUCCGGAAUAAUCUUAUCAACAAUUUCUCUAAUCAGCUGUGCUUCGCACCUGAAAAUUGAAUUGGUAAGCUUAGUAGGCUUAGUAGGAGCCAUUAGAACAUAAACAAUUUUCCUUCUUUCCUUCGUGUGUGUGUGUAUACACACACACACACACACAAUAACUAGCUACUAGCUAAUAUGUGAUUUUGUGACCAACUUGAAUAGAAGAAACAAUUUCAUGCAUUGAUUUAUUAAAGUUUGGUGUAUCAAUUAAACUCCAAUUAUGGUUUAGAUUUUAAAGGAAAUUGGAGAAAUGGUCCCUGAACUAUGAUCAAAUUGUGGCUUUGGUUCUUAAAACUUUAAAUUAUUAAAGUUAACUCUCUCCCACCUCCCUCCCACCUCACCUCCUCCAAACCCCAGCCACACCAUUGUAGCACUUUCCCAACAGCCAAAACAAAAGAAAGUUUCUAAUCCAAAUUUGGAACACAUCUCCCCUUGCAAACAAAUUCACAAUGACAUCCAUCCACGCUAUCUCGAAAGGUAAAAUUCAAGAAAUUUGUGGGAUGCGGGAUCGGGGUUAAAGUGAAGGCUGUGGUCCAUGGGCUAUAGGUUGGGGCCGGCUGGGGAGUGGGGAUUAGGGAUUGGGGGUUGGAAGUGGGACGUUGACGAGGUGUGAAUCAACGAUUGAAGGUGAAGGGGUGGGCUGCGAGCCUGCGAAUGUUGGUGGGACGAGGUAGGCCUGCAAUUAUAUAUAUAUAUAUAUAUAUAUAUAGGUGAAACUAACAUGUAAAGUUGUAAACACUUUCAACUAAAACUUAAAGAUAUUGGUUACGAAGGACUAACGCUCCAUAUUAUCAAGUUCAAGGACAAAAUAUAAUGAAUUUUUAGUUUAGGAACCAAACUACAAUUUUCCUGUAGAUUUUAAAUGAGAGAUUAAGGUGUAUUAAUUAAGCAUGUUAAUUAGAGUAAUACAACUUAAAUAUUGAAAUGUAGGAGAAUGAUUACCUAUUAUCAGUGAUUUGAAGAUGGUGGCCAGACAAAUUUGCAGCUUUUGUAAGAGCCUCUCCCCACUGCUUUACCCCUUGUUUAGCUUCACGUUUCUUGUCAUCCUUUUCUUCACCGAUGCCUUCUUUGUGCUUCUGAAAUUCUUCGGCCAACUUUGCAGCUGUUGUAAGAGCCUUUCUCCACUGCUUUACCCUUUCUCGUUUAUCUUCACGUUCCUUGUCAUCUUUUUCUUCACGGAUGUCUUGUUUGUGCUUCUUAAACGCUUGGGCUAAAACUCCGUUCUGCUUCCUGACAUGUGAAGGAUCAACAUGAUAGAAUAUUGGCAAAACAUGUCGCCCCAGUUUGUCUCUGCACUCCAUGAUCUUCACCAGCUCGUUAAGACACCAACUCGAAUCCGCAUACCUCUCUGAGAAGACAAUGAUAGAGAUCUUCGAUUCUUCGAUUGCCUGGAACAGUUCUUUUUGUAUUUCUUCCCCUCUUUCUAGAUCAUCCUCAUCGAUAUAAGCCUGGUAUCCCUUGUCUGUUAAUGCCGCAUGGAGGUGGCCCGUGAAACCAUUGCGUGUGUCUACACCGCUGAAGCUCAAGAACACGUCGUAAUUCCAAAGUUUUGACUUGGAGGAGAAUGAAGAGGAGGCUUCGUGGGUUGUCAUGGUGGUAUCCACCGUUAUGGCACUGUAGUUGUUCAGAUCACGACUAAAAAAUGGCAGUAGUUGUGUUCAUACUGUCGAACGGAUGAUCCUGAAAUACCUAAACCCAAGUCAAGCUCCUUCAGUCAACAAGAACAAAUAUUAUAUAUAAUAAUGUUGGCCGGAAGGUGCAGAGAAAGGGAGAGGAAAAGAGAUAAGAAAGGAACGAAAGGAAUGAAAGGACAAAGACUAUCCAAAAGAUUCUUGGCUGUGAUUACAGCUAUUCAUAGGAGAAACAACGGACAUAUUUUUAUAGGAGAAACAACCUGCCCAUCUUCAUAUAUAAUGCAUUUCAAUAGGAGAAACAACUUUAGUUUGUACUAGAAUUUUUUACCCGCGCGUUGCUGUGGGAUUUGAAAUUGUAUGAAAGAUUAUCUUUGAAAUAUAUAAUAGAUUGUGUGAUCGAAGAUUAAUACUAUUUACAUUGCAAAUGUUGAAAAAAGUUUUACAUACAAAAGAUUUUACGAUACAAUCCACAUACAAAAGAUGGUAAAUUUUUUUCUAUCUACAACAUGCAUUAUGUUAUGGAAUGAUAUAUAUAACUAAGUGCCAGAAUACAUAACUUCAUAACUUAUAUUUUUUUUGACAAAUUAAUCACAUUCAACUGUGGGAUAGCAAGGUUGCCUAUAAAAUUGUGAAGUCAUGGAAGCAUAAAGGACAAAUAACAAAUGAGUUUUGAGAAAUUAUUCCACAAAUGUCAUUCUGCAAAAUGUAUUAAAGACGAUUGGUAUAAGAUUAGUAAUCAUGAGUAGUGUAACAACAUCAACAAAGUAACUAUAAACCAUAGUUGAACAUAAUCCAAAUAUCGUUUGCAAAAACAAAAGAAAAAGAAAACAGACUUACAAUAAUUCAGCCUUCAAUCCUGAAGUCCUACUCAAAGAGCCAAACUUGAAUGCAAGCUUUCUGAAAUCUUCCAAACAAUACAGAUAAAAAGGUAACACCCUAGUCAGAAAUGAACCGAGCUGCUAGCUUUCAAAGAAACCCAGAUGACAAAAUAAAAAAAUAGAAUGGAAAAAUGACUUGCACAUUUAAGGCUUGCUCGAAUCUUGAUCUAAAAUUGGUGGCGGGUUGAUUGUUGGUCACCAACUCUAAAUAAAGAAUUCAUCAGAACCUAGAAAUUUAAACAAAGAAUUUUCCAAAAUCAACAUUUACUAAAAACCAGUUACUUGGUUAUCAUGCAUGAUGGCUUGCCAAAGACUGAAUUAAGGAAUGCACAACUUUACUUUUAUGAUUAUUUUCAAUGACAGCUAAAAGGUCAGAUCCAAAUGACAGUUAAAUUCCUUUUCUACAAAGUUCGAAAUUAUAUGGCAGUUUGGCAUCUGUUGAAUAACAUGGUUGAAAGAUUUAAAAUUGAUACAUUCAAUUUUUAUGUGUAAAACUAUAACAUAUACCUAAAGCUAUUUGGUCUAUAUAUCCAUAUCAAUCAUGUUGUAAUUAAAUGUUUAUCGAUGUAAAUAGAUGAUUUCAGUCAUGUGAUAACAUGUUUCUUGAUGGUAUACGCUGAAGUUUGGUCUAAGUUGGAUAAAAAUCGACCAAAAUCUUAGUAAGAGACUCUUUUAACUUUUAACCAAAAAAUGAGCACCACAAUACUACACUUAUAAGUUUUUAUCAUGCACAAAAUAUACAGCACUGAUAGCCACUUUUAGAGCAAGAACAAUACUUUACCAGACGAAAACAACAAAACACUCAAAACCCAGAAACAAAAACACACUUAGGACUCAAACUCCUCAAAAACAUGAGAAAGAGAGUGCGUGAGGAGAGAGAAUAAAAAAAAAUAUUAUUUUUCACAAACUCAAAAUUGUUUAUAAAAUUACAAAUCAAAACAAAUGAAAAUCCAAAAUUGCCCUAAAUUAAAUCUGUUUAGUUAAAUGUUUAUUGCCCUUCAAAUGUUAUUACACCUGACAAUUGCUUUGAAGUUGAUAUUUUGGUCAAUCCAGGGGAAAAGGAGUUAUUGCUUUUGGAGCAGUUGUCAUGGAGAAUCCCAUCUCCAUGUUAAAUAAAAAAAGGUCGUACCCAGUGCACAAGGCUCCCGCUUUACGCAGGGUCUGGGAGAGGUGAAUGUCGGCUAGCCUUACCCCAUUUUAUGGAGAGGCUGCUCCCAACUCUCGAACCCGAGACCUACCGCUUAUGGGCGAAGACACUUGCCAUCGCACCAAGUGGCCACAAUAAUUUAGGAGGCCCUUCUCUCCAGAUUUUCUCAAUAACUUUCCUUUUCGUAGCUGGUAAGAUUGCAACUCCAAGAAUUGCUCUGAAGAGAUAUAUACAAACAAAAUCAAACUAAAACUAAGCUAUUGGAAGAAAUUUACAAAACAAAAACACAAUUUCAACUCAGAGUUAAAGUCAACAGAAACCAAAUGGUACAAGUUGACAAAAUAUAUGGUCAUGAAUCGAGAACUUCAUCAAACUAACAGCAAUAAAAUCUCCUAUAAUCUGUCUAAAACCAAAAAAGAGAGAGGUAAUUUCAAGACCUUGUAACGCUGAGGCCUCGUACAGUUGUAGUAAUAAUAUAUGGUUGAUGCACCUGUUGCUCAAUCAAAUCCUUUGUCUGGCUAAAAAAAUAAAAAUCUAUAAAUACAUUCACGUCCAAUUUAUGAGAAAUCAUGGGAAAGCAAAUGCACUGAUAACGGAAUCAUGAAUAUGAAGAACUUGCCAAAAAGAAAAAGAAAACUUCUUGUAGUGUGCCAAGAACAUCCUCCUACUCCUAGCAAAUUUUUUAUGGCAUUAUCCACUUCUCAAUUCAUAAUUCAACCAGUAACUCAAAGUCUAUAGUGUAUGAAAAAGUGAUAUCUUAGUUGAUCUCGAUGAUAAUUAAGUAGAUUAAAUGACGACCCAUAAAGCAUACAAAUUCAGAAAAGAAAAGGUUGAAAACUGCCAUAAGAAAACGCAGAAUAUAUAAAUGGGAAAUCAAAAGAAGAGAAGCGAAAAAGGAAGAAAAAACCAAACAAAAUUAUUAGGUUUGGGAUAUACCUUUAUCCGAAAGGCCACAACCAUCAAAGUCAAACAUAAACAAUCCAAAAAUUUGUGGAAAAUAACAAUAAAUGCUUAACUAAAAAUGAAAGAAAACGUAGAAUAAGUUUACCUGUUCUCCCCCUAAUUAAACUGGAAUACAAUUCACCACUAAUAUUCUUGUCAUCCUCUUCAGCCUGAAAAAUUUAGUAGAAAUAUUCAAUGAAGACGCUUAAUGGAGACAGUAAUAUUAGCAAUGGAGGAAUUGAAUUGAUAACUAAAACUGCAAGACCAAAUGACUACAAUAGGUUCAAAACAGAAACUCGUCUGUUAGAUGUCUCAUCUUUAGGCAGUGCCUUGUUCUUUGUUGCAUGUCUUGUGAAGUUCAUGUAAAUCAACAAAAUUGAUACUUUGGACACACCAACAAUGGAGAGGUAAAAAGUGAAAAACAGAAGGAAUGUCUUCAGAUUUGUAAUGGAUUUUGCAAGUCAGAAAUUCUGUUCGAGAAUUUGCAACCCAGAAAGUCCACCAGCAAUUAUUAACAAUCACAGAUAAGCACCGAAUGAAGGCCAAUCUAAUACAACAACAACAACAACAACAACAAAGCCUUUUCCCACUAAGUGCGGUCGGCUUGAAGGCCAAUCUAAUACGCCAAAAUAUUCAGGGCACUAAAGAACUUAUUGCCCAGUAUCAACGAUAGAUAAGCACAUGUGAAACUAAAGAAAUUUUUCAUUACUAUCAACUCCAAAAAAGAUAACCUAUGCAAUCCAAAAAAUGUUGAUACAGAGUUGGAGUAUCGAUGCUUGAAAUUGGUAUUUGAACCACCAACUACCUCCGUGAAUAUGUUUGUUUGCUUAAUGGUUUGGGUUGAAGUUGCGAAAGGAAAUAUAAUUUCUUAAAAGGAGAGAAUGCAGAGACAAUACAGAAUGGUUCACGUGGCCACCUCAAAACAGAUUGACAAUUAAGCUUCAUUAUGAAUGGAAAGAUUAAUAGAUGAUAAUUAAGAAGGCCUGAUACCCAAGCCGAAAUCAGAGAUAUCCUUUGUAAACAAAGAGAUUGAGCAUUUCCACUAAAAAAUAACCUUUUUUGUGAGGGGUGGGAUUGGGUGGAAGGCUAGAUAAAGACAUCAAAUUUUAUACUUAUUGCAUGCAAGGUAUGCAACAGCCUCCCGCCGAUUAAAAAUCCCAGAAAUAAAAGAAAUCGAAUCAAGAAAGAAGAUAAUUGCACAAUAAUUACACCUUCACUAAGAAAAUAAAUUAUAAAAUCGAAGACCGUGAGAAUAAUGUCUUAUACAUUAAGCCUGCCAAUUACUAAAAACAAAACAUUUUGCCAUGAGGAGAAGUAAGAACAUACCCAAACUUGUUUGCAAAUAGAUGAGAAAAAUUUAUACCUGAAACAGAUGGAAAAUUUAUUAGGAAAGAUAAAUCAGCCCACAUGUGUGUAAUCUAUAUACAAAAAACCACUCUUUUCAUUAACCAAAUCGUUUCACAAAUCCAAAAACACAGAAUUAUAUCUUGAACAAUGCCAAUUAAUGAUUUCCCAUUUACUUAAGCCCAACAUCAAAGCCAAUGAACUGAUGAAAGAGCGAAAAUGAGAAACAUAAAACCUCAAUUAAGCAAUUAAAUGGAGUAUUACUUGAUAGAGCUGGAAAAUUACCCAGUAAGAUUAAAAAAAAGAGAGAUGAGAUGGAGUGAGAAUCACAUACCGGCAUCACCUUUAAAUAUGUAGUGCUCCUCAGAGAGAGGAUCAAGAGUGACUGAUGAGAGGGCAGAGAACGAAUGAUUGAGAAAUUCAAGCUCUGAGCUCAAAGUUGGGGCCUCCACUUUCCAACUGGGGAAGAAAUAACAGAGAAAACACAGAGAGCCAAUCCACCAAAACUAUUAAUCAAAUGGGUUCCGUCUAAUUCAAAAUUUGGACCACCCAAAUUCCGAUGAAGCAAUAACCAUUCAAAAUUCCAACAGAUUGAAGCCCUCACAGACUACAAAUUAUCAAUACCCAGCAAUAAAAAAUUUGAAAACAGUAAUAAUGAAGGAAAAAGAAAUUAAAGCCGCAAGCCAUUCUCUAAAUCUCAGGCACCAAUCCAAAUCACCAGUAAUUUGCACAUAAUGAUAAGAAUCUAGCAGUAUUUCCAUUGUUUAAAACCCAAAUUCAAGAAAUCAUGAAAAAUGGAAACUUUAUAUAGAAAUUGAAGCUUUACCUGCAGAUCAGCAGCAGCAAACGGAAUCCAACGGCAUGUACCUCAAAAGUGAGAGAGAGCUGAGAGAUGAGUAAGAGAAUCGGUAAACAAAACCCCCAAAAUCACAGAAGGAAAUUUAAACAGAAAACAAAUUUGCAAAUCCAAAAUCACAAAAACGAAAUUGAAACACGAAAGCUGUAAAACUGACCAGGAACGCUAGCUUUUCUGGGUAAAAACUUUAUUCGAAUCGAAUAGAAGAACCGAGGAAAGUUCUACUGGUUCAGUGGUUAUUCCAGCAAGAAAGCACCUUGUUUGUAAUUCGUGAGAGGUUGGAACUUGGAGAGCGAGAGAAGCCGAUUUGGGAGCCAAAGAAAGCGAGGUUGGAGAACGACGGAAGCUGAGAAUUGCGAGAGAGAAAAACGAAAAGGAAAGGAAAAGCGGAGAAAAAGUCACGAUUAUCGAAGCGUGCGAAAAUGAACGGGGAAUGGGGAUCUGGCUGAGGGAGACAGAAUUCGAGAAAGCGGAAUGAAGAGAAUCGAGAAGAGGAGGAAUCAUUUUAAGCGGAUGAUCGACGCGUGGGAAGUAAACUAUUAUUUACAAAUCUAAAGCAUUACCCGAACUUAUAAUACAAUAGCUACUUUGACAGAAGAAAAGAUGGAGAGUGAGAUGAUUGCAUUCCUUUUCAAAACAACUUUUAAGAUUCCAUAAUAAACUAAUAUAUAUGAAGAUGUGCCCCGUGGUAAAAGAGAGGAAGGAAAGAUUAUCAAAAGUUUAUUGUUCGUGAAUCGUGAUUACAGCUAUUCAACUUUUGUAAAUUUUCUUAACAUGAGUGAGAUUUGCAUUCUUUUUCAACCGAACUUCUUUUGAUUUCAUAAUAGAUUAUUAUACGAAGGAUAAAUGCUUAACAGAUUCUCUCAAAAUCGAUGCUUUUCAUGAACUUUUUAGCUAUCUUAUGUUUUUAGACUUAAUUACACUAACACUUUCUGUGGUUUAAGAUAGUCUUACGUUUGAAAUAUUACACUAACAUCCUUUUAAUGUAAUGUCUCAAACGUAAAGGAAUUUUGUGAAAACUCGACUAACUUUAGGAGUGUUAGUGUAAUUAAUCUAUUUUGUGCAAAUAUUGUAAAAUAUUUUACCAAAUACAUUAAGAGCUCGUUUUGAUGUGUUUUUAAAAUGACUAAAAACGUUUUUAAAUAAAAUAUUUUUUUGUUCCAAAAGCACUUAAAUUGUUUUAUGCAAGAAGCACCAGUUAUGUGCUUAUUCCAGAAAGCACUUUAAAUGUUUUUCUAGAAUUUACUUACAUUUUUAUUAAGGAUUGGUUUAAAAAACAUUUUCACAAAAAACGUUUUCAGUUAUUUUAAAAACACAUCCAAACAAGCACUAAGUAGCGGAUAGUUUAUAGACACUUUCACUUUAAAAAGUAGGGAACUUUAACGAAAAGCACCCGGUACUGUUCACUUUAACGAAAAACCAUAUUUUUACACUAAAAAAUCAAUCUUGGUACUAUUCACUUUACCCUUUAUUUUGUUCUUAUCAUUAAAACUCAAAAUUUUCAAGCCAUUUUCAUUAGUUUUCUUUAAAAAGUAUUCUUGCAUAUUUCUAACAGACAUGUACGGUGGAAAAAGAUCACUUCAUAAUUAAAUAUUAUGUUGUUGAUUACGCCUCUCUCUAUUUGAUUAAGUUUCUUUUCACUCUUCUCUAAAAAAUAAUGGUUUCUUUUCACAUUAUUAAACCGUUGUAAAGUAAACUUUUUUUUUGUAAAAGUGUUUUUAAUUAAAAAAAGUAAUGUCAAAGUGUUUGGUAAAUUUUUAUAUAAAUUACUUUGAAUAUAUUAAAUAACUAUAAAAUAUAUACUAUUUAAUGUGAUAUAAUAAUUGUCAAAGACAAUAAUGUAUGAGCAAAAAUUGUAAUUUGUAAAACAUGUAGAGGUAUACUAUUUGAAAAGUUCAUUAAAUGAGCGUUAAUUAUUAUACUUUGAAAAAGAAAAAAAAAUAUACUUUUUUAGAAGCAUAGUACACCCUACUUCUCAUUUUCUGUACUUUUUUCUACUUUUAUUGACAGUAGUUUAAUAAGUUGCUUUCUUUGAGAGUACUCAAACCAAUCCUUAAUAAGUGACCAUUUUGAACUUUCUUGGCGCCAUCGGUGUGGAGGGAGAGAAAAGAAACUAGCGCAAAACUACAGACACUCGAUUCGUUGUAAUAUAUAAUAAAAAAUAAUAGUCACGUAUAAAAUAUGGUACAAUUAUAGUUCUGGCAUAUGUCUCUACCAAAGAUAAUCGCCGUGUCUUUCAAAUUUGUUGUUAAAUUGGGGACAACAUGAAGAUUUUCACACUAAUCUAAGUACAACGUUUCAAACCUUGAAAGACCACUAAAGCUUUGAAAAGUCUGGUGAUUUUGUUAGGUCAUGUGAAUGACUGAAAUUAUCGAUUUUCAACUUCCCAAGCAACUAUUACACAAAAUAUAAUUUAAAACUCAAGAGGAGGAAUCAAAAUCGAUAGUGUCUUCAACUUAACCACUAAUAAGUGUAGAGUACAAAAGACCAUGCAAUUAGUAGUUGUGCCCUUCAACAAAAAGAGAAUCACAAUGUUAGUUGGUCACAUCACAUGCCCAAGGAAAACACGGUACAAAAGCACUAAAAGCGUCCAAGCGAAAGUGCUUUCUUCUCAUGUAGUUUCAUUUAACUUAUUUUACCACAACAGUAAAUAUAUUUUACCACUGCGCCAAUUACGAAAAUGAACGGGGAAUGGGGAGCUGGCUGAGGGAGACAGAAUUCGAGAAAGCGGAGUGAAGAGAAUCGAGAAGAGGAGGAAUCGUUUUAAGCGAUGAUCGACGCGUGGGAAGUAAACUAUUAUUUACAAAUCCAAAGCAUUACCCGAACUCAUAAAGAUGCUCUAAAAACUUUCAAAGAUUCCACAAUUUCUGUUUGAUUUCAUAAUAAACUAUUAUACGAAGGAUAAAUGCUAAAAAUUAGUCUCAGGAAAGCACUUUGUUUGUAAUUCGUGAGGUUGGACAGCGAGAGAAGCCGAUUUGGGAGCCAAAGAAAGCGAGGUUGGAGACAGAAUUUGAGAAGCAGCUUCCUGAUUUUUUUUUUUUUAUGAGAGAAGGCGGAAUGAAGAGAAUCGAGGAGAUGAAUCAUUUUAAGCGAUGAUCGACAUGUGAGAAUUGAGACGAUCUUAUAGCAACGCGAUAUUCAGUUUCAUCACACCAGUUAACUUGUAUUGGUCGAGUAAAGCACAUGUUACUUUCUGAAAAUUUGAAAUACUACAACGCAAAACCUAUCAAGAGGAUGCUACCAUGUGAUGCAAGAAACGAAAAGGUACAAAGUCCAGACUCACUCUGGUUGUCAUUUUCCCCAAGCGCAGAUGCAACUUUAGCGAAUUAAGUUUGUCUCAAAGAAAGUGUCUUUCCAAAAAAAAAAAAAAAAGUGAAAACGGAGCACCCUUCCCCAGACAUUAAGGGCGUGUUUACGUACACGUAAUCAGAAUAAGAAUGUGGAAUUGAAUUUCGAUUACGGAGUACUCUGAUGUUUACUAAACAUGGAGAAUAAAAAAAGCAAUGGGGCCCACACAAAUUUUGGAAUUCAAUUCCUUGUAUUGGUGGAAUUUGAUUCCCUAGAUAUAUGUUGUAAUUCAAUUCCUGCUUGUUUGGACAAUCGGAAUAACACUUUUGUUCCCUUUAUGUCCUCACUUACUUUUUUUAUUUCCAAGACUAUCCUUUAUAAACUCAUUAAAGUAUAUAAAAUAUUUGAUUUGGGACAAGGGUAUUUUAGUAAUCAUACUGGUUUAUAAUUCGAUUCUGCUGAAUUAGUAAAAAUCUUUAUGGAAUUAUAUUCUGAUUUCAGAACAUUUAAGUAAACAGUUUCAACAAGAAUCUGAUUCUGACUUCUCUUCAUUCCAACUCCUCCUUAAUUUAAUUCCUCAUUUUUUUCAUUACCGUUAUAUAAAUGUGCCACAAAGAGCUUCAUUAGCCCACUCACCACUGCAAUAGAAACAAUUUGAUAGAAAAUACUUGAUAGCAACAUACAAGCCUCUAUUUUAUUGGAAAAAUCAAAAUACAAAAUCAAUGUUAUCAAUUUUCUAUCUAAAUGAGAAUUACGGUUUAAGCGAGUUAUGUGGAUACCUAAGCAGGUCUAGCGCACUUUCUUAAUUUUCAAAUGCUUAAGAACUAAUUAGGACGCUGAUCAGCAGCCUAACGUUAGGCGAAGAUUUUUAGAACAUUAAUUACUUGUUCUCCUAGAUCUCCGAGUCCAAGAAAAUUAUGAUCACCCAUUGUUCAAUCUUAAUAUAGUCAGUACGUGGUUAUUUAACCAUUUUGUUAUAUUUAUCCUUUCUCGUUAAAUUAAGUAAGUGAUAAUAACUUUCCUGGAUCCUGUAAUCUAGAAGAACAAGACUAUAUAUCACAUGGAUAAACAUAAUCAGGCAUAAGAAAAAGUCGAAGAAUUCAUAACAUAGAGUAAUGCUAAAAAUACUAAAUUUGUAAACUAAAUGACAUAGAAGUUGAUCGUUAAAUUAUUAUUUAAAUAUUAAUAAACGUGUUCAUGCUCACACAUCAUUUAAUUUGUAAAUUUUAUUUAUAAAUCUUAAGCAUUACCUGAACGCAUAUAAUACAAUAGCUGCUUUGACAGAAGAAAAGAUGGAGAGUGAGAUGAUUGCAUUCUUUUUAAAAGCAACUUUUGAAGAUUCCAUAAUAAACUAUUAUGUAUGAAGAUGUGCCGUGGUAAAAGAGAAGUAAAAAGGAGGGAAGGAUUAUCCAAAAAAUUAUUGACCGUGAUUACAAUUAUUCAACUUUUAUACAUUUCUUCGAACGGAGAUCCAAGAAAAGAUGGAGAGAGAGAUUGGCAUUGUUUUUCGACACAACUUCUGUUGAGUCCAUAAUAAACUAUUAUAAGAAGAAGGAAUGCUAAAGAGAUUCUUUCAAAAUCAAAACUUUCUCAUGUUUUUGGGGUUAGUUAUACUAACAUUUUUUCUUUCGUAUAAGAUAUUACGCCAACACUCCUUUUAGUGUAAUGUCAAACGUAAGGGGAUUUUGUAAAAUUUGAUUAACUUCGACGUUAGUGUAACUAACCUAUUUUUAUGCAAAUAUUAUGUCAAAUACAUUAAAUGGCGGAUAAUUUAUAAACAAUGUCACUUUAACAGAGUUUUCUUACAUCUUUUUUAUAGAUAUGGACGGUGGAAAAAGAUCACUCCAUAAUUAAAUAUUGUGCUAUUGAGCGCGCUUUCGGGGCGCUUUCGGUGCGGGGUUUUGGCCUCCGCCGCUCCGCGUGCUGUUCUUUUACCUUUUUAUCUGCCAUUCGCGUGCUCCGCUGGUCCCAGACCCCUGAACAAUGUGAUGAUGCCAACUAACGUUAACCCCACUAAAGCAUCGGAAAUUGCGUCUGAGGAUAGAAAAGGCAUACAUGCAGAUCCUCCUCCCGGACUCUUUGCCUCUCUAUAUGUGAAAACCCAUCUGGGAACAAACCAAUUCCAUUCUCUGGCAUAGCAAGAACGGUCCUCUGAAAUGUAUCCAUACAAAGUUCGACACACAAAAUUCAAAAAGCCAUUGCAAUGUAAUUGACAACAUUGACAAUCUCUGUCCGACAAGGCAAUAAUACCGAAGCCCACUGUAAUGAUGGUAACCUGAUAGGCCAAUACCGAAGCCCACUGUUAUGAAAUCCAUGAAGCUUAUAUGGGCUUCUUGUACUCUCAGAUUUUGCAUAUUAGAGAAUACUCAGCAGUGAAUACCUGAAAAACGUGCAGCACGAAUAUCAUAUCGGUAGCCUCUCGAAUCUUAAGAAAACUACAAAUGGUAGCUUAGAAAAGAAAUGAAUCCUCUCCAACCAAUACAAAUCAUAUUACCCAAGUUCAAGAAAAAUCAAGACUAAACAAAUGACCAGAUGUUGUAGGGUGCCUGAGAAUGUCAAACAUGAAAUUACAAAAGAAAAAAAUAAUCGUAUGUAUUGAACAUUAAUAAAUACAUGCUGAAAGCACAAUCUUAGCCGCAAUUUAUGACAUUCAUACAAGAUGGAAUCGCCAAAGCAGUUAAAGAAAUUGCAGAGCUCAUAUAAGUGAUUUUCACUAUGAACUUUUAAGCUUAUCAACAAAUACAUCAUUUCGAUUCUAAGGCUUAAUCAUCAAUGAUUUUGCCGUUGGAUAGUGGCCAAAUUAGCGGCCGACUGAACAACAAGCCAACUCUCCUUUCGGCUAUUAAACAAAGAAAAGUUUGGUGGACAUCAUCAUGAGUAAAGACACAAUGAUGAUGUUUGUUGAAAAGAAAAAGGAAGGUCAUAAUGAUGUUUGUAACUUUGGAUUUUUUAUAGUCAAAUGGAAUUGGGUUUAUUUGGCUCCUUCCUUUGCAACUUGACAAAAGAGCUUUUUUUUGGUAUUUUCUAAGGCAGCAGCAGCUGCUAUAUGUUUGAGGAGAAGCCGAGAGAUACCAAGAAGAGCGUUCGGCUCUCCCAUUUGAAAUUUUGUUAGUAAUCACUCAAUCAAAGAUGUUGGUGCUACUUGUGUAGCUUUUGGGAGAGAAGGAUUUUGAUAUGUGUUUCUUCUUCUCCAUUUGUUUCUUAGUUUGAGUGAGAGCUAUUGGUUGUAUGUGGGAUUUAGGUUUGAGAGUUAAAACUCUAUUUGUAAUUUCCUUUUGAUAUUAGUGGAAUUUCCUCGCCGUCUCGGAACUGGACGUAGGCUUACGCCGAACCAGUAUAAAUCCUUGUGUUUUUUGGAUUAUUUGUCUUGUCAUAUUUUGCCGUAUUAGCUUUGGUUUCAUAUUUGAAGCUUUCACACAACAUUUGCAAGGGUCAAUCGUAUUGCUGGUUGUAAAUCUAUUCACUAUGAAAAUUACCAAAAUUACAUCUAAUAUGGUAGUGAAGGAAGUCAUCUUAUAUUAUCUGGAUCCAAAAUUGUACCUAAACAUGCAUGACAGGUAAAAAGAAGAUGAGCAAUAAAACAUUAUAAAGAUUCCCAAGAAAAGCAAUAAAACUACGUAAAUAUUAGUUAAUAAUGUCAAGACCAUAGUCUGUGACAAAUCCAAGAGUUGAGAUGAGACUAUCUUUCCGGCAGGAAUUUUUGGAAUUUUUCUCUAUUGUAAGGAAAACAUAGAUUGAUGUUUGUGUUUACACGAAAAUUAUGCCAACGGCUUAGGAGAAAUCAAAGCAUAACAAUGGGACUAAAAUGACUUACCUACUAUGAGGAUCUUCAAGUUCCUUCUUCACCUCUUCGGGCAGAUUGGCUAAUCUAAUAAACGAAAAGAAAACUCCCAUGAGCAGUGCUAUAACAAACUAUCUUCCUAAAUUCAUUAUGAAUUGCAGUUAAAACUUAAAAUGAACAUGAAAAUCCUACGUAGAAGGGAUAUACCUAGGUGACAAGCCUAGAAGAUUCCCGCGCAAGGAAGAAUAUCCCGGAACCUGCAAUUGGAAACUCAAAGAAACAAUUACAAAGAUGCUAGAAAGAAAAUACGUAUCAGUUUACAACAAAACGCUAGCGCUCAUGAGAAUCGAUUAGGUAUGAAGCAUCAAAACAAUAGCAUGAGACAUCAUAACUUAUGAGCUAUGAAUGGAAUAAUGGAGCAAAAUAUCGUUGCCCAAACAGCACAAUCUACAAUCUACAUGACGGAGAAAGUACCCCGACAUUACAUAUGCAAGUUCAUGUGGUUUAUCUUUUUAACCGAUUCGUUAACAAAUUCUUUCUGCACAUAUAGUUUUAACUUACCAAAACUGGUAAUGGAAGAGAGAUAAUCAGUAAUUAAAAACGGUAAUCGCAUAACGAAAUCAUACUUGAGUGAUUGAUAGGAUUCCCAACCCAUUUGGUCCAAAUCCUUCUUCAAUCUUCACUGACAAAUCUUUGUCCCUGUCCUGUAUCAAUCCAAAAUCAAAAAACGACAAUUAGAAAAAUCGAAUUCUCGACAUGAUCGACGAGUUAAAACAUAGCAAUUAAACAAAACUAUGAAUAAAACAAUUAGAUUCUGUUUGGUUGCUGAGAAAAUGAAGAGAAUAACAACCAAAAAGUCAACUGAAAUAAAAUUUUGCUCUAACUUCAACGAAUUCUCUUGAGUUUCUGAGCACCCAAACAGAAAAAAAAAAAUUAUAGGCAAUCAAACCAAACUCUCAUGCUCAAUUUUCUCGGCAACCGCAAAAAGAACUUAGAGGGGGGGGGGAGAGAGAGAGAGAGUUACUUGGAGCUCGGAGUAGGAUAUGGUGACUGGUGUGACGGUGGGGACGGCGGGGUCGGAGGACGGAGGCAUAGUUCGACAAUAAAUUUGGCGGGAAAGACGGCGGUUGGAGCGUGACGAUGGGGAAGAAUCCGUGGGAACGAAGAGCAAUUUUGGUGCGGAAGGAGGGUUUUUAUAUCGGAGGGAGGGAGGGAGGGAGGGAGGUUGAGAGCGAAAGGCGUGAUUGUCAAUUUCAAAUUUUUUUUUUUAGGAAUAAAGAAAGAAGAGAGGUUGAGUAUCAAUUCCCUUUCCCUCCAAACCAAAUAAUACAUUCACGUUCAUGAUGUGUGGCAAAAAAUUGAAGGUGGAGACGAAUAUAUUAAAGGGAUGUGCUAUCCACACACCUUUUUUACUUCUCACACACCAUUUGUUAAUUUCUGUCCGUUGAUCUUCUUCAUUUCAUCUGAUCUAACGAUCGAAAAUUAAAAGGGUGUGUGAGAAGUAAAAAGGGGUGUGUGGAUAUCACACCCCUAUAUUAAAUAGGUAUAAGUAUUAGUUAAAUUUAAAAUUAAUUGUGUACUAUUAAAAAUUUGUUUGAAAAUAUUUUUAUAAUAACUGAAAGCGUUUUUUAUUAAAAUGUUCUUUAAAUCAAUCCUUAGUAAAACCAAGUGGAUUCUAAAAAGUCAUUUGGAUUACUUUCUACAAAAAUCACAUAUCUUGAGCACUUGAAGCGCUUUUGGAACCCAAAAUUAAUUUAACAAAAGUGUGUCUAGUCUUUUUUAUUUUUGAACAAACGAUAUUAUCUACUUUAAGGGAGGGGAUGAGCUUAACCUCACAAUGGACUAUCAUAUUAAUAAUGUUCAAAUUCACCUUUAUUCAUUUUUAAAAGACUUUAAAACCAGCACUAAUUUGUAUUAAAUUCUAAAACUUUGAAUUGGGAUGUAAUAUGCAUUGGGUCUUUAAUAAUAUUUAAGUUGUUUCCGGCAAAAAAGAAAGGAUUCAAUUGGGAAAAAUAACAAAAUAUGAAAUAAGGAUAUUCUAAUUAAGGUUUUUAUUAAUUAUUUUAGGCGGAUGGUUCAUGUGAAGAUUAUGAAACGCUUUAAUUCUCUAACGUGCGAUUCCAUUUCGAUCCAAAGCUAAAUUUAUAAAUUUCUAAUUUUUACUUUCUAAUUUUUACAAAUUUCUUUUCAUAAGAGUAUAAAUUUAUAAAAUUUGGUUAAAGGAUCAAGAAGUUUAAUUAGAAGCAAUGGUUUUUGUUGUUUAAAAUUAGCAAGAGGUCCUAAGUUCGAAACGCUUUGGGCAUGUUUAUUUUUUUCAAUUUUAACAAAUUUUUGUUUGGUUGUUAAUUUAUUUUUAGUUACUAGCUAGUAGCUAUGUAGGUUGUUAUUUAAAUAUUCGUUUCAAUUCAAGUCCAAUCUUCAACAAUGAGUAAUACGUAAACCAAAUUUGUAGCGCAAAUUUGUAAAUUAUAUGACGUGUUAUCAAAAUAUUUAAUUUAAUGCUCAUUCAUUACUAAUACAUAUCAAUUAAGGACUCGAAAACAUCAUUAUUGUUUUUAGUCCCAUAUUGACAAGGUUAGUAAAUAAGAAAAAACACCUCAUGAUUUAUACAAAAACACUUUCAAAGUUCAAAUGGAAAACAAAACUCAUCGUCUAUCUACUUAUAAGCCCAGAGUUGUUUGGUUUUCUUCUCUCAAUACAAAAUAAAUUAGUCCUUUUGUGUUUCUAAAUUAUUGAGUUUGAAGUGCUUUUCUAAGUAUAAUUUUAUUAAUGUCUUACGUGUGAAAAUAAAUAAUUUUCUUAUAUGAAGUUAGGGCACUUUUUUUUGUGUCGUCCCGAGCCUCAAAAAUCUCUGGACCGGCCCUGGAUGUUAUGAGAAUAUGUGUGGUUGUCAAGCCCGACACGUGAAUAACAUGCUCUCUACUACUUUAUUACACUGUGAAGAUUUUAUCCAAAAUUAAUUGACGAUGAGCGAAUAAACUGAAAGAUUAUGCGCAACUUUGAUUAUGCAACGAGUGAAGAAGCAAUUUACACCAACCUCCAGUCAAGAAUUUGGGCUCACAAUCACUAGCCAAUAUGCUUUUUUCUCAUGCCUUAAGUUCAUAGUUCAAUAUUCUGGUGUCCGAUGACCCUGACACGACAAGUUCCACUUUUUGUUCAUUUUCUUGACGAAACCAUCACAUUUACCCUUACGGCACGGCACAGUUCCGGGCAUGGAGUAUGGAUUGGGUUCCGUUGCAGUCCCGACACUAUUUAGCACUGUAGAGAAGGAAAUACAAAGACAACUUUGGAUUUCUUACAACGUAUUGAGUCUCUCGUCAUGGCUCUUGCUGUGUUGUUCUUAUUUCACGUCCUGUUUCUCGAGCUUGGUGUUUCCGGUUGCAAAUUUUGGUUCGGCAGUGUAGUGCUCAGGAGAGGGGACUGUUUCACGUUGUUCCAGGCAGACAGAGGCGGUUGACAACGAUUGUGAUAAUGUGUUUUUCUACUGGGAGAACAUACAGCAGUCAUCAGUUAUCUUUUCACAACUGUCUUCAGUAUUUCGAGGCACCUCAAGAAAUUAUCAAGGACAAACGAAUGUAGAAAAGAAGAAAUAUCGAAGUUAGUUGACAAAGGGGACGAAAAAUUGUGAGAUACAGAGAAAAAGAAGAUAAGAAGAAACUCGAUGCAAAUUACUUGAGUCUAAAGUAGGAGGGGAAAUCGUACUAUUCAUAUGAACAGUGUUUUAGACCACAUUUCAGUUUAUUUACAAGAUUGCCACUCAGAUGCUUUUAGCUUUUAACGAAGAUGCCAUCAGUUCGAAUGAUGGGAAUGCCCGUAUGGGGUUAACAUCACACGGUUGGGGGUAAAAGUUGUGUUUGGAUCAAAACUUAACUUUGGGCCCAAGCAAAAGAAUGCCCAAAAGAAGGCCUGAAGGAAGAGUCGGCCGAAGCCCAGCCGAGACCCAGAAAAGCAGGAAAGGGCCUCCUCUGACUUGGUGCAGCUCAUGAAGACCACUUGCCCACCUACCCAAAGGUCAAGUGGUAUAGACUGACCAGCUACACAGCCCGUAAAGUACUUUAUGGUGGCAUUACAUGUAAAAAAACUGAUGAGUCAUCACCCUCAAACCGCAUUCGGGCAAGGCUGUUGCUACAGGAGGACAUGCUGGGUUGUCUAUAAAAAAAGAAAGAGAAAUCAGGAUUAAGGACACUCAAUCAAACAAACAAAUGCAAGCACAAACUCUGCUCAAAAGCUAGAUUUGCCUUCAAAACGAAGUUGUAGUCAGCCCAAGCCUUCAUCCCUCGCGGGAUAACCUUUCCUUCAAACCUUUGUAAUAGCUCUGCUACCUUGUUCAACCUUGUUGUAGUAUCGAUUCACCUUUUGUAAUCUUUCUCCCUCUCUCAAAACUUUCAGACCUUUAACAAAACUACAAAGAUAGGAGCCUGCAAGACGAGCAGCCUUGCCUGAUAAGGUUUAACCUUGCCCGACCUUCUAUGCUUUGUAUUUUUUGUCUUUUCAUUCAUUAAGCCUAGUAAUAUGUUGUAUGAUCCCAGUUAUAUGCAAGUUAUUUCUAGCAAGAUGACCAUUAAAAAGCUUUCUCAGUACAUAGACCCGAUUUGAAUAGAUCUUCAGUAUUCAAAUCAGAUCUAAGUCAUAAGCCCUCGGGCAUGUAUAUUUGAUCAGUUAAAAGUCCUUGGCCUCCAGGCAUAAAAAAGAACCUUAUGUGGACUUAACCCAUCCACAACAAUCCUUGAUAAACGAGAAGUCCAAAGUUACUUGGGGCGCAAGUAAUCGACCUACCAUUUAGUUUUAUUUCUAUUAUAUGAUGAUUAUCAUAGAACGUUUAUGCAUGGAAUGGAUUCUGAUAGGAAGCCUCAAGGCCUACACCUAAGGCCCCACAAAGGCACCUAUUUGGGUUCAUUCCGUUCUGCGGUCUAGAGCGUUCUGAGUAGAAAGAACAAAUUCUGAUAGGAAGCCUCAAGGCCUACACCUAAGGCCCCACAAAGGCACCUAUUUGGGUUCAUUCCGUUCUGCGGUCUAGAGCGUUCUGAGUAGAAAGAACAAAUUUCUGAUAGGAAGCCUCAAGGCCUACACCUAAGGCCCCACAAAGGCACCUAUUUGGGUUUGUUCUAUCUCUCGGACGCAGGUAAUCAGAAGUAUAAUAGUUAUAAAACUCCUGCAAUCAAUGGAAUAAGUAUUAUGUAUUCGAGUACUGGUUUAGUAACCGAUGGGAAGCCUCAAGGCCUACACCUAAGGCCCCACAAAGGCACCUAUCAUAACUAACCCGGUUCCUCGGGCACAUAUAUAUAUACAUACAACUAAAACUCGACAUCCAUUUCAUAUCUGCCAUGCUGAAGAUGGCAGUGGCACGCCUGAGUACCUAAAAGUUAAUUUUGAUUGUGAGCCUCAAGGCCUACACCUAAGGCCCCACAAAGGCACAUUUCAAAGUUAACUUUGUCCUUUUCUUUCAGCCUUGCCCGACGAGCCUUGCCGACGAGUCUUGCCCGAUAAAGAUUCGCCUGACGAGACUUGCCCGACAAAGCCCAACCGUGAAGCAGAAGCCCGACAGCAGCCCUCAACCGACGCAAAACCUCCAGGGGAGCUGUGCAUUUCGCCGACCAGGAUGGAAGAAUGGACAGCCUACUAAACCGAUGGGAGCCUACUAAACCGAUGGGAGCCUCUAUGAUCAGGAGAGUUCAAAGGCAGCACAAAGCCUACAUGAAUUCUCUGAAGACCCCCGCAACAUCUGAAGCCUCCCAGAAUAAAAAACUGGAGAAGACAUCAUCUGGGGGAAGUAAUCAGCUCCGCUGGAGAAGUAAGAAAGAGGUGGAAAAUGCCAGCAGCAAAAAAGAAGGUGUGGGGAAUCAUGUACCGCAGAACCAGCACCCUGGGAAGUAUAGGAUCUUGAGGAGAGCUCAAGAAGAUCUGAUCAUGGUGCCAACCCCUGGAUGGAAGCCAAAGCCUACUUGCGUUGGAGCUGUUUCAUCUGAAAGGAAACCACCUUCUCUGCCAUUGGUAGAUCCUUUUGGUGAAGUUCCAAAACAAACACUAUAUGCGGGCAUGAAUCAACAGCAACAGGAGGGGGCACCAGAACCACUACUUCCAGCCGAUGCCAUGGCCUGGUUGGAUGAGUUUAUGGACCAGAUUGGGAGCAAGAAAGAAGAUUUGCUCGAGCCUAGUAAUUUCCAUAUCAACAUGACAUACGUAUUAUCUGCCACGUUUGGUGCCCGACCUGAUCAGCCAGCUACUAUGGAAGGUGAUUACUUGACAACUGAGCCAAUGAUGGCACAUGUCAAUAUAGAGGAAGUCAAAGAAGGAGAAUCGGGCAAGGCUGAAACUUCUGAAGCAUCCAAAAGUGGUCCUUUAAGGAUUUAUACCGAUGAAAUGGUGUUCAGCCGCCCGAACAUCUCGCUAGCCAACCAUCUGAAGCCCAUAUACGUUACAGCUCACCUGGAAUGUGUGCCCUUCAAAAGAAUUUUAAUAGAUGGUGGAGCAGCUGUUAAUGUGUUACCAGCCAAGCAAAUGAAGAAAAUGGGAAGAGGAACGGAGGAUCUUAUUCCGACAGACCUCACGGUCUCUAGCUUCUCAGGCGCUAUCACCAAGACCCAUGGGAUAUUGCCUUUAGAAGUGGAUUUGGGGUCUAAGCAAAUCAUGCUGGCAUUCUUUGUGGUGGACUGCACCUCCACUUAUGGAGCCUUACUCGGAAGAGAUUGGAUCCACCAAAGUCUGGCCAUACCCUCCACUCUUCAUCAACAGGUAGCUGUUUACCAUGAGGCGGGCACAGAAGGACCAGGUUUUUGGGAGAUGGUGGAGGCCGAAUCAGGGCCAUUUCUCCCCACAGCCAACGUUGCGGAAACAAGUUUCUACAACCCCAACGUAGGAAUCUUGAAAUGUUCAGGAGCUGAUGAGAACGGCCGCCCUACCAAUGUGACGACCCAAAAGCUUUUGGAACAAGGAAUGCUCCUCACAAGAGAUGAGUGAGAUAGACCUUGUAUCAUCCCAAAUCCCCUACACCAUCAAUGACUGGACAGAAGAAAAAAGAUCAGGUAAUGGCAGUCAGAUCCCUGAUUAAAAGACUGUUGGUGUAUGAGAAUGGAAGAAGGCAAGAAAGAGAGCUCUUGGACAAGGAAGAGCAGGAAUAGCAGGUGGGAGAUACGAUCUAGACGGGCCAGAAGACCUGCCCGAGAGCCCGGAGUUGGUCGAGUUUUUGUGUGCAGAACCGGAUAAGCCACCACCAGAAGUCCAGGAUCCUCUGGAAGUUAUUGCUAGGAACAAAGGAGGAUCCGAGACCAAUACAAAUUAGUGGUUUAUUGGGGGUUGAUGAUCGGGCAAAGGUUGUCGAUCUGUUGCGAGAGUUCAAAGACUGUUUUGCUUGGCAUUAUACUGAGAUGCCAGGGUUAGAUUCAGCCUUGGUGGAACAUAGAAUGCCCAUCAAGGAGGGAUAUAAACCAGUUAAGCAAGCACCACGAAGGAUGUCAAAGGAGAUAGAAGAAAAUGUCAAAGAAGAGAUCGAAAGGCUAGUAAAAGCUGGCUUUAUCAGACCGGCCAAAUAUGUAGAGUGGUUAGCCAACAUUGUACCCGUUUUAAAAGCUAUAACAAAAGCAGUACGAUGUUGUGUUGAUUACAAAAAUCUUAAUAGUGCUACACCAAAAGAUGAGUAUCCUAUGCCCAUGGCCGAUCUAUCCAUAGAUGCAGUAGCAAAACAUAAAGUCUUAUCUUUUAUGGAUGGGAAUGCCGGGUAUAAUCAGAUAAAGAUGGCUUCAGAAGAUAUACAUAAAACAACAUUCAAGUGUCCCGGUCAUGUGGGGGUAUAUGAAUAUCUGGUCAUGCCAUUCGGGCUCAAGAAUGCUGGUGCCACCUACCAGAGGGCAAUGAAUGUCAUCUUUCACGAUCUGAUUGGCCAGAGUAUGAAAGUAUACAUUGAUGACAUCGUAGUGAAGUCUAAGACAGAAGAGCAGCAUUUGGAAGACCUCAGACAAGCAUUAACAAGGAUGAGGAUCCACAAAUUGAAGAUGAAUCCAAAGAAGUGCGUGUUUGGAGUGAGAGCAGGCAACUUCUUGGGAUUCCUGGUGCAUCAAAGAGGUGUAGAAGUAGACAAGAACAAGUCUCGGGCAAUAAUGGAGUCACCGUCACCCACCAACAAGGUACAACUCCAGAGGCUAUUGGGCAAAAUCAAUUUCUUGAGGAGAUUCAUUGCCAAUUUAGCGAGCAAGAUCCAGCCGUUGACUCCUUUAUUAAGACUGAAAGAUAAAGAAAACUUUGAGUGGGGACCACCACAUCAACAAGCCUUUGACAGCAUCAAGGUCUAUUUAACUUCUCCACCAGUGUUGGUGCCACCUCAAAGGGGAAAACCCUUAAAGCUGUAUAUUUCUGCCUUAGAGAAGUCAAUCGGGAGUUUGCUAGCCCAAAAUAAUGAAGGCGGGAAGGAGCAGGCAUCGUACUACCUCAGUAGGAUUCUGACCGAGGUAGAAACUAGAUAUUCCCCAGUGGAAAGAUUAUGCUUGGCUCUAUAUUUCACUGCCAGCAAGCUAAGGCAUUACAUGUUACCUUGUCACGUACACAUCAUCGCCAAGACAGAUGUGAUAAAGUACAUGUUGUCAAAGCCAAUGCUAACAGGGAGGAUUGGGAAGUGGAUUCUAGCAUUGUCAGAAUUCAGUUUCCAGUAUGUACCCCAGAGAGCGGUCAAAGGCCAAGCAAUUGCUGACUUCCUGGCCGAACAUCAAGAAUCUCAAGACGAAGUAAUCAAUAUCCCAGGAAGCCUGGAGGUCACUAGCAUUUGGAUCCCGCUAAGAGAAGAUAUCUCGGGCAAAGAAGAUUGGGUCCAGCAAGAGAUAAGAAGAGUGACUGGUCUCUGGAUCACUCCUUGGAGGUUAUAUUUUGAUGGAUCUCACACUCAGAAGGCUUAAGAAGCAGGGAUUGUGAUUAUAAACCCUCAUGGGGUCUAUCAUUAUUAUUCAUUCCUCCUAGACUACCAAGGAAAUACUAAUAAUCGGGCAGAGUAUGAAGCUUUGAUAAUUGGUCUGGAAAUCUUGAUGGAUCUGGGGGCAGUAGAGGUGGAGAUCUUUGGAGAUUCAGAGUUAGUAAUAAACCAGCUAAAUGGGGAGUUCAAGUGCAGACAUAUUACCAUGGCAGGAUAUUACUUGACGGCUACGCAAUUACUGAGUUUCUGGGAUUCUGAGAUAUCAGUCAAUCAUGUUCCCAGGGAAUCCAACUUAGCAGCCAACGAGAUGGCACAACUAGCCUCAGGAGUGCCAAUACAGGAGAGAAGAUAUGGGGUAGAUGUCGAGAUCCAAAGAAGGAACCUCCCUUCUAUCUUAGAAAGGGGAUUCAGCCUGGAUGUAAUAGCUCUAGAAACCGAAAUAGAAGAUUGGAGGUCCCCUAUCAUUCGUCAUUUGAAGGAUCCCUCUUCACCUACAAGCAAGAAGAAUAGACAGCAAGCAACCAAGUAUGUCUUGUGGGCGAAGAACUUGCUAAGGAAAACUCCAGAUGGAUUACUAUUGAAAUGCUUGGGCCAAGAAGAAUCCAUGAGGGUAAUGGCCGAAGUACAUGAAGGGGUAUGUGGAGCACAUCAGGCAGGAACUAAGAUGAGGUGGUUGCUUAGAAGAUAUGGUUAUUUCUGGCCCGACAUGGAAAAAGAUUGCAAGUCUUAUGCCAAAGGUUGUGAAGAAUGUCAACGGCACGGACCUCUCCAGCAUGUGCCCUCAGUACCUUUAAAUCCAGUAGUCAAGCCUUGGCCUUUCAGAGGAUGGGCAAUGGACUUCAUCGGGCAAAUCUAUCCAGCUUCUAGUAAAUGGCACACUUUCAUAAUUGUGGCAACGGAUUACUUCACCAAGUGGGUGGAAGCAUCAACAGUAAAAUCCAUAACUUCGGCCGAGGUCAAGAAUUUUAUCGAGACCAAGAUUCUGCACAGGUAUGGGGUGCCCGAAACUAUAGUAACGGAUCGUGGGCCAUCUUUUAUCUCAAAAGAAGUUGAGGAGUUUGCAAGCAAGUACAAAAUAAAGAUGAUCCAAUCCAGUCCAUACUACCCUCAAUCAAAUGGCCAAGCAGAGGCCAGCAACAAGAUCUUGGUCAACAUCAUCAAAAGAAUGGUGGUAGAUAGUCCAGAAAAGUGGCAUGAAAGGCUGGGGAACACUUUGUGGGCAUACAGAACUUCCAAGAGGGCAGGAACAGGGACAACUCCUUAUGCUUUAACUUUCGGGCAAGAUGCGGUACUCCCUAUGGAGAUCAAUGUAAGUUCGGUCAGAAUUCAGAACCAAUUUGGGUUACAUAGUGAAGAAUACAUCGAAGCCAUGUGUCAAGGAAUUGAAGACUUGGAUGUAGCCCGAAUUGAAGCCUUGAACCAGAUUCAAGAAGGAAAGAAAGUUGUUGCCCGAGCUUAUAACAAGAAGGUGAAGAUAAAGUCUUUCAAAGAAGGAGAUUUAGUGUGGAAAACAGUCAUCCCGCUAGGAGCUCAGCUCAGGGGCUUUGGAAAGUGGAGCCCGACAUGGGAAGGUCCUUUCAUUAUUAGUCGAGUUUUGAAUAAAGGAGGAUACUACCUAGCAUACCUCGAAGGAAAUGGGCAGAAACAUCCCAUUAAUGUUAAAUUCUUAAAGAAAUACUGUCCUACAUUAUGGGAUGUUAGAGAUUGUUACAUUGAAGAGGGGGCAAAGUAAAGCAGGCGUCGGGAGUUUCAUAUGCAGUGUUUGUUCAUCAACCAUUCAAAGAAAACAAAAAGACAAAAGUUGCUGAAAUAAUUUUUAUUUCAUGUCGACAAAUUGGUGAAAUUAACAAAAGAUUCAAUUUCUACAUAUUACAUUUGAUUCUCUCUAAGUAUAGUGAUUUCUUCAGCUGGUUUUCCGAUGUCUUCAUGGAUGGAACCCGAUCAGGUGAUCGGGUUGUGCGGCCAACAUAUGCUUGGUAGAGGAUCAUCCGACAGAGCCACCACCAUAUGUGAUGGUGAAGCCUGACUUAUGACGGCAGCAAGCAGGAAAUCAAGCCUUCGUGAAGAACUCGCCUGACCAAGGGUGUUGGGGAUAGCAGGGUGUUCGACCAAUGGUGUUGGAGAUAGCAGUCAUUUGAUGAAACCCCCUUUUUUCUCACGAAAAGGGAGUUUUAGGAAACUCCACUCAAAAUCUGAAGAACCCAUUUCUCAGUUUUUUUUUUUCCGAGGAAGAUUAGAUGGUUUUGACAGGAGGGGUUCCAAGCCAGAAUUUAUAGGACCCAGAGGACAGUUCAAAGGUCGUGGGAAGAUCAAGAGACUCCGGGUGCCAUUAAUUUCAUCCAAAAAACACAAGUUCCAAGGGCAAAGAUGCAGCCGCAUGAAGAACUUUUCAAUUAAUAUUGGCGCCUGGAAUUCCAGGCUAAAUAUCAAUUGAAGGGGGCACUGUUUGGAUCAAAACUUAACUUUGGGCCCAAGCAAAGAAGGCCCAAAAGAAGGCCUGAAGGAAGAGUCGGCCGAAGCCCAGCCGAGACCUAGAAAAGCAGGAAAGGGUCUCCUCUGACUUGGUGCAGCUCAUGAAGACCACUUGCCCACCUACCCAAAGGUCAAGUGGUAUAGACUGACCAGCUACACAGCCCAUAAAGUACUUUAUGGUGGCAUUACAUGUAAAAAAGCUGAUGAGUCAUCACCCUCAAACCACAUUCGGGCAAGGCUGUUGCUACAGGAGGACAUGCUGGGUUGUCUAUAAAAGAAGAAAGAGAAAUCAGGAUUAAGGACACUCAAUCAAACAAACAAAUGCAAGCACAAACUCUGCUCAAAAGCCAUAUUUGCCUUCAAAACGAAGCUGUAGUCAGCCCAAGCCUUCAUCCAUCGCGGGAUAACCUUUCCUUCAAACCUUUGUAAUAGCUCUGCUACCUUGUUCAACCUUGUUGUAGUAUCGAUUCACCUUUUGUAAUCUCUCUCCCUCUCUCAAAACUUUCAGACCUUUAACAAAACUACAAAGAUAGGAGCCUGCAAGACGAGCAGCCUUGCCUGAUAAGGUUUAACCUUGCCUGACCUUCUAUGCUUUGUAUUUUUUGUCUUUUCAUUCAUUAAGCCUAGUAAUAUGUUGUAUGAUCCCAGUUAUAUGCAAGUUAUUUCUAGCAAGAUGACCAUUAAAAAGCUUUCUCAGUACAUAGACCCGAUUUGAAUAGAUCUUCAGUAUUCAAAUCAGAUCUAAGUCCUAAGCCCUCGGGCAUGCAUAUUUGAUCAGUUAAAAGUCCUUGGCCUCAAGGCAUAAAAAAGAACCUUAUGUGGACUUAACCCAUCCACGACAAUCCUUGAUAAACGAGAAGUCCAAAGUUACUUGGGGCGCAAGUAAUCGACCUACCACUUAGUUUUAUUUCUAUUAUAUGAUGAUUAUCAUAGAACGUUUAUGCAUGGAAUGGAUUCUGAUAGGAAGCCUCAAGGCCUACACCUAAGGCCCCACAAAAGCACCUAUUUGGGUUCAUUCCGUUCUGCGAUCUAGAGCGUUCUGAGUAGAAAGAACAAAUUCUGAUAGAAAGCCUCAAGGCCUACACCUAAGGCCCCACAAAGGCACAUAUUUGGGUUUGUUCUAUCUCUCGGACGCAGGUAAUCAGAAGUAUAAUAGUUAUAAAACUCCUGCAAUCAAUGGAAUAAGUAUUAUGUAUUCGAGUACUGGUUUAGUAACCGAUGGGAAGCCUCAAGGCCUACACCUAAGGCCCCACAAAGGCACCUAUCAUAACUAACCCGGUUCCUCGGGCACAUAUAUAUAUACAUACAACUAAAACUCGACAUCCAUUUCAUAUCUGCCAUGCUGAAGAUGGCAGUGGCACGCCUGAGCACCUAAAAGUUAAUUUUGAUUGUGAGCCUCAAGGCCUACACCUAAGGCCCCACAAAGGCACAUUUCAAAGUUAACUUUGUCCUUCUCUUUCAGCCUUGCCCGACGAGCCUUGCCCGACGAGUCUUGCCCGAUAAAGAUUCGCCUGACGAAACUUGCCCGACAGAGCCCAACCGUGAAGCAGAAGCCCGACAGCAGCCCUCAACCGACGCCAAACCUCCAGGGGAGCUGUGCAUCUCGCCGACCAGGAAACUUGCCCGACGGGAAUUCCUGAAGCGAACAAGUUAGGUGGGCAUUGUUGUCAGUUAGGGUUGCAUUCGGUGGGAUCGAUGGCUCGGUGUGGGAUUUGGUGGGAAUGCAUGUUGCUUGCAAAGAGGAGGAGAGAGGGAAUGAGGGAGGGGGAGGGAGAGAUAUGGGUUUGGUGAGGGGAAGGCAUGCGACUUGCAGAGAGGAGUGAGGGAGAGAGGAUGAGAGAGGGAAUGAGGGAAGGGGAGGGAGAGAGAGAGGGGUUUGGUGAGGGGAAGGCAUGCGACUUGCAGAGAGGAAGGAGGGAGAGAGUUGGAGAGAGAGGGAAGGAUGGAGGGGGAGGGAGAGAGAGAGGGGUUUGGUGAGGGGAAGGCAUGCGACUUGUAGAGGGACGGAGCGAAGCUUAAAAGCAACUGCAAAAAGUUCAAUGGACAGGGUCGCAGCAAUGGAGACACCUCGCUCUGAACCAUUUCCCCUCUCCUCAGGCGAAUGCUGAACAAAGUUUUGAAGGAACAAAAAGAAGAAGAGCUACACAUAAUAGAAUCCGAUUUGCAAGGAAAAGAAGAAAGCCAGCUUUUCAAUGAAAAAGCUAAAAUCAAUCCCUUCAACCUCCUCAUCGGCAGCGGCACCCACGACCACCAGGUUCACUUUUAAUUUAAUUUUAAUUUUAAUUUUUUGCUUUUUUAGUGGAUUAAAGAAUAUGAAACGAAUUAUAAUUUAAAAUGGGGAAAUUUUGUUGAUUUUUGCGUUCAGUGUUCUGACUUUUGAGUGAUCAUCGAGCUGUGAUGGGUUGGUGUUGGAUUUGAUUCAAUUGAGGUAAAAGCUCUGCAUGAUUGUGAUACGGAGAAAAUGCUAGAAUCUUACCUUCGAUCCAAAUAUCUGAUUUUUGUUACAAUUGCUAUUUUCAUUGCAGGAAAAUGUGGCGGAGACAAUAAUUCCCAAAUCCUCGAGUUUUAUAAAUGCAUUCCAAUUGAUAGCCAUGUCAAAUGAUCUCGAUUUGUCAGGUAUGUUCGAGGAACAGGCAAGUUUACAAGAAAUAGAUUUACUAAAAUAACUAAUCCUACUUUUUUAGCUUAUAACGAAUAAUGUUGAACUGUUAACUUAAUUUAGGAUGAGAAAUAGAAGACAACAAGAAUUGGACCCAAGCAUACCAUUACUGAAACCAUGAAGAAAAUAGAAGCGGCUGCAACAGAUGCGAGUAUUCUGUAGCAAGAACAAACAACUUCAGGGUACAUGAAACUUAUAUUCAAUCGUACUUCUUUAUCUGCUUAUCAAAGUUCCUUCCUGCCAACUAAUGAUGUAUUAUUUUUUCAUCAGAUGUAAAUGCAUGCAAAAAUUCCAAUGGAAACGUAAAUCACCAUAUCCAGGUAAAUCCGAAUUGUAGAUCAGACUUAUAUUACAAUUUGCUUUCUUUGUGAAAUUUUAUUGUAAUCUCUGGCUUUUGAAAUUCUAUAUGAAAUUGUGAAUGUCAUUCGGAAUCAAGUCUGGCCGAGUUCUUUACUAAAUAGUGCGAAAAUAUGCAUGAUGAAACUAAAUUACUUUUGUAUCAUCUAUAUUUACCUGUUAUCAUAACAGGAUUUAAAAUAUAGAAACAUACUGCUUAAUGUAUAAUUGAGUGAAAUGCUAGUUUACAUAGAUAUUGUGCUUAUUUGUUUUAGGUGGAUUACCAAAAGGAGCUCAUCAAGUAUUCUGCGAGCACGAUCGACCUUGAUCAUUUGGAUAUUUAAAGGAGCCAUUGAUAAAGGGAAGACGACGAGUUGUGAACCUGUGUGCCAAUUUUGCCAAUUUUGCAGACAAGCAGAAACUCUGGCACUUGCCUCUGUCCUAUCCUCCUCUCGCCGCCGUCUCCCUUCUCUCACCUCCGUCGUCUUACUCCUCCUUUCUCUGUCUCUGGAAUCCUAUCGUCAUCUUCCUCGCAUGCAAGGCUCUGGCCCUUUCAAUUGAAACCAAAACGUGUUUCAGGUGCCUAACACAACCUCUCACUACUCACUCACAUCAGUUGGUUUUUGUAAUUUGAACUUUUUUUUCUAAUAAAUUUGUAUGCUUUCUGGAUUUUUAUGGCAGUUUUGGACCUUAUCUUUUCUGAAUUUGUGUGCUUCUCUGGGUUUUUUAAUGGCAGUUCUGAGGAAGAGCAAGAAAAAGGAAGAACCAGUAUUAGAAGAUCUUCCCAAAGAGUACUGUGAUGAUGUGAGUGCCUUUAUUCUUUAACUUGGCCAAAUGGGUGCUCAAAUUUCACGUUUUUCUGUGAUUAUACGAGUAAAUUUAUGUUUUUUGUUUUUGGGUUUUGCCAAAUUCAAUGGUGGUAUUUAUGGGUUUGGUAUUGAUUUUCAGAUUAACAAUGACUUUGGGGAAAUUGAUUGAGUCUGCAUUCAAUGUAACUUUUCAUGCAGUUACAUACUGAUGAAAUAGAAUUCAAUUUUUUCAUUCCUUUUUUUUUAAAUGCAGUUACAUUUAUAUGAUGAUUUACAGCAUAUAUUUAUCUUUUAGAUUCUAAUUCUUCAUGCAGUCUAAGCCAUGAAGGAUUUGAUAAACCCACAAUUGAUAACAAUGUGCGGCGGCACCAACGGUUUUGGACAAGGAACAAGUAAGUACCAUUUUGUUUCAUUGUUUCAAAGUAUUAUGUAGAGAUUGCUUUAAUAUCUUGGCUUCUUUGCUGUUUGUGGGGUGUAUGAGAUAGGAUUUAGGAGAUCUGGUUUAGAUUUUGCAAAGAGAGUGUGUCCGAGAGAAAUGUGGGAGGAUUUAGGCGAGGGAUUUCAGGGAUUUGUUUAGGGUUUCUUUUCUGCGAUUUGCAGACAGAGAGAUGGGACAAGGGUGAGAGAGAGAUGGGAGGAUUUUCUGCGAGGGUAGAGGGAACGGGUAAGGGAGGUAUGGGUAUGGGUAGGGGAUGGAAAAACAUUUCGUUUUCCAUUUGCUUCCUCAAACCCGAGGGAUUGCUGCAAUUGCAGAGAGAGAUGGGGGUGUUCGUUAGGUCCCCUUUCAGUGUCACAUUUGUGCUUUGUCCACCCUUGAUUGUUGUGUGAUUCAUUCUCACGAACGUUCUAUGCACAAGGUUUCAUGUUAUUCCUUCCUUUUAAUUUUGAUAUUAUUGUGCUUAAUUUCUAUUUUAUUUUAUUGGGUGAUUAGAUUAACAGACUUUGGAUAUUUGGUAUAAUAAUUUCACAUCACGUGUUGCCCUUUUGCAUCACCUUAAUUGUUCAUCAGAUGCUAACUUUUAAUUAUGUUUUCUUUGGGUCAGUCUCCAUCUGGUACAUGUGUCCAUCCUUCUGGAGUGGAGCACUAUCUUUCUGACAGCAUAAAUGCUCUGAGAAGCUACUAUGGAGACAAGCAGUUGUUUACUCCGUUCUAGGUAUGUUUUUCUUUAGUAUUUUAGAGGGAUUCUUAACUAUUCCCCAUUGUAAUCUUUACCUUUGUAUCUAUCUCUCUCAAAAGACGAUGAGAGUAGCAACUGUUGCAAAGCAAAUUCUCAGAUGUAUAUAAGCAUAUACAUACAUUGGACAAAAACCGAAUCUUAAAUUGGGGCAGUGAGUUCUGCAACAUCUUGGUGCUGCAUAUAUUCUCACACUUUUAAAAGUUGUAUUUCUCAUAUACAUUGGGAAUUUUAAUUAGUUUUAUUUCAUUUUUGUAGGGCAAUUUAGUAGAUAUUUAGACAUAAAAGAAGAUGCGUGAAUCAAUACAAUUAACCUAAUAGUGAUUUGGUUCAGCGUAAAGACCAUUGCUAGGGCACUCAAGCCAUUUUCUUAAUUUAUGCGCAUAUAUAUUAUACGUAACCAGAACAUGUUUCCAAAGGAUGUUAGUUAGUGUUCAUGCUCUGCUGAUAUUUUAUUCUGUUCAUUUUGAUUUUGUUUUUCAGUUGUGGUUAUAGGAUUGUUUUGUCUCUCUUUUUUUCUUUUUUGUUUUCCCUCGUACAACUUUUCUAAAAUUGAACUGUAGUUCUCAAUUUGGUUCUUUGAACCGAGGCCAAUUGGGCUGUGCCUUUGGAAGGUCUCACUGCUAUUAAAGUUGAAUGGUGCUAACUGAAUAUAAUGCGUUCAUUCUUCGGUGUGUGUGAGUGUAUGUGUAUGCAGUCUAUGCGAGUGCAUGCAGUGCGGUUAGGUUCAUUCCCGCAUGGGUUUUCGUCUUUUUUUCGUUAAAUGGUUAGGUUCAUUCCCGUAUGGGAGAGGUGUGUUUUUGCCAUCAAAUUGGUAGAGACUGAUCUUAAUCAAAUAUCAUGCCAUAGUGUUAUUUUGUUUGCAUCUAUGGAACUAUAUAUUUACUUCGUUGUUGUUGACAGCUUCGCAUGUUCCUUCCAGAUAAUGCUGCCUUUUUGGAUUUCGUAUGAGUGUCCCGGGUCGGUUCUGGACCAACAAAAGAGGGAUGAUCGCUGUCAUUCGGACUGCAGGCGUCCACUUCAAAAUCCCGGUAAACACAUCCUUUUCUUGAUUUCAGGCCAUGCAAAAUUCAUGGUGAAAAAACUGAGCUCAUGUCGUUGGUUUGUGCCUCUGUCCUAUUUCUUAUUUAUUUAUUUAUUUUAUCAAUCCUUUUCCUUCUUGGUUCUAUUUGUUGCUGCUGGUUCCGAUAUUUCAUUGCCCUAUGUGUGCAUGAUAUCAGUGCUGCCACUUUUCAUAUUCUUAUCAAUGCUUACAUCUUCACUCUUUUCCUUCUGUUUCUUUUGCUUAACAUGGUUUCGGCUUUUUGAGAUUGUGUGUUUGAUUAACAUUUGAUCGUAUGGUGUUAGAUUUUAAAUUUGAUGUGAAUAAAUUCUGCCAGCGGGGAUUUUGGUCUCUGGAUUUUUCAUGGUGUAAUUUUUAUGGCAUGAUCCAUUGGUGUUGUGUGCAUUUUUAUCAACAAUAAUAAGCUUUUUCUCAGCAUUGCAAACAAGUUUUCUUAUAACUAAGAGACGAGUGCAUGGUGCAUGUGUCUUAAUUUAUUCAGGUUAAAUAUAUCUUAUUUAUGCAGUUAAGGUGGGUGCAUUCAAGUCCCGCAGCAACACGCGGGCAUAUUUUCUCGUUGAGACUAAAGGAGGUCUUAACGCCAAAUACUGUUCUGUAUAUUUACGAAUGGUUUAAAGUUUGGGUUUAAUUGGAUAAUCAGAGAGUAGUGCGUCAGACUAUGGAUAUUCAGAAACUGAAAGCAUAAUUCAUAUUCUUCUAACAAGUCCACGCAAAUAACCACAAUCACAAUGUUAUUUAUAACUGGCCAUGUAGAACGCAGUACAAAAGCACUAAAAGCGUCCAAGUGAAAGUACUUUCUUCUCAUGUAGUUUCAUUUAACUUAGUUUUGACAUGCCAAUCAGUCACACACUCAAGUCCUGAACGUUCGGGCUCAAUGGCUCCAAGAGAGCUUCCACUUCACUCUGAUUCACCUCCUCUAACCUUGACAGGUUCCACUUCGGAUUCUGCAUUGACAAGAAACCGAAGCCAAAGAUAAAGAUCCGUUCUGAUAUACAGAAAGUAAGAUGAUUAUAUAACUGUAGGUCUUGUAGAGGCGAUCUUAUAGCAACUCAGUCCACAAAGACGAUCUUAUAGCAAGGCGAUAUUAUCACAUCAGUCAACUUUUGUUGGUCAAGUAAAGCACAUGUUACUCACAGAAAAUGUGAAAUACUACAAAACAAAACCUAUCAAAAGGAUGCAACCAUGUGAUGAAAGAAACGAAAAGGUACGAAGUCCAGACUCACUGGAUAAUUCAUAAUUGGUUGUCAUUUUUCCCAAGCGCAGAUGCCAACUUUGGAGAAGUAAUUUUUUGUCAAAUAAAGUGAAAAAGGAGCACCCUCUCCAAGACCUUGAAGAGCUUUGUUAGCCCACUCCACUGCAAUAGAAACAAUUUGGUCGAAAAUACUUGACAGUGACAUACAAGCCUCUCAAUAGAAGAGUACGACAAACUUACCAGUAGCAUCUGAACUCAGCUGCUGCUUUUUAAGUUCAUCAAUUGUCUCAAGAACCGACUUAUUUACACCAAAUGCUGAAGUUAUUUGAGGCAAAAGCCUCUUGAGUUGCGUUCCAGAAUCUGGGUUGCUGCUGAAUUUGGCCACAGUUGUUUCAAUGUUCUGAAGGGGAUCCUGGGAACUGCAUCAACAAUGGAGUUGCUUUUAUCUCAACAAACGCAUUAGACAAUGUGAUGAUGCCAACUAAAGCAUCGGAAACGCAUAGCAAGAACAGUGCUCUGAAAUUUGAAAAGCCACUGCAAUGUAAUUGACAACAUUGACAAUCUCUGUCUGACAAGGCAAUAGUACCUCUGCAAUGAUCCGGUAGCGACCGGUGACCUGAUAGGCCAAUACCAAAGCCCACUGUUAUGUCACCCAUGAAGCUUAUAUAGGGCUUCUUGCACAGAGAUUUUGCAUAUUAGAGAAUACUCAGCAGUGGAUACCUGAAAAACCUGCAGCACAGAUAUCAUAUCGCUAGCCUCUGAAUCUUGAGAAUACUAUAAAUGGUAGCUUAUAAAAGAAAUGAAUCCUAUCCAACCAAUACAUAUCAUACUACCCAAGUCAAAGCAAAAUCAAGACUAACAAAUGAUCAGAUGUUGUAGGUUGCCCGAGAAUGCCAAACAUGAAAUUACAAAAGGAAAAAUCGUAUGUGUUGGACAUUAGUAAAUAAAUGAUGAAAGCACAAUCUUAGCAAUUAAAGAAAUGUUGAAAUUUUACAUGGGUUUUUGUAAUGUUGAAAUGUUUCCGGAUGCAAUAUGUCUUCAAAAUUCAAAACAAUUACUUACUGGAAAAUCAUAAGAAUCUGAAAGAAGUAUGAAAUGUUGACUUGCUGAUGAUGAAGCUGGAGGUAAUCUGUAGUCCAGGAGCUCAGAAUGUGAUGAUGAGGAUGAGUCUGAUGAUGACAAUGCAACACGACCUUGAUCGUGUCUCACCAUAGAACCGAUCUGGGUGUGACUUAAUCUUGACAGAAGAUGCUUUCACUUCAAAAUUUUUGCCUUUUCCCCUUUCUGUCAUCUGUAGUAAUUCUCAUUUGAUUACUGGGAUUACUAUUAUCAGAUGAUUCAUGGCUUGGUUCUGCCUCAUCAUAGAACCAAGCUGGAUGUGGGUCAGAAACAUAACCAGCACUAUUCAUAGCAAGCAUAUUUUCUUUCAUUGGCUUAUCCCACGCUAGAUUAACUCCUGUUCUCUUAACAGUAAAUAAAUAAUAAGGAUCCACACUUACAAAAGGUUCUUCAAAAAUUAUAUCAACUUUAUCCCCGCCUUGCAAAUUGAGCUUAUCGUUCGAUAGUUGUCCUAGCCAAAUAUAAUCAGGUUCAGGCAUGUCGUCUAUUUCUUCUCCGUCUAUUUCUUCUCCGCGUAUGGCUAUGCAGGCUCGCAACUCAGUACGCUUGGUGUGAUUUAUAACAGUAAUGUGAAGAGAAUAAUAAUUAUUUUUUGAGUGGUAAAAGCAGAAUAGAGUCAGGCCUUUAAAAUUACGAACACUCCGGGGAAUAUCAAAACUGACUUUAUUGCCAUUGUUGACAAACUCAAACCAACCAGGAACAUAAUUCCCAUGGAAGAAAAUGCCACCAAAUCCGCAAGAAGUCCAUCCCUAUAUAAACAAUGCAAGUGUCAUAUAUAUACAUGUACAUGUGCGUUUGUGCGUGCAUGCGCACGAUAGGAAGGCAAUUAAAAGAAAGAGGGAGAGAUACCUGUAGGAUGUUCUUCUUAAAAUUAUCUGUGAGAUUGGUGCACCUUUUCAUAUCAAUCAAUGUCAUGGAGGAUAAUGACUUAUCCAAGCCUGGAACCUCAGUGAGUUUGGACGAAUCACUUAAAUUCAGUUUUCUCAUCUUUGACAUUUCCGAAAAAUUGGGCAUUAUUUUCAAUGUAGGGCAACCAGGUGCCUUCAAGACUUCCAAAUUUGUUGGUAAAUUGGGGAUUGUAUGAAGAUUUCUGCAUUUACUGAGCUUCAGAGUUUCAAGCUUUGAAAGAUCAUUGAGGCUCGGUAGGCUACAAAAAGAAUUCCCUUUAAGAUUCAAAUCUUGUAAGGAAAUUAGACUCCCAAGAUCCUUAGGGAUUUUAUUAUCAUCUAAUUUGCACCAUGAGAGAUCUAACCGAGUGAGAUUGUUCAAUCUUACUAUGGAAGGUGGUACUCGUUUUAUGGCUGUGGAAUCUGCAUCAAGUAUUUUCAAUGAUAUCAUCUUCCCUAAAUCCUUAUGCAGUUUUUUGAAAUUUGAACAGAACGAAAGAAAAAGAGUCUCAACAGAUUUCGACUUAUAGAAAUCCCCUGGAAGAAAAAUAAGAUUGUCACAGAAUCUAAGGUUCACCAAAGAAAGUCUUUUAAGAUAACCAAUAGAGGGGUGAAUUCCGGACAAUUUAUUGCAGUAUUCCAAUAUCAACUCUUCAAGAUUUGGGACUUGUGAAAAGUCUGGUGAUUUAAUUAGGUCACUAGAAAAACUGAGAUCAAUGAUCUUCAACUUCUGGAGCGAGAGCGACUAAUGCACAAAACCAAAGAAAAAUUGAAAUUAAUAUCCAAAAAGAAAAUCUUAUAAAAAAGAAGGAAUCCAAAAACAAAUAGAAACAGAACAUUAUGACGUGUAAUUGAUUAUACCUUGGAACCCUGCCAAAACUGUACCAAUUUACUAUCGUGCAUCUGUAUAGCAACUAGUUUCUCUUGAUUUAAAAAGUCAUCUGGUAUGGACUGUAAAGGGAAUUUACUCCAACAGAACCAUAUUAACUCUUUGGGAAGAUGUUCGUAUUUUCCAUUGAGCUUAUUAGCGUAGUCGAGCCGAAGUAAUCUCAGUUUCUUCAUAUUGGCAAAUGCUUCUGUACUGAAACUAGUCUUGUCAGAGCUUGGUAACCCGGGAUAAGGGAUAUCUAGAGCAAGUCCUUCAACUUCUUCAGUUCCCUGUUAAAAAAAAAAAAAAAAAGUUUAAGUAAGAAAUAGAUUAUUUGCAUAUGUUUACAUGAUUUUGCAUAAUGAAUUAUACUUGCAUUCCCCCUUUGGGGUGACAAGCUCAUUCUGCCGCUUGCAAAUAACAUUUCUUAAUCGUACAAAUUUUCAUUGUGGAACCAUUCAAUUUCUUACUCUUAUAAUCAUUACAAAAAAUUUGAAUCAGAGAUCACUUAAUUUAGACAUCCAAAUGUAUCAAUAAAUGGAUAAUUCAUUAUUGAUAUGUUACUUAGGCAAAAUCACGUACUAUGAAUAAAUGCGAGUACUAUUGUUGGCUAAUUGAGCUUUCCUUGUGCAACUAACAUAUAUACACAUGAAUGUUGUCUAAUGUAUAAUAGACAUUUUGUUAAAGAAAAAAUGUAUAAUAGACAUACGUGGGUUAUAUAUGCUUUUCCUGUACAAUGCAUUAAUCCAAAAUUUUAUUGGGAAUAUACUUACAAAUUUAUUUGUUAAUACAUUGGUGACCUCUCGAGAAUUCCACAACCUGCUCCAUUUUCCAGGGUGACCGGGGGACUUUUCAGAAAUGAUUACUCUGGCCAUUUCUCGAAGCAAAUCAUGCAUAUACAAUAUGUUGCGUUCAACAGUUACAAGGCAUCGUUCACAGAGGACACUGAUUUCUAUUGUUGCAAAAAAUUCACAUCCAUCUAAUACUUUUGCGACAUAGUCCUUUUCCCAUCCAAUAAAGAAACAAGAUAUGUCAAGGAAAGUAGCCUUUUGUGUACGAUCCAGCUUUUCAAAGCUUACUCUUAGCGGUUUCAUUAUUCCUUCAUGAGGAAUUUUUUUUAAUUUCUCCAACUGACUUUUCCACUCUGUUGGGACUCUUUCAAUCAUAGAAGAACCUAAAACUUCAAGGGCUAGUGGCAAACCACCACAGUGAGAAACAACCUCUUUUGAGAGUUCAAGAUAUCCUUCAUUAGGACAACUAUUUCCAAAGGCAUGCCAACUAAAGAGUUUCAAAGCUUCUUCUUCAUUCAUUUCCUUAAGCGGAUAUGUCUCGUCCACUUUCAUGUUCACUUGCUUUAGUAAACGAUCAUCUCGUGUCGUUAUGAUAAUUCUACUUCCUAGGCCAAACCAAUCACGAUUUCCAGCUAUUGCAUUUAGUUGUUCCACUUUGUCUACAUUGUCAAUAAUGACAAGUACUCUUCUACUUUGGAGAUGAUGUUUUAUCAGACUGAUACCUUCAUCAACACUGGUUAUCUCACGCUUGUUCUGUUUCAAGAUGUUAGAAACAAGUUGUUCUUGCGAAACAACCAGAUCUUUUUCACUAACGUUGUUAAGGAAACUUUUGAAUUGGAACUCAUGAUGAAUUUUGUUAUAAAUGGCUUUGGCAGCUGUUGUUUUACCCAAUCCACCCAUCCCCCAAAUUCCAACCAUGCGAACAACAUUUGAUCCACCAUUUGAAAGAAAAGUGAUGAUAUCUUGAAUGCGAGUAUAUAUUCCAACUGGGUGCUUGGCCACAUGUAAACUUUCUGCGCUCGGAAGCCAUUCCGGGAUAAUCUUGUUAACAAUUUCUCUAAUAAGCUUUGCUUCGCACCUGAAAAAUUGAAUUGGUAAGCUUAGUAAGUAGGCUCAGUAUGAGCUAUUAGUAUAUUUCCUUGUUUCCUUCGCGCGCGUGUGUGCACACAAACUAUCUACUAUAGCUAGUAUGUGAUUUUGGGACCAACGUCAAUAAAAGAAACAAAUUCAUUCAUGGAUAUAUUAAAGUUUGGUGUAUCAAUUAAACUCCAAUUAUGGUUUAGGUUUUACAGGAAAUUGGAGAAAUGGUCCCUGAACUAUGAUUGAACUGUAGCUUUGGUUCUUAAACUAAAAAAUUCAAUAAAUCUUGUCCUUGAACUUAACAAAAUAUGGAGCAUUCAUCCCUCCAUGUUAACACCGUAAGAUUUUCUGUUAAUUUGAUGACGUCAUCUUUGUGGGCUCUAUAUUUUUGUUUACUAGAUGCCACGUGGCUUGAAAAUUCAAAAUAAAAGAAAAUAAAUACAAACAUAGAGAAAGAAAAAGAAAAAAAAAAUAUUUCAAUUAUAAAAGUUAACUCUCUCCAAUCCUCCCUUCCGCCUCCCCUCCUCCAAACCCCAGCCACACCAUUGUAGCACUUUCCCAACAGCAAAAACAAAGAAAGUUUAUAAUCCAAAUUUGGAACACAUCUCCCUUUGCAAACAAAUUCACAAUGACAUCCAUCCACGUUGUCUCGACAGGUAAGAUUCAAGAAAUUUGUGAGAUGUGGGUUUGGGUGACGGCUGUGGUCCAUGGGCUACAGGUUGGGGCCGGCUGGGGAGUGGGGAUUAGGGAUUUGGGGUUGGAAGUGGGAGGUUGACGGGUGUGAAUCAAAGAUUGAAGGUGAAGGGGUGGGCUGCGAGCCUGCGAGUGUUGGUGGGAUGAGGUACGCCUGCAAUUAUAUAUAUAUAUAUAUAGUAGACACUUUUAACUAAAAUUUAAAGGAAUUGGUUACGAAGGACUAAUGCUCCAUAUUUUAUCAAGUUCAAGGACAAAAUAUAAUGAAUUUUUAAUUUAGGAACCAAAGCUACAAUUUUCCUCAAGAUUUUAUAUGAGAGAUUAAGGUGUAUUAAUUAAGCAUGUUAAUUAGAGUAAUACAACUUAAAUAUUGAAAAGCACAAUGAUUACCUGCAAUUAUAUAUAUAUAUAUAUAUAUAUAUAUAUAGUAGACACUUUUAACUAAAAUUUAAAGGAAUUGGUUACGAAGGACUAACGCUCCAUAUUUUAUCAAGUUCAAGGACAAAAUAUAAUGAAUUUUUAAUUUAGGAACCAAAGCUACAAUUUUCCUCUAGAUUUUAUAUGAGAGAUUAAGGUGUAUUAAUUAAGCAUGUUAAUUAGAGUAAUACAACUUAAAUAUUGAAAAGCACAAUGAUUACCUCUUAUCAGUGAUUUGAAGAUGGUAGCCAGACAAAUUUGCAGCUUUUGUAAGAACCUCUCCCCACUGCUUUAUCCCUUCUUGUUUAGCUUCACGUUUCUUGUCAUCCUUUUCUUCACCGAUGCCCUCUUCGUGCUUCUGAAAUUCUUCAGCCAACUCUGCAGCUUCUCUAAGAGCCUCUGUCCACUGCUUUACCCUUUCUCGUUUUUCUUCACGUUUCUUGUCAUCUUUUUCUUUACUGAUGUUCUCUUCGUGUUUCUUAAAUGCUUGGGCCAAAACUCCAUUCUGCUUCCUGACAUGUGAAGGAUCAACGUGAUAGAAUAUUGGCAAAACAUGUCGCCCCAAUUUGUCUCUGCACUCCAUGAUCUUCACCAGCUCGUUAAGACACCAACUCGAAUCCGCAUACCUCUCUGAGAAGACAAUGAUAUAGAUCUUCGAUUUUUCGAUUGCCUGUUCCAGUUCUUUUUUUAUUUCUUCCCCUCUUUCUAGAUCGUCCUCAUCGAUAUACGCUUGAUAUCCCCUAUCUGUUAAUGCCGCGUGGAGGUGGUCCGUGAAGCCACUGUGUGUGUCUACACCGCUGAAGCUCAAGAACACGUCGUAAUUCCAAAGUUUUGACUUGGGGGAGGAUGAAGAGGAGGCUUCAUGGUUUGUCAUGGCGGUAUCCACUGUUAUGGCACUGCAGUGGUUCAGAUUAUGACUGAAAAAUGGCAGUAGUUGUGUUUGUGCUAUUGAACAGAUGAUCCUGAAACACCUAAACCCAAGUCAAGCUCCUUAAGUCAACAAGAACAAAGUUUAUAAUAUAAUAAUGUUGGCGUAUGGAAACGACAUAAUGUUGGCCAGAAGGUGCAGAGACAAACUUGAAUGCAAGCUUUCUGAAAUCUUCCAACCAAUACAGAUAAAAAGGUAACACCCUAGUCAGAAAUGAACUGAGGUGUUAGCUUUCUAAGACACCCAGAUGACAAAAUCAACAAAAUAGAAUGGAAAACUGACUUACACUUUUAAGGCAUGCUAGAAUCUUGAUCUAAAAUUGGUGGUGGGUCGAUUGUUGGUCACCAACUCUAAAUGAAGAAUUCAUCAGAACCUAGAAAAUUAAACAAAGAACUUUCCAAAAUCAACAUUUACUAAAAACCAUUUACUUGGUUAUCAUGCAAGAUGGCUUGCCAAAGAUUGAAUUAAGGAAUGCAAAACUUUACUUUUAUGAUGAUUUCCAAUGACAGCUAAAAGGUCAGAACCAAAUGAAAAUAAAAGUUAGGACUUCACAAAACCAAUUAAAAUCUAAUUCCAAAGUUACAAACACCCACCAAAUGAUUCCAGAUAAAGUUUUAAACUCAAGGUCAGACCCAAAUGAAAUUAAAAGUUAGGACUUCACAAAACCAAUUGAAAAUCUGAUUCCAAAGUUUCAAACACACACCAAAUGAUUCCGAAUAAAGUUUAAACUAAAAAACCCAACAGAAACAAAAGCAUUGGUGUGAAUUAACAGUAUCUAAUUGAAGAAACUAAAACAAAAGUAAAGUAAAGUAUAUACCUCAAAAUAUCAAGCAAUUAAGUUCUUCCUCCGAUGACCCAAAACUCUGAAAAUUCCACACAAAAAAAAAGGUAAAUCCAUUAGCAAUUCAUAGCUUUCAAAAUCAGCAAAAACUUGGGCAACAAUAAAGAUGCGUUGAGAACCAUCACUCUUUCUCCUUAUGUAUUUGAAAAGAUAUUUUAUAAGCAAUUUAUGUAGUCAUUCUGAUCAUGUUGCAUAUAAAUUCCUUUUCUACAGAGUUCAAAAAAAAUAGGGCAGUUUAUGGCAUCUGUUGAAUAACAUGGUUGAAAGAUUUAAAAUUGAUAAAUUCAAUUUUUAUGUGUAAAACUAUAACAUAUAGCUAAAGCUAUUGGGUCUAUAUAUCCAUAUCAAUCAUGUCGUAAUUGAAGGUUUAUCGAUGUAAAUAGAUGAUUUCAGUCAUGUGAAGUAUAUGCUGAAGUUUGGUCUAAGUUAGAUAAAAAUUGACCAAAAUCUUAAUAAGAGACUCUUUUAGCUUUUAACCAAAAAAUGAGCACCACAAUACUACACUUAUAAGUUUUAUCAUGCACAAAAUACAUAGCACUGAUUGCUACUUUUAGAGCAAGAACAAUACUUUCCAAGAAAACAACAAAACACUCAAAACCCAGAAACAGAAACACACUUAGGACUCCAACUCCUCAAAAACAUGAGAAAGAGAGAGAGUGUGUGCGAGGAGAGAGAAUAAAAAACCAUAUUAAUUUUCACACAAACUCAAAAUUGCUUAUAAAAUUACAAAUCAAAACAAAUGAAAGCAAAUCCAAAUUGCCCUAAAUUAAAUCUGAUUAGUUAAACGUUUGUUGCCCUACAAAUGUCGUUACACCCGACACAACUUGCUUUGAAGUUGAUAUUUUGGUCAAUCCAGGGAAAAAGGAGUUAUUGGUUUUGGAGCGGUUGUCAUGGAGAAUACCAUCUCCCUGUUGAAUGAUCUAAAAAAGGACUUACAGCUUCUGCUGGCCAUAAUAAGGCCCUUCUCUCCAGAUUUUCUCAAUAACUUUCCUUUUCGUAGCUGGUAAGAUUGCAACUCCAAGAAUUGCUCUGAAGAGAUAUACAAAAAAAUCAAACUAAAACUAAGCUAUUGGAAGAAAUUUAGAAAACACAAACAUCACUACAACUCAGAUUUAAAGUCAACAGAAACCAAAUGGUAGAAGUUGAAAAAAUACAUGGUCAUGAAUCGAGAACUUCAUCAAGCUACAACAACAACAACAACAACAAAGCCUUUUCCCACUAAGUGGGGUCGGCUAUAUGAAUCCUAGAACGCCAUUGCGCUCGGUUUUGUGUCAUGUCCUCCGUUAGAUCCAAGUACUCUAAGUCUUUUCUUAGAGUCUCUUCCAAAGUUUUCCUAGGUCUUCCUCUACCCCUUCGGCCCUGAACCUCUGUCCCGUAGUCACAUCUUCGAACCGGAGCGUCAGUCGGCCUUCAUCAAGCUAACAGCAAUAAAAUCUCAUAUAAUCUGUCAAAAACCAAAAAAGAGAGAGAGGUAAUUUCAAGACCUUGUAAUGCCGAGGCCUCGUACAAUUGUAGUAAUAAUAUAUGGUUGAUGCACCUGUUGCUCAAUCAAAUCCUUUGUCUGGCUAAAAAAAAUAAAAAUCUAUAAAUACAUUCAUGUCCAAUUUAUGAGAAAUCAUGGGAAAGCAAAUGCACUGAUAACGGAAUCAUGAAUAUGAAAAACUUGCCAAAAAGAAAAAGAAAACUUCUUAUAGUGUGCCAAGAACAUCCUCCUACUCCUAGCAAACUUUUUAUGGCAUUAUCCACUUCUCAAUUCAUAAUUCAACCACUAACUCAAAGUCUAUAGUGUAUGAAAAAGUGAUAUCUUAGUUGAUCACGAUGAUAAUUAAGCAGAUUAAAUGACAACCCAUAAAGCAUACAAAUUCAGAAAAGAAAAGGUUCAAAACUGCCAUAAGAAAACAUAGAAUAUAUAAACGGGAAAUCAAAAGAAGAGAGGCGAAAAAGGAAGAAAAAACCAAACAAAAUUAUUAGGUUUGGGAUAUACCUUUAUCUGAAACGCCACAAUCAUCAAAGUCAAACAUAAACAAUCCAAAAAGUUGUGGAAAAUAACAAUAAAUGCUCA
rnacentral:lncRNA from 1 species